GUGGUGAAGCACCCCUUCUUGCACAGGGCGCUCAGCUUGCAAGGCAGAUUGAAGGCAUACAAGACUCGAAAUUGCGGUGGAAGGUCCUCUCUGAUUUCUGGGCGGAGAUGAUGCUGUAUGUCUCGCCGUCUGACGAUGCCCGGGCACACCUGGAAGUUCUUCCAAGAGGAGGGGAGUUCAUCACACACCUUUGGGCGCUGCUCACGCAUGCCGGUGUGCUGAAGCGAGGCCCUACAGAGCCAAAGGAUGUUGUGUGACCUCUCCAACAAGUGCACACGUAGCAGUCCUUAUAUCUAUCUAGUGCUUGUAACAUUCUAUUUAUAUUGCCUACUGUCAUGUUGGGACACACCAACUUGUGCCACACCAUGUGUGAGUUAGUCUGUCGAGUCUGUAUCUCUUUGCAUGUCGUGUCUGUUGUCGGAUUUUGGUCAGGGUCGGAGUCUGUAAUUUCUGCAAGAUUCGUAAGAAGAGUGCACGUUCAGGUUGUUGGACGUGUGCGUCUUAGGUGGCCAUUACUACAGUCAUGAUCCAGUGACCACUUGGCUCAGGAUCGCUAGUUAUGUUGCAUAAAUAAAGGGGAAGAAAAUUGAAAACGCUGCAGCUUCAUCGCAGCACAAAUCCACUCUCUCUCAGUUGCAUCUGUUUGUGUGUCAAUCGAGCAGCAGGUCCUGUUGCAGAUGAGAUUGACCCUACUACUACAGGGAGGGGCUCAACCUUGAGAUAGAAAGACGCCAGGGUAGGAAUUAUUGCAUUCAUGUUCGUAACAAGACUGAAUACGGUGUCCUCACUCUUCCCUCUUUUUUUUUUGAGUAACAGGAGGGGACAAGCCUCUACUGAAAUUUAUUGAAUGAAAUACGAGUCAAAAGAAAGGGAAUACAUAGGGAAGAGAUAGUGAUAAAAAAAGGGCCGAAAAAAUAGGGAACCAAGAUUACAGAGCCUCCAGGCAAUCCAUCAUGGCCGUGACCAGGGAGGGUUUGGCCCUAUGUAUACAGACUGUGUUCAUUUCUUCCAUGAAUUUUCGUUUGCAACUUUGAAUCGUGGGUGUAACAUUGUUGAAGGUCCAAUCAUUCCUCACGGACCAGAUGCUCCAAGUCAUUACGAUGAUGAUAUCCAUGAAGAAGGGCAUAUUCAGUUUGGCCUUAUUGAAUUUAAAAUCUGAACAGGCUGUCUGGAUGUGUUCACCAGUACCCCGAUAGAGGCCCAGUAAGCUUCGGCGAAGUUGCAUCUCAAGAAUAAAUGUGGCACCGUCUCCCUUUUCUGUAGAAUGCAGAGCUCACACGUAUAUGCAUCCAAAAGCAUUGUUUUGCUGCCUAAAAUAUCCUUGGUGCUCAAUCUAUCCUUAAUUAGCAACCAGUUGACAUUUAGAUUUCCACAGCCAUCCAUACAAGGGGUGAAUGCUUCUUGUACUGUCACAAUAUUCCCCAAUCUAUGUUGCAGGAUCAACAACUGCUGGUGUGCCUCUUUUGAGAGGGGGAGAUGAAAAUUAUUUUGAGCCAGCGAAGAUGUAUUGAGGGCCUCCUUAUAUGAAAUCAGUUUGUUCUUGGCAAAAGAGAAUAACCGGGGAAAUUCUAGAGAUAGAAUCUGUUCAUUCCAAGUGUCCAUCCAGAACAGUACAAUAGAACCAUUCGAUACCCAAACUUAUGCUAUUCCCUUGAAUUUGUCAAAUAUCUUGACUAUAUCUCUCCACUAGAAUGAGCCCUUUUUACGGUGCCCAGGCAAUUUGCCAUUGGAGUAGUAUUUAUCCCAAACCAGAUGGACCCAUGGUAUAUCAGCUUUGCUAAAAAAGCUGAUAUACUGACUGUGUUCAUUUCUUCCAUGAAUUUUCAUUUGCAGCUUCAAAUCAUGGGUGGAACAUUGUUGAAGGUCCAAUCAUUCCUCAUGAACCAGAUGCUCCAAGUCAUUAGGAUAAUGAUAUCUAGGAAGAAGGGCAUAUUCAGUUUGGCCUUGAUUGAGUUUAAAAUCUGAAGAAGCUGUCUGGAUGUGUUCACCACUACCCCGAUAGAGGCCCAGCAAGCUUUGGUGAAGUUGCAUCUCAAGAAUAAAUGUGGCAUUGUCUCCCUUUUCUGUAGAAUGCAGAGCUCACACGUAUAUGUAUCCAAAUGCAUUAUUUUGCUGCUUAAAAUAUCCUUGGUGCUCAAUCUGUCGUUAAUUAGCAACAAGGAGAAGAUUUUAUGUUUCAUUUGACAUUUAGAUUUCCACAACCAUCUAUACAAGGGGUGAAUGCUUCUUGUACUGUCACAAUAUUCCCCAAUCUAUGUUGCAGGAUCAACAACUGCUGGUGUGCCUCUUCUGAGAGAGGGAGAUGAAAAUUUUGAGCCAGCGAAGAUGUAUUGAGGGCCUCCUUAUAUGAAAUUAGUUUGUUCUUGGCAAAAGAGAAUAACUGAGGAAAUUCCAGAGAUAAAACCUGUUCAUUCCAAGUGUCCAUCCAGAACAAUACAAUAGAGCCCUCCGAUACCCAAACUGAUGCUAUUCCCUUGAAUUUGUCAAAUAUCUUGACUAUAUCUCUCCACUAGAAUGAGCCCUUUUUACAUAAAGGAAACAAAUAAGAAAUAUCAAUAUAGAAUAAAACAACAGAAAAUAAGAAAAGAAAGGAAAAAAAUUAGUACCUGUUGGGAUCCUCAACCGGUACUAAAGGACCCCCCUCUAGUACCGGAUUGCCAGUACCGGUUGCACAACCGGUACUAGAGGGGGGGUUGGGAACCGGUAGUAGAGGUGAUUUUUUCAGUAGUGAAUGUACAAAAUGUGCUAUCACUACUAGAAAUAUGACCUCUUAUCCCUAGCUUUAGUACCGGUUGUUUUUAGACCCAGUACUAAUGUUAACGUUAGUACCAGUUCCAAAAUUGAGAUGUCAUGGACCCCCUCUAGUACCAGAUGGUAGUUCCAACCGAUACUAGAGGCCACCCUUUUUUCGAUGCCAAUUGCCACCUUUUUUCGUAGUGAACCAAAACAAACUUACUGUCUCAGCAGCUAUCUCCUGGUGCACGCCCUUCAUAUGAGGUGGAAACACAAAGAGCAAGAACACACAAGUGUCCCCCGCAGUUUCUUCCCCAAGUGGAAUGGAAAAGAUCACAAUAGCUAUGCAACACUAGUAAGGUCAGCAAAGCAACUGAGUGCUUGUGUGUUAUGAUUCCAUCUACUAUAUAUAUGAUUCCAAGUCUGAAAGGAAUUUUAGCCUGUUCGUUUCGUCCCCAGUUGCCACUUCAGCACAACCUGCAAGACCUUGGGCCUAUGCAUCAUGUGAUAGAAUGAUCACUUCAUAAAACCAAACUGAAAUUCUAUACAUUGACCUCACAGAAGUCUACACCUAAUCCUGAGACUGACUGGACUUAGGGCCCGUUUGGUAGGGAUCCAGAUUCUCGUAGAAACAUUUUGAUUCCAGAUUCUCAUAAGAACGUUUCGGAUGACGAAUCAGAAUCACUAAAUCGUUUGGCUGCAGAACCAGAAUCACUGCGAAACCACGUUUUCAGCGAUUCACAUUCGUAGGCAGAAAAACGAGAAUCACUUGGAACCAAUUCUACGAGAAAUGUUUCACUGGUUACCCGUUUUGCAGUGAUUCUAGUGUUUCUCGCUAUAAUCUGAAACGUUUCUCGCUGCCAAACGGGGCCUUAAUCUUUAAUCAACUACCUCUUUACACCCUUGUUCACUGUGCCAUGGGCCAGUACUUCACUACUAUCAAACUAAACUUCAAUACCACCCCAUCACUACCGGUUCAUUAUUGUAGCAUCAAUACGGGUUCAAAUAUCUCAAGCCAGAAAAUGAUUCGGCCCGAGAUAUUAAACAAUUCAACUACGCAUGGCCGCUGAAGUGAUGGAAUGUUAAGUCGUCGUCAUGCAUGGUACAAUAGUCGAUGAAGACAUCAAACGCCACAAAAAGGUACGGUCAUCAGUCUUCGAUAUAUACUACCUGCUUACAUCAUUGUAACGGGUGAAGAUUCCCAUGUGAUCACGCGAAGUACCUCUUUCCGUUAUGUUUGUGUGUUCAGCUUGUGAACUGAGAAUACUGUAAAAAACUUGGCUGUGUGUGAUCGCAAAGGCCAGAGAAUUAUUCAUUUUCUAAAUUUUUUUUGUUGUUUAAGUUAAAUGGAGUAGUGCUGCCUAGAUUUCAUUCACGUAUGAAGUUAUUGCAUGGAUAUCUACUCGUUCCUAUUGGUUUUCAUGGCCUAUUUCUAAUUGGGUACAUGGACUACCAUAACUGGAUGGUAACAAUAAUCCGUGGUAACAAAUAUAGAAUAAAAUAAGUAAAACAUAGAAAAAUAAAAUGAGGAAAAAAGAAAAGAAAAAGGAAUUUAGUACUGGUUGGUAUGCCUCGGCCAUAGACGACGUGCCAGCCAAUUUAGUAUUGAUUGGUGUCACCAAUGUAGUAAUUAAUGUCCUACUAUUUACAGCAUUUAAAAAUUUGGACUCUUUAAAAUUUCUUUAAACCUAAUAUUAUUUAUUUUCUUGAAGUCAUUCCACUCAUUUUAUACUUUGAAAACUAUGCAUGGAACCUACAUAUGAGAAACAUUUGCUUGUAUUAGAAAUCCUAUUCUAAAUCCAAAACCCCCAAAACAUAAUAUAUUCUUCCCUAAAAAUCCUAGAAAUAAUAUCCCAUAACAUUCCCUCUUCUCAAGACUCUAUGAAUCAAUAUUCAAAUUUAAUUUGAAUAUUAACUCAAACAAACCUCGAUAAAACCUUAGGCAUAAUCUAACAUCUCUAAACAAAAACUCUUUCUAAAAGCUCCAUUUCUAAGUCCUAUUCACAACCCCAAUCCAAACUUAAUUUGAAUUUGAAAUCCAAUUCAAAUUAAAAGCACAAAACCCUACCAAACAAAAGACAAACUCUUAAAACCUAGUAUGGGCCGCCAACCUCGAACCCGGCCUGGCUUAACUCAGCCCAGCCCACGGCCGCGCGCGCCCACGCCCGCCUCCCACGUAGCCUAGCCUUCCCCCAUGCGGCCCAACUCAAUUAGCCCACCGCACCCGCCAGCCCAUCUCGCUCAGCCUAGUACCCCCUCCUCCGCGCUCGCUCGCUCACCCGCGCUACUGCCGGUGGGGAGAAAUUCCCCCGCCACCACCGUCGCCCUCCGCCGCGCUCUGCACGAUUGCACCAGAUGCAAUCCAUCCUCGUGCACCCCCAUAGCCUACCUUCGCCCCCAAGUAAACCAUCCCUCAUCUCCCUUAUCCCCACCGGUGCCUCCCCCCUCGCCAUGUGCCGCCCCCGGAAGCAUCCUUGCCAAUCGUCCAUCCACAUCCUUCCGCCAUGCUCGUCACCAGAUCACGGACACCAUCAAGCUAAUCAAGCUUCCUUUGUGGCUAUAAAAGGACACCAUUCUUCCCUCUCCUCGGCAGCAAAAACAAAAGUUGUCUUCCUUUAUUUUCCUUGACCAUAGCAUGAGCUCAAGCAUAGCUCCAGAGCUUGAGCUCACAGCUCCCAUGUCCGCACCCCCUUCGACCUACCCCUCACCUACCCAAAGACCUAUAUGAGCUCCCCUUCUUCUCCUCUCCCUCCACAUGACCUUCAUAUGGCCCAUGGUGGGCGAAGCAAUCACCCCAACAAGCUACAAAACCAAAUUUCCACCCCUCUCGUGGCUGCCAUGCUUCCAGCCCCCACAUCGCCUCCACGAGGCCUCAGAUGGAUUCCCCUCGAGCUUCUCUUCCUCUUGGUGCGAGCCUCAUGGCCGGCAGCGAGAUCCACCGCGAUUCUGGUGAAAAGCCACCGCGUCCCAUGAUGGAGAACCUGGCAAUGCCUCUUGACUUGGCACGAACUGACGCCCGUCAUUUGCCACUGUCCCGCUGCCGUAUGCUCCCUAUCUCCAUCAACCUGACGUGCGGGCCCAGCCAGGCAAAGCCAUCUGCUACGCCGUCACACCACCCACGCCUCCCCUCCUGCACAGGGUCGACUAGACCACAGGCACUGAGAGUGCUGGCACAGUGCGCCACCCAUCAAAAAUUGCUAAGUACACCUGGUGAAUGUACACACAUCUUUACUUAGAGCCCUUCUCUAUUCCAAAAAUUUCACAAAAUUGUCCAAAAAUACUAGAAAAUACUGUAAACCUAUCCAUGCCUUCCUUUCCCAUAGUUAAUUUCAUGUGAGCCCUUUUCCAAAAUAUUUAGCCCUUACAUAAUAGAAAAGCCCUAUCAUAUGUACACCAAUAUAUGCUUUCUUUUUAUUUCAAUUCCAAAAACUCAAGGAGAAUUCCUAAAAAUAUCUUAGAGCCAUCUAAACCUAUUCCAAGCCUUACUUCCACAUUUGCACCUACUAUGAUCCCAUGGCUAACCUGCUGUCGCUAUCACCUUUCAUGAUGUAGGUGUCCCCUGCCCGGGAAAGCUCUGCAUAACGACAACAGCCUAGUCAAGCCAUUCUUUUAACCGGGUUACAUCUGAGUCGCUAUCAAUCUUCUCUUGCCAUAAGCACAAGCUCGGGAGAUGAGCUUGAGAAGACGCCGAUCUUGCCCGGCUCCACCUAUCGCCAUGUGACUACCCCCUAGCAUCGGAUCAGGUCAAAGUGAGUUCAUCAUGCAAGCUCUUUGGCAUCCAUUCCUAUUCCGCACUAUCUUGCCUAGCUCCACCUGUCGUCGUGCGAUUAUCCCAAGGAAUUCUCUCGAGCUCCACCCACCGAAGGGCUAGAGCUCAGGUCGAAGUAAGUUUCGCCGCGCAAAUUUCAUGAACCCACAUCUAAACUACCAUGCUAAGGAUCCGUCCAAAAUCCUAACGCCGUAUAAAACCUAGCCGUUAUCCUGCCCCACCAAAACCUUAGUUGUUGAUAAAACUUAGCCGUUAUGCUACCCAACCAAAGCCCUAGAAAUUCCUAGAAAAUCCAUAAGUAAUUUCCUCGAAUUAUUUUAUAAACCAUUCACCAAAAUCAAUUAAUUAUUUAUAAGAUUAUCUCUAAGUCAUUAAUAAAUCAUUCAUCCUUUAUCAAGGAAUUAUCCUUUAGAUAUAUGAUAAUUCCCAAAAACACCCAUCAUCCAUUCUCUUUCGAAUCCCUUUGCUGUAAAUUGACUGUAAGAAUUGUUUACAUGCUUGUAUGCCUGUUUGACCCGAGAAUAUUACCAAGAUAUAGACAGAAGCCAACGAUCCUGAAGAAAUAAAGUCAAAGGUCCGACCGCCUAGAAGACCUAAGUCAUGUUAGCCUAACCAGGAUCCAAUGAGAAAUUGUAGAUCCAAAAGGUGAGAAACCAAGGCCCUGGUAAACCUAGGAAGCAUAUAAGGAUCAUCAAUGAAGGCAAGUCCUAGAACCAACCUCCUUGAUCAUAUUCUAGUCCUAUUUUUUCUAAAUAUUAAAAUUAAACCAAGAAUAUAACUUUACUUGCAUGCUUUUAAAAAACCCUAAGGGCAAUCCACCUCUAUUUCUUCUUGCCAUGACUUGAAGCUAUUUCUAACCAGAAAGCCUAACAAUGAUCCGGGUCACUACUAGAUCAAUGAUCGACAAUAUUUAGAAACAAAAUUCUUAGGAACAAUGCAAAUACAAUGAUUUUUAUGGAAAAAAACAAAAGCUGUGUGUUUUCUUGUUAAGUCUAAAAUGAACCAACUAAAGAGUUAGUAACCAUUAUGAAUAGGACAUGGAAGUAAGGUGGCAGCUGUUGGGGACCGCCCCACAACGCACCCUGAACAGCACUGGCAGGGACCCUCUCUCUUAAUCGACUCCAAACUCGUCACCUUCCCCUUUUACGAAGCCAGCGAAUAACCGAAGUCAACUAUCACGAAGGUAUCCACUCUGUUGUUUUGCAGGCAAGGACUUGCGAAGUUAAAUCUCCCACGGAGCUCUCAGCAAUUUGGCUUCGGGGAGAUUCCGUGACCAGAAGCCGAAGUUAGCUGACUUCGACCGAAGAAGGUGGGAAGUUUACGGAAGUUUGCUCGGUCCCGACGAAGCUUGUGAAUGAGGAAGAGGGUAAUCAAGACAGCCCUGGGACCACAUUACAGCAAGACAACUCUGUAAUAAGAAUCUUAGAAGGUUGGAAAUGUAAUUCUACUGUGAAAGUGACAUUUUGAAUAGGAACCAAGUUACUGUCCUGUACGGAAUAUUCUUAGGAUGUAGUGGUUGAGUAUGGGUAUAACGGGGAUGCGGAAAUAUAACUUUAUAACCAUAUAAAGGGAGAUGAACCGUCCCCCCCCAGGAGGGGCAUUAAUCACUGAUAGGAUAGCUAUUGUCAUGUUUGUCUGAACGAUCGUUAUCUUCGUUCGUUGGGACAUUCUUACUAUUGCUUGGGUGUACCCCAACAGCAGCCUCAGUGGAGAUUUCUGUCCCGAUGCUUACUUCGAUCACUUAAGAACCGGUCCACAAGCAAGUCUUUCUAGUGAGACGUACAACCAUAAGUGCCAAAAAGGUACAGCCUUCGGGAGUGCCUAUUCAUGUGAGGCCCUUAUUCACACCCUACUAAAUGAACCUAGAAAUCCAUCCCAAGGGGCCACGGGUAGGGAAUGAAUAUAUUGGAACAAGAACUUCGUAUAGUCCUAGAUCCGGUCAGCACAGGUUGACUGUGAGAGGGUUGGAGACCCUAUUGUUAGUUGCUUUGUGCGCACUUUCCCAGUGUUAUAUCCGCGAGGCAGAUGAUAGUAACCCUUAUUUGGAUCCCAGUAUAUCUGUUUUAAGGACCUAGGGGAUAUUGUCUAGAGAUUGACACUGGUGGGUACGGGUCUCGUAAGUCAGUACCGCCUAAAGCUAAGGUAUGGACUAAUCAAAUGUGUGUGUAAAGUGUACAAACUUUACAGAGUCAAUAAUAUAUCUAGAGAGCUGAGGCUCGUGUCGAUUCGCAAUCUUGUGUUUACAUAACUAGGGUGUUAGCGGGGAAGGGCUGAGGCCCUAAGAGAGUUAUUUUAGAAUGAGGAGUAAGCCGGCCCAGGAGGACCUAACGGUCCCUUGUGCUCUUUAAAACAUGGGAACCGGUAUGGGAGGUAACAUUCCCCCUCCAGGGUCAACAAAUUCAUAAAAGUGCUUUUUUCUUUUUCUUCUCCCAAAACUCACCUCAACUUGCAUAAAAUGAGUUUCUUGACAAAACCAAACCUCAUGUCCAAUUCCGUGACUAUCCUUUCAUUUAUAAUUUCAACGCUAGGAUUUGCUAAGUACCAACCAUAAGUGUACUCAACCUUGCUUUCAUUAUACAAUUUUAGACAUUCUGGCUCUAAAUUUAUUCUGCCUGUGGAGUGGUGAAAAACUAUUUUUCCAUAAUUUUAUGCGUAUUUUAUUGUUUUGAUGCUAAUUUGUGAGGAGGAUUAUAUCAGCUACUGAUCCAGAGGAAGGUCCCCACAACCAACUGGUACUAAAUGAGCACCUUUAGUAUGAGUUAUGUGGCUUCAUACUAAUAGCCCCCUUUAGUACCAGUUCUUCAACCAGGGUUGAGACCGGUACUAAAGGUGGAUUCCCCAGUAGUGUGUGGUGCAUCACACCCCGUAUUCUUGUUAUAAACUGGUAGAGAUACUACCUUUCAUACCCAGUUGUAGAAUUGCGAGUAAGACCCUUAGGUAUUGAUCCCUCGUAUGCACUACCGGUUCACAUUAAUCCUGAACGAGGAGUGUUGUCCAUUUAUAUAGUAGUGUGAUUUAAAAGGAAAAAUAUAGUUUCCAUUAAAUAGUUAGUGAUGUGGCCUAAUCGUUGUUGCUUAUUGCGUUUUGUUUUCAAGAAAACACGAAAGACAUUUGUGCGGGGGAGUACCAUUUCAUGUAUACAUAUAUCUUUCCAUCACUACGGAAAAGAUAAAAAUUGCCGAGUGUUUUUUCUUUGCCGAGUGUUUCGAACACUCGGUAAACAGGCUCUUUGCCGAGUGCCAAGCUAAAAACACUCGGUAAAGAAAAAACACUCGGCAAAUCGAGGCUUUGCCGAGUGUCACAAAAAAUACACUCGGCAAACCCCCCUCUUUGCCGAGUGUCAAAAAAAACACUCGGUAAAGAGGGGGGGUUUGCCGAGUGUUUUUUUUGACACUCGGCGAAGAGGGGGGUUUGCCGAGUGUUUUUCUUGACACUCGGCAAAAAAAUAUUUUUUUUCCUCUUUUCACCUUGAAAUUUUUUCUACUUCCCACAUACAACAUGUGGUACUCCAUGUUAAAAUUUGGUAUAUUUUUGGAUUUAUUUGCCAUAUUUAUUUAAUUAAUUGCAUUUCAAGGAAAUUUUUGGUAUAAGUCAAAUUUGAACUGCAAGUGAUUCAAAUUAUGGAACAAAAUGAGUAGAAAAAUGAUAUUUAUGUUAUUUGGCUAAAUUUGAGACCUGACCCAUGAAAUGAAAAGAAAUUUCGAACAUAUUGUUCAGGAAACACGACAAUGAAUCGUGUGGCGGUAGUAUUUUUAAAUUGUAAAAAAAAUAAGCAAAGUCUAAUAAUCUUGGAUUUGUCAUGAUGUGAUGAUAUAAUAUGUAGAGGCUGUGGAAAAAAAUUGAGAAGGUUUUGCACAUUUCAUCAUGUACGAUGAUUACAAACCGAAGCAUCUCAGAAGAAGAAUAGUGACUUUGAGAAGGAUUCGAUAAAAUUUAGAGUCGAAGUGACGGUCGAGUUCAGUUUGACUACAAAACUUUUUGUAUAGUCAGUAGAGAACACAUAUUGUUUCGUGUGAAAAUUUAGUAUUUUUUUGAAACUGUUGGAUAUUUUUUAAUUUUUUUUGAAACCCUUUACUGAGUGUCCACAUCGGACACUCGGUGACUUCUUUUUUUCCCAACCGCCCAGAGUACUUAUCCCCGGCCGACACCGCACCCACCCGAUCUCCUUCAUUCCUCCGCCACUACCCCACCCGUCCCCCACCUCUUCCUCUCUCCCUGCCGCCACCGCCGCCCGCCGCCCGGCGCCCGACCUCCGGCCCCGCCACCGCUCGACGCCCGGCGCCCGGCCCCCGGCCCCGCCCGCUGCCACCCCCUUCUUCCCUCCGGAUUUGGCCUCUCCUUCCCCGGCUCCCUCCCCUCCGGCCGGAUCCGCGCCCCCUUCUUCCCCUCCGGCGCGGAUCUGGCGGCCCCCUGCUCUCUCCCCUCCAGAUCUGGCGCGGAUCCGGCAGCGGGUGAGGCAGCGUGGUGGCGGGUGGCAGCGGGCGUGGCGGCCGGUGGCGGCGUGGUGGCCGUGGCCGUGGCCGGCAACCGGUGUUUCUAUUUUUUUUUAUUUUUUCUGAAAAUGUUUGCCGAGUGCUUUUUGACACUCGGCAAAUCAUUUGCCGAGUGCCUGAUGUUCGACACUCGGCAACUCCACCGUUUGCCGUAGGAAAGUUCGCCGAGUGCGGUUCGCCGAGUGUUACACUCGGCAAACUGUUUGCCGAGUGUUUUUGGGCCUUUGCCAAGUGCCUCAGGCACUCGGCAAAGUUCCUUUUUCCGGUUGUGCAUGGCGUGUAUUAUAUAUGGUUUUGCUCUUGGAAGUUCUUGUCACUGGUAGAGAAUUGGCCUUUAGUCCCGGUUGGUAGGGUGCAUAUCUCUCGAAAAUCCAUUCGGGAUAAACUAACCGGGAUAAAAGGGGGGGGUCUCUAGUCCCGGGUCUUUUAACCGGGAGUAAAGGUCCCCCUUUAGUCCCGAUUGGUGUCACCAACUGGGACUAAAGGGCCUGCCACGCCAGGCGCGGGACAGGCCCUUUAGUCCUGGCUCGAUUCCAACCGGGACUAAAUGGCGCUUGCAUGGCACUGCCGUGACGCCUGAAUUUUUCAUGCAUGCAUCACGUAUACGUAGUACCGCGGCCCUUUUAAUUUGUUAACCUUGUAGUUGAGAUUUUUUUAGAACGAAAUCAACUAGUAUUUAAACGAAUGGGAUUUGUAAUUAUACAAUUACUAUAUAUAUACACAAUCCUUAUACACAAUUCAACUAGCUUAGUAAAAAUCGAUCAUAAUUAGCGCGUAUUAUAUAUACAAAUAAAUCAAAGUAUCUUCCUACAAUCUUCCCGUCGUGGUGUUGCUGAUCGGAGUGUCUAAUUGUCGUCCAUCGUAAUAAAAUUCUCCUUUUGGAUUUACCACCUCGUCCAUUAUGAAUCCAAUGAGACCUUCACAUAUUGCCGCUACUCUUUCUUCCUUCAAGAGUCCUUGUUGAAUAUUUAACAUCUAUAAUUUGGAAAUUUGUGAAUGUUACAUGAACAAAUACAUAUAAGGAGCUAGAAAAUAAUUAACUAUUAAUAGUUUUAUUUUACGUACUUUAAAGUUGUGCGGCGUCAUCUUCGGUCCCUUGGGUCCCAUAAAACUGUGCAUGUGCUCACAGGUGUAGUAGCCACAUAGAUUAUUCCCGGGUUCCUGUCUUAAGCACUUCAGUGCAGAAAAAAAUAAGUUAUGAAAUAUUCGUGUUAUACAAUGUAAUAAAUGUGCAGACUGCAUACGUACUGGGAAGUCUGUGUUCCAUGUAAGUUUUUCUUUGAAUGGACCUUUGUGUGUCCUUAUGAAUUGUUUCCAUGCGCUGCGGAUUAGAAUAAUGAAUGAUAUAGUGUAACACGGAUAAAAUUUAGGAAAUAAAUUUUUGCAUAGAGAUAAAGGUCCAGAAUUAUUACAAGCCUAGCAUGUCUUGCAAUUCUUGGUAGUCCACCGGAUCUUUACUUAACAAAUCAAAGACAGUGACGUGGCUUCUUUCAGGCUCAAUUAUAAUAAGGAUCCAGUGGAAGCUGCGUGCGUAAAAUGUUCAUGCAUAUUAGAGCUAACUAACAUGUAGAGAUAAGGAAAAAGACAUCGAAAGUAGACGGUAUACACACACUUACUUGAAGUUGUAUGGAAGUAGUAUGAAAUCCUUGAAUGUUUGUUUGUGUAGCAAAUUGUAUAUUUCCGUAAAGGUUUUUUCCGGCGCUAAUUGUAUUUGUUGUUGGUUAACUACAGAUGGAUCCAUGAAGCCUAUAUGUAGGUACGCAUCUCGGCGACAUGUCUGAAUUAGCAUCCUACAUGAAAUGGAAGAUGAAGUUAGUACGGUGACGCACGCCAAAAUUUACAUGUAGAGAUAAACGGACACUUACAGAAUCCAAGCGCUGAUCAGAGAGACGUCCAGAGCAUCAUGAUGGUACACUUCGUAUAUAUCCUUGAAGUCUAGCCACAGCACUUUCUCCCCUUCACCGUGAAAAUCUAUCGGUUUUACCUUCAUGCUGAUCAUCUCCCUCGAGUCGGCGGAUGCCAUCAUGUACCAUUGAUGGAAUUCGUACAUCUUUGUUGAUAGCUUCCGUACCAAUGAAGGCUUUACUAGAGGUUUGCCUAGCUCAUAAGGCCACUUCGGCUCAGGGGGCAGUGCAGUUGGCAUCUCAACUUGCCCUAUGCAUUCAUCAAGUCCCAGACCUGUUUCUUCCAUGAACUUCAAUACAUUUGCUUGUUGAUCCAAGGGCAUUGCUUUUACCCGUUGAGCAUCUUUUUUUGAUAAAUGGCUGAGGUCGGGGACUGGACCGCUGGAAGAUGACUUUCCUUUCCUUUUAUCCUUUUCAUCAGCCUUUACUAGAGCCCGUUCAUAGUUUGACAAGAGUGGUAUCCUUUUCUUGGCUCCUUCUUCCAUCCUGAUAAAAAAGUUUAAAUCUCGCCGACUUACUGGCGGUGGCUCCAUCUCCCUUGCCUUUUUUUCUUCGGCUUGUUUCUUGAACCACUCACUGGCCUCUCGUUGGAUUUCUGCCCACUGUUCUGCAUGAGACAUUACCUCAAAGCGUUCCUUACGAGUCACUUCAGGCUCCUUUGUUUUCUUCUUUCUCUGUCUUUGCUUGGGAGGCGGUGCUCGUGACUACUUUAGUGGUGCUGCAGGUUCCUUCAAGGGGGCCGCUCUUGGUGCCGGCGACGGUGAUCGGGGAGGGGUGUUGUUAUUGUCGUCGUCGCUCCCAGCACCAGGAUGUGGUGGAGAUGGAGACCUUGAUAUAGAUGGAAGGGACGGUCCUGGAGCAGGAGAUGCCGGUCUCGAGGUAUGAGGAGAAGGUCGCUGCUAGGGAUCUACGGGGAGCGGUCUUAAGGUCUGAGGAGAUGGCUCCGUGCGGAGAAUAAUGAUGUAGUGUUUCUUCCAUAGAAUGAUCCCAUGAAGCGCAUCUGCCAAUGUCUUUUCCCCGUCGCCUCCCGGGAAGUCGAGCUCUAGACCUUCAUACUGGGGAUCAACUAUUUGCUCGAUGCAGACGCUGGUGUAGCCUGUUGGAAUGUCCAUGCCAUGACUGCUCUGCCCUGCCAGGGUUGGUAACGCACUCCCGUACGCUACCUGUACAUAUAGUAGAAGUAAACAAGUUGAACUCCGAUCUCGAGGCCUGGAUCAAUUGACAAUAUUGCAUAAAUAUUAUGUAUAAGUAUACCUUAAUAGUGAGGUUGCCGACCGGUGCAUGCAGCUCACAUGAGGUCCGUUGCUCCUCCACGGGUAACCUGGGCGUCUGCGCAUCGGGGACCCCUGUAGAAGCACAACUGCUCAAGAGGUGUUGAGAAGGGCUGGCGGUGUUAGGAUUCGGCAUUGCUCCAGAUUGGGCCAACUCCGCAACUGCGUGGGCCACCCACCGAUUGAUUUCAUCCAUCAUUCUUUGUUCUAGCAUCUGCCGCCAGCUCUCCUCGAUCUGUUCCUUUCUUCACUUCCGGCUUCUGUAAGAGGCGCUGUCGCCUCGGAAAGCGAACUUCCACGGAACCACCCCGAACCCUCGGCAACGUCCUGGGUGCUCUGGAUUACCGAGGGCCAAUGUGAGCUCAUCAUUUUCUCGGUCCACCUUCAACCUCCCAGCCUUAGAAUCUUCAAUGUUCUUCAUGAGAUGUUUGGCCUUCUCACGUAUUGUGUCAUUAAAAAUCAACGUCCCAUCCUCUUGGCUUAGGGAGCCUCCAUGAGCGUAGUACCAAUUUUUUGAUCGUUCGGGCCAUUCAAUAGUUGCAGGUACGAUUCCCCGUUCGAUCAGAUCUUGUUCCAUCUUCCUCCACUUGGGAAUUGCUGAGCCAUACCCACCUCGCCCCAAAUGAUGGUGGUAGCCCUUCUGACUAGCAUUUGCUGUGUUGGUCGUGAUCUUUUUCACACCUUCUUCACUCCUCUUAUAUUCAACAAAUGCAUCCCAGUGGUCCCUCAACUUUGGCCACGCGUUGAAGUCUGGAGUUUUGCCCUUCUUGAUGUAGUGGGUAUCCAGCAUCUUCUUGAAUGUCUGGAAUUGAGUAGCCAUCUUCUUAAGCGUCCACGCUUUGACAUCCUUCUCACUAUAUCCUUCGGGGAAUGUGAAAUGUCUCUUCACGUCUUCCCACAGCAUAUUAUUUUCUGUCUCUGGAAGGGCGUACGGAUUAGUGCUUCUGCCCUUCCAUUCUCUAAUGCUGAUAGGCACGUUGUCCCGGACGAUUGCCCCGAUUUGACUCACGUACUUCUUUGCUACUUUCUCGGGAGCAACCGGCCUGCCCUCUUCUGUAACUUCCGUGAUGACAAGCCUCCCUUCCAUCACCUUUGUACGACCUCGGGUCUUCUGCCCUUGUGUCGAUCCGGAGGGCUAACAGUUCAAGAUUCGUUAAUUAGUACGUAGUAGUAACGGUGGCGUGAAACAAUUCAAGAAUGGUUGUAUAUACCUCGCCGAAACCUUCCGCCACGGCAAGUUGUUGCUGCGGCUGUUGCUCUUCAUUCCCAUCGGCGGACAUGUUGACGAACAUGUCCGCCUGGGUGCCCUCUUCAUCCGUGUAUGAUAGUGGAACGUUGUCGCCACUACCAUCACCAGCGAUUAUCUGCUCCAUGAUAUACCUUGCGGUCUCAUCGUCUGCCAUUUCAACUAUUGAUGGAAACAUACAUGGAAUCAUACAUGACAGUCAUAGAACUCGUCUUACUACAGAUUUGUACAAAGUCCUACAAAGUCCGGAAUCAUACAUGUAUAUAAUGAAAUCAUAAAAUAACAUGAAUCGUACAAAGUCCGGAAUAUUUAUACAAAUUUCUACGAAUUUCUACGAAUUUCUAUAAAUUUCUACGAAUAUCUACGAAUUUCUACGAAUUUCUAUGAAUUUCUACAAAUUUCUACGAAUUUCUAUGAAUUUCUACAAAUUUCUACGAAUUUCUACGAAUUUUGACGAAUUUCUAACAAUAUCCACGUGCGGUGCCUAGGUUGUGACGGCGGUGAUCAGGGCGGCGGAGGCGGGACGGCGGCGGUCAGGGCGGCGGUACGGCGGAGGCGGGGAUGGUUCACCGGAACCACGGGCGGUGCCUACUAGGUUGUGAUGGCGGCGGUUAGGGCGGCGGUACGGCGGAGGCGGGGACGGUUCACCGGAACCACGGGCGGUGCCUACUAGGUUGUGACGGGCGGCGGGACGGCGGCGAUCACGGCGGCGGGACGGCGGAGGGGACGGCAGUGCAUCCUACAAAUUUCUAACUUCAUUUUCUAACUUAAAAAUCUAACUUAACAAACUAACUAAAAAAUCUACAGUACAAAUAAAACUUAAUUUUCUAGCUUAACACUCAAAAUUAGAAAUCUAUCGUAAAAAUAUAACUUAAUUUUCUAACUUUAAAAAAAACCCUCCCGGCGCUGCCGGCCGGCGCGGCAGCGGACCUCUUGCGCGCGGGGCAACGGCCGGGUCGGCGGGACGGCGGCGGCCGGGGCGGCGAGGACGGCAGCUGCCGAGGCGACGACGACGAUGGCGGCGUAGGCAGGACGGCGACGAGAUGGCGACGAGGGGCGACGAGGGGCGACGAGGAUGGAGCCGGCGAUGACGAUGGAGCCGGUGGCCGGAGGCGACGAGGUGGCCGGGGGCCGGGCGCGUCGACGGACGAGGAGGGGAUCGAGGCGGGCCGGCCGGGGGACGACGACGGCGCAAUGGGGGACGUCGACGGCGCAAUGGGGGACGACGACGGCGGUGGCUGGCGAGGGAGGCGGACGGGCGGCGACGGCGGAGAACGCACGGGACUUGGCGAAAAUUUGGCUAAGUGUGUAACUGGCAGGGGGUAGAAGGGAGUACAGUGCCUUUUAACCCCCCCCCCCCUUUAUCCCGGUUCGUAAUGGCACCCGGGACAAAAGGGCCUUUUGUCCCGGGUCCCGUCACCAACCGGGAUAAAAGGUCCCCCUUUUAUCCUGGUUGGUGACGGGACCCGGGACAAAAAGGUGCCCCCGCCAGGUGGGGCUGGGAGCGUACCCUUUUGUCCAGGGUUCCGUCACCAACCGGGAUAAAAGGCCCCCUUUUAUCCCGGUUGGUGACGGGACCCGGGACAAAAGGGUGCCCCCGCCAGGUGGGGCUGGGAGCGUACCCUUUUAUCCCGAGUGCCACCACCAACCGGGAUAAAAGGGUACGUUCGGGCGGGAGACGAAACGUACCCUUUUAUCCCGGUUGCCGUUUGCAACCGGGAUAAAAGGGGGGCCUUUUGUCCCGGUUGCUGUUAACACCCAAGACAAAAGGUCUUUUUUCCUAUUUUUCUUCUCCCGCCUGUUUUUUGGAAAUGGAUUUUAUUUUAUCUUUUCACUGCAUUUCAGGAUGAAAAACAAAACCUUCACAGAUUUUGUACAUGCAAAAAUAUAUUUAAUUAACGAGUAAAUUGACAAUAAGUAUGAAUUAAUCAUUAAUUCUAUACCAGUUCAUUUAGCCUGUAAAAUAUUUAUUUUACUGCAUUGCUGUGAUCAAGAAAUUAUUCAAUUAAAUUAUUUCAAUGCGCAGAAAAAUCCAUGUUAGUAUGUGGUUAACAAUGUUCAUGUUUAUCUAAAAAAUCUUCACCUAAGAAAUUUAAUAACACAUAAAAUCAUACAUAGGGUAAAUUACAAAUUGUAUCAAUUAAUACACAAAGGUCAUGUACAUUUAACGCAUUACAAUACAACGUUGUAAAAUUUCUUCUUCACGAAAGUUUACUUGAUCAUGAUCGUGGCGUAAGUACGGAGCCUCUUCUUUGGAUAGCAGGAUGCUUGGAUCAACUUCAACGGCGAAUGGAGGCAUGCCAUCAAACUGAUCAUAAUCAUCUGAUUGGUCUGUUUUAUCCUCGACUCCCACGAUUUUUCUUUUACCUAGAAGAACUAUGUGGCACUUUGGCUCCCAUGUCUCUUCUGGAUUCCUCUUGGGUUUGCUGCACAUGUCCUUCACAUAGAACACCUGAUGCACAUCAUUGGCAAGUACGAAUGGGUCAUCACUGUAUCCAGUCUUGCUCAGAUCUACUAUUGUCAUUCCGUACUGAUCUUUGGUGACGGCAGUUAGCUUCACCCAAUUGCAAAGAAAUAGAGGGAUGUACAGCGGUCCGUAUUCGAGUUCCCAUAUCUCCUGUAUGAAACCAUAAUACGACUCCUUGCUAUUAUUUCUGUCCAUGGCAUCUAUGCGGACACCACUAUUCUGGUUCGUGCUUUUCUGAUCCUGGGCUCUCGUGUAAAAUGUGUAACCAUUUAUCUCAUAGCCUUGGAAUUUGACGAUUGUGGUAGCAGGUCCCCUGGCUAACCAGGCAAGCUGUGGGUGAAUCUCAGAGUUACCCAUAAGUUGUUGGCGCAACCAGGAGGGAAAAGUUUCCAUGUGAUGACGGGUAAGCCAAGCAUCGGAUUUGGUCGGGUUUUUGGAAGCUACCAUCUACCUGUGCUGCUCGAUAUACGGAGACACAAAGGAUGACUGUUGUAGAACAGUGUAGUGUGCCUUGUCGAACAAAUCAGUAUCAUUGCUCAAACUUGAUUUGCUUCCAAGGGUGCCCAUUCCUCGGAGCCUCCCCUCGUGGCGUGAAGUUGGAACCCCAAUCGAGUCAAUUGAAUCAAUAAAAUCAACACAAAACUCGAUCACCUCCUCUGUUCCAUAUCCCUUGGCGAUGCUUCCUUCUGGACGGGCAUGAUUAAGAACAUAGUUUUUUAGGACUGCCAUGAACCUCUCGAAAGGCCACAUAUUGUGCAGGUAUACAGGUCCGAGAAUACCAAUCUCUUUUACUAGGUGAACCAGUAAGUGCGUCAUAAUAUUGAAGAAGGAUGGUGGAAAUAACAACUCAAAUUUGACAAGAUAUUGCACCACAUCGUUGUGUAGCUUUGAUAGCUUGGAUGGAUCGAUUGCCUUCUGCGAAAUCGCAUUGAGAAACGCGCAUAGCUUUACGAGCGGCAACCGGACAUUUUCUGGUAGAACACCCCUCAGUGCAACCGGAAGCAACUGGGUCAUCAACAUGUGGCAGUCAUGAGCCUUGAGAUUUGUAAACUUCUUUUGUUUCAUAUUUAUUAUUCCCUUUAUAUUCGAGGAGUACCCAGACGGGACCUUCAUACUAUUCAAGCAUUCAAACAUGCUAUCCUUCUCUUCCUUGCUGAGAGUGUAACUGGCAGGACGUAAGUAGUGCUGUCCAUUAUCUCUCUUUUCCGGAUGUAGGUCAUCUCGUUGCCCCAUGGCUUUCAGGUCCUGUCGUGCUUCCAAUGUAUCUUUUGAGGUUCCAUAAACACCCAUGAAGCCUAGCAUGUUCACGCAAAGAUUCUUACAGUGCUUCAAGUACAUGCUGUCUGUGUCGUCUAAACAGUGGGUGCAUGCCCGAUAUCCCUUAUUUGUCUGUUCUGAAAGGUUACUCAAUGCAGACCAAUCGUUGAUGGUUACGAACAACAGUGCUCGUAGAUUAAAGAUCUCUUGUCUAUCCUCAUCCCACACACAUACACCUUCUUCCUUCCAGAGCUGUAAAAGGUCAUCAACCAACAGCCUUAGGUACACGUCAAUGUCGUUGCCGGGUUGUUUUGGGCCUUGGAUAAGCGCCAGCAUCAUAAUGAACUUCCGCUUCAUGCACAGCCAAGGAGGAAGGUUGAACAUACAAAGGGUCACAGGCCAAGUACUAUGGCCACUACUCAACUCACCGAAUGGAUUGAAUCCAUCAGUGCUUAAACCAAACCUUAUGUUCCUUGCUUCACUUUCAAAGUCUGGGAAUGUUCUAUCAAUUGAUCUCCACUGUGCCCCAUCUGAGGGGUGUCUCAGCAUCUCAUCUUCCGUACGGUCUUCUUUGUGCCAUCGCAUCAACUUAGCAUUUGCCUUGUUCCUGAACAAGCGCUUCAAGCGUGGUAUUAUAGGGAAAUAAAACAUCACCUUCGCGGGAACUCUCUUCUUGGGAGACUGCCCCUCGACAUCACUAGGAUCAUCUCGCCUGAUCUUAUACCGCAGGGCUUCGCAGACGGGACAAGCAUCCAAUUUCUCGUAUUCAUCACCAAAUCAACUGACCAAGGUCAUCAGUAGGGUCAUUUUCUGCAAACUCAUCUUCAUCAGCCUCGCCCAUUGUAGUACCUGCAAAAGCUUGGCCUGCAACCCAGUCCGGAAUGGUGUCAUCUUCCUCCUCCUCCUCGCCAUCUUCCAUUACAACCCCUAGUUCACCGUGCUUGGUCCAAACCAAAUAGUUAGGCAUGAAACCGUAUUUAAACAAGUGGCUGUGAAUAGUCCCCCAGGAAUCCUUUGAAUACUCCUUCCUGUUAUUGCAUUGGAAGCAUGGACAACAUACGAACCCAUUCUCUGGCUUAUUCGCUUUUGCCACUUCGAGAAAAUAAUGCAAGCCAUCAAUAAACGCCUUGCUCCGCCUGUCUGCAUUAUACAUCCAUUGCCGGUCCAUCUGCAUCAUAUUACGCAUGAAAAUGGAUUACACUUGACAAUGGAUUACGCGUAAAAAUCGAUUAAAGAUCCAAACAAUAUGGUACAAUACAACAACAUGAAGAUCCAAAUAAACAUAUUUAAAUUAAAGUCCCAAACAACAUGAUACAAUACAACAAGCCAUCCACUGGUUAUUAUCAAGGAGGACUUUAAGCAUCCUUGGACGGUGAAGACGAAGGUUCCGCUGACCCAACCUCAUCCUUAGGUUUAUUUGUGCCGCCUGAAACGGUAGUACUAAGUGGACGUGAAACACCCGGGACUGAGGGUGGAGCAUAACGACCACCAAAAGGAGGUUCCUGACCCGCGGCAACAGCUUCUUCAUGACGUUGCUGCAAAUAACGAAGCAUUGCUUUUUCCAGCGCGCUCUUUUUCUUCGGCUUAUGCUGAGGGCCAACUAUGAUUGGAACCUUGCCAUAAUAGGAACCACGAUCGCCCCCACCAUCGCCACUUCCUCCAAUAGCAGAAGCCAUCUAUGUACAAAAAUUAUUAUCUUAACACUGCAUAAGUUGUUCAACUUGAAGACCGUGAUCAUCUCGCGAGGAUGUCCUCAACUGGGCGGCACCGCACUUCGUCAUGAAAGAGGUUAGAUGCUACGGAAAAGGGGACACGGUCACGAUGUCCGUAUCCACUCUUUCUCGUAGAAUCGAACCUCCUUCUUGACAUACGUUGCUGCUCGGCGGAAAACAUCCUCGGAGAGAUGAACACGGUAUGCAAGUUCAACAAGUAGCAGAAGUCAUCUAUGUACAAAAAUUCUUUCCUUACCACUACAGAAGUUGUUGAACUUGAAGACCGUGUUCAUUUCGCGAGGAUGUCCUCAGCUGGGCGGCACCACACUUCGUCAUGAAAGAGGUUAGAUGCUACGGAAAAGGGGACACGGUCACGAUGUCCGUAUCCACUCUUUCUCGUAGAAUCGAACCUCCUUCUUGACAUACGUUGCUGCUCGGCGGAGAACAUCCUCGCCGAAAUGAACACGGUAUGCAAGUUCAACAAGUAUGGAUUUAAAAAACCAUAUUGAAUUUGAUAAGAUAAACCGUCUAGACAAGGUAGCAUCAUUUUUAAACCACUGCAAUAAUGCAUACUAUAUAUGACACAUCAAUCUCCCUCACAUUCUAGCUCAAAAUACCUCUCCAUUUUUCUACUUCAUCAUCACAUUGUAGCAAAUAAUCUUUCCAUCUCCAAAGCAUAAAUCAAAGCAUAACACGAGGAUGAAGUAGCAAACCUUCGCAACACUUGUGUUGGCCGAGUGAAAUUCCCACGAAAAUGAGGGAAAAAACUUCGGGCAGCACCUUCCUUGCUUGCUUCGACACCACUGGAGAGUAGGUGAAGCUCAGCUCUCUCUGUCAAUGUGCUGGAUUGGCUCGGGCUGGAGGAGGAAGAAAGUCCUCUGUCUUGGCCGUAUAUAAUGGGGAUGAGUUUUUAUCCCGGUUAAAAACUCCAACCGAGACAAAAAGGAACACCUUUUGUCCCGGUUGGAAGUUUAGUCCCGGUUGGAGGAUCCAACCGGGAUAAAAGGUGAACCCUUUUAUCCUGGUUGGAGGCACCAACCGGGACUAACCUUUUUAUCCCGGUUGGUGCCUCCAACCGGGAUAAAAGGGUUCACCUUUUAUCCCGGUUGGAUCCGCCACCGACGCCCUCCAGCUAGCCGUUGCAACCGGGACUAAAGGGAGUAAAUCUCCCCUCCAAUUUUGCCUACCGUGGCGCACCCCCUUUUGUCCCGGGCCAACUUUAAACCGGGACAAAAGGGGGCGGAUCGAAAGCCAAUUCUCUACUAGUGUGUGGAUACGGCCUCACGGUCUCCUCAUCAUCCUUCAAUGAAGAAAGUGUAUAUAAACGUACUCAUUCUGUAUAUUCGACGACCUAGUAUCGUAUACCUCCCAAGUCUUUGCCUGAUAAUUAAGCACGUGAUCAAGUUGGCUUUACAAAGUCUCGUUAGCAGUAGCUUAAUACAUAAUUAAGUUUUCUUAUUGCCCGUACGUCUUGUUCGAUGUGCAACAAGUCCUGCCGUACGGUGCUUUUAGUGCAAAUUUAAUUAAAUAGAUGCCAAUUGCUACGCUUGAAGGAUGAAGGACAACACACACAAGUGGGCCACCUGCAGCUUGUCUUCACCAUCACAUGCUCUAACUGCAAAGAUAAGUACUUAACACACUAUACUAGCUAGUAUACUACACUAGCAUGUGUUGGAUGAUGUAAGCAUGCAGUCUCUGGAUGAUGCAACUAAAUUAAUUUAUAUAUGUCCGGUAAUUAACGUUGUGUUUAAAUUUUUUCCGUGCCGGCAAAACAAAGUGUCUCCAAAAGGUAUGUCUUUUAGUCACCGUCACUGUAACUGAAUUCUUUGCGUAGUUUGCUGUUGCUUAACUGCACACAUAAACCAGUUUAACAUUCAAAUGAGCCAAGGGCAUCUUAAUUAGCAUGGUAAUUUCAUGUCGACUUGGCACUUUUGGCAACAUGCAAGACUUUUCUUGGUCUUGAUUCCGGAGCCACUACUAGCGCACCCGAUCAGUGGGCCUCGCAAUUCUAUGCCAAAUCACGUGAUAGAAUGCAACUAGUUAGUACUAGCCUAUAGCACAAAACUGAAUUUGAUGCCUUGACAUAGGAUUAGUUUACACCCAAUAAUCCCAAGCCCGAGGCGCGCUAGAUCCAACCACCGGAGGUCGCGCCGUGCUCCACGCCAUGCCGCACCGGAUCCGGUCCUGAAAGCCACAUCUCCACCGCCCAAGCGCCGAGACCUAGGGCGCCUCGCUCUUCCUCUCCCUAGCAGUUGGCCGUGCCCUAAGCCCGCCGUCCCCCGCCACACCUAGCAGUUCAACAUUCAAAUGAGUGAUUUCAUGCCUACUUGGCACUUUUAGCAACGUGCAAGACUUUUCAUGGUCUUCGAUUCCGGAGCCACUACUAGCGCACCCGAUCAGUGGGCCUUGCUCUAACUAGUUAGGUUGAGUGUUAUUAGCAGUUUCCAUUGACAUGAUCACCUAAUCUGGCAGCUAGCUAGAACGUGCGUGAAGUCAGAGUUAAGUAAGGUACAGACACAGUUGCUUUUCAAAAAGCAACUUCUCUGCAAAUAAUCUUUGAUGACUUCACCAAGUCAACGUCUUCGUAUUAGUUGGACGCAUUCCACUUGCAAGGUACUAAGCACUCAUCUCUAGUGCAAAACUCAGGUAUCAUUGCUGCUAUCAAUGAUCCCUGCUUGUUUAAUUGCUCUCUCUCUCUCUUUUGACCUUUUCCAUGUCCAAAUGCUCCACAUGCUUGGCCUGCAAGAGGGCACUGCUAGGAAUGUGGACUUAUUGAAGGGACAUGUUUACCUCGGCCUUUCCACUGAACAAUCAUUUUCAUGGAAAACCCCAAAAGGUGUGGGUUUUGUUAAGUCUAAAAUGAACCAACUAAAGAGUUAGUAACCAUUAAGAAUAGUGUUGGGGAUCGCCCAAAAGAUCAAUCACCCUCGAAAUCAUUCGAAACAAGGUCUUGUACUUGGCUCUGCAUUAUGCUUAACCUCGAAUGGAAUUCCCCAACCUCAGAGGGAAAACACAGUGCAAAGAGGCAGAUUCAGCCCGAAGCCAAGUGGCCUUAACCGCUCCUUAGGUUGAUUGAUCCUAACCUCGAGCACCCGAAGCUAACCCUAUGUGCCAAGUUGUCUAUUAUCCUAUGCAGGUUCACCUCUUUUGGUCUGGAACCAGAACGCAAAGUUAAACGUGUCUUGGUCAUGAGGCCUAGGCGGACCAGACUCUCGAAGCUUGCCGACCUCGGACGCUUGGUUGGAGCCCUGAACGCGAGGUUAGAAGGCAUGGAGGCAUUGAAGCGGUCAAGGUGGGAAUCGCGGAGCCUUGUGAGUGCGUGAUUUGCGGAGCUGUCGGGCAGCGUAAGAAAUGUGAUAUCCAAAUGACUUGCAUGUAAAGCAUAUUCUGAGAAUGUAGUUGUUCAAUGGGGGCAAAUGUGUAAUGCCAAGUACCUCUCAGGACACUAUAAAAUUAAAGGGGAACCAUCCCGUUGUAAAUUUUACGCUCACUCUUGUAUACAGUAAGACCAAGGAGGCUUAUUGCGCUCCGUUGUGACAAUUCUUGGCCGAAGUUAAGACCCAACAAAUACAACAUGGAAGUAAGGUGUCAGCCUUGGUAGAGAUUUAUGUCCCAAAGCUUACUUCGAUCACUUAAGGACUGGUUCACGGGCAAGUCUUUCUAGUGAAAUGUACAACCAUAUGUGCCAAAAAAGUACAGCCUUCGAGAGUGACUAUUCAUGUAAGGCCUUCAUUUAUACCCUGCUAACUGAAUCUAGAAAUCCAUCCCAAGGGGCCACGGGUAGGCAACAGAUAUACUAGAACAAGUCCUUCACAUAGUAUAUCUGGGGAAAGGAGAAAAGUGGGAGGAGAGAGAGAAAAGUGGGAAGGGUAGGGGGGUAAAGAGUACCCUAUAAGCAAAAUAAGCAGCUCCAAACUUGCUUAUUUGCUUAUGCAAAAGCAACUUAUAAGCAAGUCUAUAAGCAAGGGUGUUUGGGUUAUAAGCAACUUAUUUGCUUAUUUAUAAGUUGCUUAUUUAUAAGCAAUGGUAACCAAACAGACCCUAAAGCAACUAAUCAAGACGGCGGGCUCUACGAUCAAAGCUAGUCGAUCGUCUCCGUGGUACGCCUUCAUCGUGCCCCGAUGAUGCACACAUUAUGUAUUAUUUGUGUUCACUGAAUUUAAUUUCUUCCGCUGAGAAGAAAGCAAGUGUAUCGGAAUCUUCAUCUCGCUACCUAGCAUGCGGAUUCAUACCAACUUUAUGCAUGUGCAGUUGAUUUCCAAAUACAACAUAUUUUCUUUCUAGCCAAAUAUGGCAUACCAAAAGGUUGGUUUGGGGGUGGGGGGAUCCUACCCUGGUGAUGCUUGGCCAUUUGGAUACUACUGUGUUACUAUUAGGUAGCUCGAUCAUAAUAUCCAUGUCUCACUAGUAGAGAAUUGGCUUUCGAUCCGCCCCCUUUUGUCCCGGUUUAAAGUUGGCCCGGGACAAAAGGGGGUGCGCCACGGUAGUUGACUUGCAUGUAAAGCAUAUUCUAAGAAUGUAGUUGUUGAAUGGGGGCAAAUGUGUAAUGCCAAGUACCUCUCAGGACACUAUGAAAUUAAAGGGGAACCAUCCCGUUGUAAAUUUUACGCUCACUCUUGUAUACAGUAAGACCAAGGAGGCUUAUUGCGCUCCGUUGUGACAAUUCUUGGCCGAAGUUAAGACCCAACAAAUACGACAUGGAAGUAAGGUGUCAGCCUUGGUAGAGAUUUAUGUCCCAAAGCUUACUUCGAUCACUUAAGGACUGGUUCACGGGCAAGUCUUUCUAGUGAAAUGUACAACCAUAUGUGCCAAAAAAGUACAGCCUUCGAGAGUGACUAUUCAUGUAAGGCCUUCAUUUAUACCCUGUUAACUGAACCUAGAAAUCCAUCCCAAGGGGCCACGGGUAGGCAACAGAUAUACUAGAACAAGUCCUUCACAUAGUCCCAGAUCCGGUCAGCACAGGUUGACUGUGAGAGGGUCAAAGACCCUAUUGAUAUAUUUGCUUUAUGCGCACUUUCCUGGGGUAAUAUUCGUGAGGCAGAUGAGAGUAACCCUUGUUUGGAUCCCAGUAUAUAUGCGGAUGGACCUAGAUGAUAUUGUGUAGAGAUAGACACUGGUAGGUACGGGUCUCGUAUGUACCGCCUAAAGCUACGAUAUGGACUGACCUAAUGUGUGUGUACAGUUUACAAACUCUGCAGAGUCAAUAAUCUAUCUAGGAGCUGAGGCUCACAGUCACUAGCUCACAUAGUUAAAGCUCCCAUUGAUCAGCAAUCAUGUGUUUACAUAACUUGGGUGUUAGUGAGGAAGGGCUAAGGCCCUAAGAGAGUUACUUUAGAAUUAGGCGUAAGCCGGCCUAGGAGGACGGUGGCGGUCUCUGGUACUCUUUAAAGCAUGGGAACUGGCAGGGGCGGAUCCAGGGCCCGGGCUGCUCGGGCUGCAGCCCGGGGCGAGACCAUGAAGUCCCUUUAACCUAUGUGCUGUUUAGCCUAACAAAAUGAGGCUUAGGAGACAAAAUUAGACUAUUUUAGGUGUGAUUCAACAGCUCAGCCCGGGGCGCAGUCCCAUUCUGGAUCCGCCCCUGGGAACUGGUAGGGGAGGUAACAUUCCCUUCAAGAGCCAACAACUUCAUAAAAGUGUUUGCUUCUUUUUCUUUUCCCAAAACUCACAUCAACUUGCAUAAAAUGAGUUUCUUGAUAAAACCAAACCUCUUGUACUUUUCCUUGACAUCCCAAAACUCACAUCAACUCUUGGAAGUUCUUGUGGAUACGGUCUCACGGUCUCCUCGCCAUCCUUGAAUGAAGGAAGUGAUGCACUUAUAUGAACGUACACAUUCUCUAUAUUCGAUGACCUAGUAUCGGAGACCUCCCAAGUCUUUGCCUGAUAAUUAAGCACGUGAUCAAGUUGGCUUUCCAAAUUCUCGUUAGCAGUAGCUUAAUACAUAAGUUUUAUUAUUACCCGUACGUCUUGUUCGAUGUGCAAAAAGUCCUGCCGAACGGUGCUUUUAGUGCAAAUUUAAUUAAAUAGAUGCCAAUUGCCACGUUUCAUAGUAAACCAAAAAAAACUUGCUGAAGUUAGACACCACACAAGUGGGCCACCGGCCUGCAGAUUUUUUAAAGGAAUACAUGGGAAGGAAUCUUUUCCUUUUCAGAAAUGCAUGUACAAUAGCAAUGGGCUUUCUAGUUGACCAACCUAGACGUAUCGAGCUCUGUCAACAUCAUUAAUUUAGCUAGAUUUAAUAAACGAAGUUUCCUCGCAACCAUGUUUUGACACCAUCAACCUAAAUCGUCCAUAAUACUAAAGACUGUAAAUCAUAUGACCCGCGCCUAUAAAUAGCCACGCCGCCGGAGCGAAUUGCAAAGCAUGAAGCGCCUUGCAGCCAUGGCAGCACAAGUGCUGUGGUUUCUCCUUACUCCUACCGUAGCAUUUUCCUAUCUAAUUCCACUGCCGCCAUUGGUGGCAGCAGCCUCCGGUUCCAACAUAGCGCCACCACCACCGGUGGUAGCAGCUCCAAGGCCGGGCUGCCCUAGCAUGUGCGGCAAUGUAAGCAUUCCCUACCCAUUCGGCAUCGGGGACGAAUGUGCCUUGGGCUCGGACUUCGCCAUCACUUGCAACCAUAGCUUUAACCCUCCAAGACCGUAUGGAGGCAAUUUUGAGAUCAUCAGCAUCUCGUUGGAGGCCGGCGAGAUGCGUGUCUUCUCCCCCGUGGCCUACAUCUGCUACAACUCAUCCAACACCACUGAUUCAACCGGAGUCAUCGACUGGACAUUCAACUUCUUCACAUUUCUUAUCUCGCCGACGCGCAAUGUCUUUACAGGCAUCGGCUGCGACACGUGGGCGUAUAUGGAAGGCAGAGAGGAUUCCAGCUUCUUCACUGGCUGCAUCACCACAUGCAACAGCUUGCAUGCCGCGGCUCGAGACGGCGAGGAGUGCGCGGGGCUUGGCUGCUGCCAGAGUUCCAUCCCGACCAACAUCUCCACGAUACACAUCUACUGGGAGAGAAACAGCUCAAAUAAUGCAUGGAGAUACAGCCCCUGUAACUACGCUUUCAUCGGGGAGAAAGGCCGGUAUGUAAUACCACUAACUUAAAAAGUCCAAAUUAAACUACACAGCCCCUGUGUAUUAUGAUGGCCUAUCUUAUGUUCUUAACUUGUCAAGAUGAACUUUGAUAUUUUGUUAUUUAUUGUAAGGUACCACUUCAAACAGAGAGACCUCAUCACACGUGUUGCAGACAAGACCUUUACUGACCGUUUUGGAGACAGAAGCAUCCCUAUGGUGCUUGAUUGGGCCAUCAGGGAUGGUGUGUCUUGCCAGGCACCACCAAAGGAUGCUGGGGCGUCGGCUAAACCGACAGCUCCCGCUUGCAUCAGUAGAAACAGCUUCUGUGUUAACGCCACACAGGGACCUGGGUACGUCUGCAAUUGUUCCAAGGGCUACACGGGCAACCCCUACGUCACCGAUGGCUGCACAAGUUAGUAAAUUUUAUUUACUCUUCGUAUAUAGUCUGUAUUCGUUUUGCAUAAAUAAGCAUGGCAUUUUUAAUCAUUAAAGGAUUUAUUUGAGGGAUAGGAAAUGGUUUACUAGGAUUGUUGGAUCCAUUGAAAGGCUUAUUAGAUGCCUUGUAUAUUGCUCAGUGGCAUGCUUGGCGUCAUGACCUUGAGCCUUGCAGUCCAAGCAUACCGAUUGGCUCGUGUCAUGCUCUGCUCCGUUUUAUCGGUAUCGUCCCUUGUUGAUUGAGGUCCCUGCUAUUGUUUGCAGGUCCAAACUAAAAACCUGCAACCGUAAACCUGCACACUUUGACCGUAUAAACUGGGCUGGUUGGAGGAAGGGAGGCCUUGUUUGGAAGGGGGUGCUAAAACUUUAGCACCCCACUUCUAGCACCAUUUUAGGACUUGUGUUGCCAAACAGAUGUGCUAAACGUGGGGUGCUAAAGUUUAGUCCCCGUCUCCUUUAGCUCCUCUAAGGGGUGUUAAAAUGGGCUAAAAGUGGUCCCAAGGACUAUCUUUGCCUGGUUGCCCACCCCCACCCCCCCUCUCUCUCCUCCGCCAGCAAAUCCGCCUCCGCCCGACCCCUCUCUCUAUCUCCUUCGCGCCGCACUCCGCCUCCACCUUGCCGCCCAACCCGUGUUCUUCGGCGGCACCCCUGCCACCAGAUCCGGGGCGGCCGGCUAGAUCCUCGCUCCCCAUCCUUGCAACGCGGGCCUAACGGGCCAGACGCUGGAUUCGAGGCGGCCGGCGACGUGCUCAUCGCCGGAGGACAUGGAGAACAGCUGGGCUAGCGCGCCGCGGUGGGGGCGUCCUUGGUUCCGCAACCUCUUUUUCUACGAGUCCACGAUGAUCUUGUCUCCGAUGGCGCCGCAGCUGGGCGGGGACGUGUGGGAGUAGGUAGAGCAGUUGGCGUCCGUCAAGCACGGCACCAUGCUGGGCCAAGAACAGGCUGGUGGCUGUAAAACCCCGUCCUCCAAAGCCGCACCAUCCAGCCCUUCUGAGGGGCGGACACGCAUACACAUAGCACCCUGCUUACACUUUCGUCCUCGCUUCAUAUAAGAGGGUUAACCCGAAGGUGCUAUGGCUUGUUGAUGAAGGCUUAUAAGUUGGUCCCACCCUUGCUCAACUAGCAAUGUUGUACUAAACAUGCGCGCCUACGCUCAUAGGCCACACUGGGCCAACCAAAUUGGGCCGGGUGUCAUAUUCACCCCCCCCCCUCAAAAAACCCGACAUCCUCGUCGAUACCGUAUGUGUAGUGCCGGCACCACAUGCCAUGCCAUGUGUCCCAUCCAGAACCCACACGAGCCAUGCGCCAUAUGCCCGCAUACAGACCCGUACGCGCAACCGUGAGUGCCGGUACAACUCACCCACACAUGGGAAAAUGUCUAGGAACGUUCCAUCUUAGUGCAUGAUUGUACGCCCAGUGAUACCCGCACACUGACCCGUAUGCGCAACCACGAGGGUCAGCUCUGAUACUAUUUGUAACACCCCGUCCUCCAAAGUCACACCGCCCAGCCCUUCCAAGAGGCGGGCACACGUACACAUAGCACCCUGUUUACACUUUCGUCCUCGCUUCGUGUAAAAGGGUUAACCCGAAGGUGCUAUGGCUAGUUGACGAAAGCUUAUAAGUUGGCUCCACCCUUACUCAACUAGCAAUGUGGUACUAAACAUACGAACCUGCGCUCGUGGGCCACAAUGGGCCAACCAAAUUGGGCCGAGCGUCACAAUGGCGUUCGUCGGUUUGAGGGGGAAGUACCCGCGAUGGGGGCAGUUCGUGGUGGCGAAGUGCCGGAUGGACCCGCGAGGCCUGUUCAACGGCCCAUUGUCCGACGAGGUCAUCGGCGGGGUGGAGAUGGAACCGGUGGUGGCGCCGCUUGGAUGUGGAGGGGGCACGAGGGAGGAGAGGAGACCGUGGGAGGCACCCGUGUGCAGCGGAAAGGAGGGAAGGAGGGGUACACGUGUCUUUUGUAAAUCCUUUAGUCCCGGGUCAAAAAUCAGCCACCCGUGGGAGACCCUUUAGUUGCGGGUUAAAAAAUCAGGCACCUGUGGGAAACCCUUUAGUCCCGGUUGAGUGACCCGGGACUAAAGACCCCCCUGUCUUGAUUGCUUUAUCCCAGAUGGAUUUUCACGAGAUUUGCUCCCUACCAACCAGGACUAAAGGGGACUUUUCCAUGGGUGAAUCUGCAGGUUGUCAGCCCUUCAGAGUUCUCAGGCCUUCAGCGUUUCAGUGUCAUGUUGCCAUGCUGUGAGUGCCGACCCUAGAAUCUUCAAGCUAGCUGAUAUAAUCUUAGUUGGAUAUCGAUAGUAGCAAUCACGCGGAGUGUGGAAAACGUUAGCAUUUCCUUCGUUACCGUAUAUAUAAAUUUCUUCCAGUUUCCGUAGUUUUCUUCUACACCCGCUGGUGCCAGUUUUCUUACAGCUAUAUGUGCUUACAUAGUCUAGUGAACUGGGGAAACAUAAAAUUCUUAGCCUACAGCUUCCACAACUCUUCAUAAAAUAAAUUAGACCCGGCUGUCUAAAUAUACACAUAAAGUUCAUCUAGUGUACUUGCACCCACCAAAUACAUGUUUUGCAACCUAGCUAGAGAUAAACCUCGUAAGAUACUACUAUACAAAUGUAAAGGCACAUAAGAUUGCAAAAAGUAGUCACAAGAACUUAGGAAUGAGCUAGAGGAUGCAAACUCUCGAUUUUACCUCAUGGUAUUGGUAGUCAAAUGCUACCCCUAGUCCACGUUGGACUACAACCAAAUUAAGGAUAUGCUCAAGGCCACCAAAUCUCUCCCGGUAAAAGUUCUGGACUUGUCAUUCAUGUUUCUUCCAAGAUGGAUGAGGAGCAUGCCAUAAAAGGCAAGUGACAAUUCUCUCUUCUGGUCACAUUGUCAUUGUCUUCACUACAAAGCUUCUCCAAAGAAGGAGGUAUCCUUGUUAAUCGCAACCACUCCACACCAAGCCAAAGGUUUGACAAAGGUUCCGGUGAGCCAUAAGCCCAAAUGGUGUCGGUGCACCAAGCUUACAAAAAUGAUUCACCUCCUUGAACCAAGCAUUAGACAUCAACACCUCCAAUUUCUCUCUAUAGGCAUAAUCUAGCACUAAACACACUCUAAACAUGUGCUAGUUAAUUGCCUUGAAUGAUCAACUUAGCACCUUGGUAACUUGGAUAUGCCUCUAGUGUAUCUUGGAAUACCUUUGAAUUCAGCACACUCUAGGGUAUGUGCACCCACGCUUCAACCACAUAGCCAUUGGAAAACAUAAUACCCAAAGCUAUAGCCAGUUUCUCUCGUUAAGCUUGAUAUCUCUCGUUAAGCUCCAGUCGUUAUAUACUCCAAUGUCUCCAUCUAGCCUUCGAGUUUUAGCUGCUUUCUUCACUCCAAACCAAGCCGAUCUCAUUUCUUUCAUCCGUUGCCUUGAUUUCACUACCGGUCGGAUCUUACAAUCACCUGUUCUUCUCACACGGAUCAUGUUUCAUAGCUCCGAUCAAUUUUUCUGGUCGGCCAUUCUAUCUUCAAGUCAUAACUUUGAAUCAGGACAAAAGUUUGCAAUUUGCACAUGUUUGUUCGGGCGAACUCCGGUCAGUGCUUCAAUGCACCAAAGCAUCAUCCGAUCACCUUUGAGUGCAAUGCCUUGAGAAAAUUCUAUCUCAUACAGGUGACAUUAGUAAAUAAAUGCAUACAUAGUUGCUUCGUAUAUGCGGGCUAGGGUUUGGUUUAUCAACUAGGUGGAAAAAACUUUCUUUUAGAUUUUCAUGUAUUAUUAGUUGAAGUUUAUGUGAAUGUCUUUUGCAUCUUAUUGUAUACAGAUAUCAACGAAUGUAGCAGUACAACGAAUGGUCCUUGUGGCAUGUAUAGCACAUGCGAGGAUACAGAUGGUGAUUAUAAUUGCAAAUGCAACUUGAACCGGAAAGGAGAUGGUAAAAGUGAAAAAGGAUGUUAUCAGUAUGUAUUUGCACCAUAUGCUAUUGCUGCCGUAGGUGAGGCUCAUUAAAUACAGCACGCUCCUCUCUACCAUAUGCUAUUGCGUCCACUUUCGUAAGGGUUUAGUAAAAAAACAUUAAAGGACAUUUAACCUUUAUUUGUCGGAAUAUAUAAUCAGUUAUUUUUAAAUCAGUACAAUAUAUCAAAACCUCUUUGAAAUACAUAUAUUGUUAGCAUAAUGAUAGGAUCCCUGCUGGCUGAUUAACCAUUUCCGUUUGUUGCAAAAUGUCAGUCAUACAACCUAUUACUAUUUUUAUAAGAACAAACUUCUUCGGUUUUAAGAUUAAAAAAACUUUUACUUUAAAGUGUAGAUAUGGAGUUGCCGUAACUUAACUUAUAUGUUAGUGAAUCACACAACAUGUAUCCUUAUUGUUUGCAGCAAUAACUCUUGUCGUCAUCCUAGCAUGUUUGUCAAUUAUUUUGCUUAUGAGACGAGAGCAGAGGAAACUUUUCAACAAAAACGGUGGCGACAUUCUAAAGGAGGUGGGUAUCAAAAUCUUCACCAAAGGGGAUGUGAAUACUAUCACAAAGAGCUACAGCAAUCGCAUUGGAAGAGGCUACUUUGGCGAUGUCUAUAAGGGGACCAUCAUCGACGAUCCCCCCCAAGCACUACAGGUCGCGGUUAAAUGCACUGUGGCGAAAAAGGUGGCACGCCUUCGGCAGAAGUCGCUGCGAGGUGAGGCGCCGCAGCACGAGCAGGAGAAGCUAUGGAAGGAAGGGUUCGUGAGGGAGAUCAGCUUCCAAUUCAAGGUUAAGCACCCAAACAUGGUCCGCCUCAUCGGGUGUUGUCUGGAAACGGAUGUCCCCAUACUAGUCUUUGAGUUUGUCGGUAAAGGAAGCCUCCAUGAAGUGCUUCAUGGUGCCAACAAGCUCACUCUCUCGCUGCCAAAGCGGCUUGACAUUGCCAUUGGUUCAGCAGAAGCUCUCUCCCAUAUGCACUCGCAUGGUGAUUAUAAACACGUCCAUGGCGACGUCAAGUCCGACAACAUCCUCCUUGACGACGACCUCAAUCCCAAGGUAUCUGACUUUGGGUCUUCCAAGCUCCUUUCGGUCAAGAGUUAUGCUAGGGACGUAGCUGCAGAUGGGAACUACAUAGACCCAGUGUACUACAGCACGGGACAUUUCACGGUAAAGAGUGAUGUCUACAGCUUCGGUGUCGUGCUCCUUGAGCUCAUCACAAGGAAGAAGCCUAGGUAUGGCAGUAGCGAUGGUAACAUUCUGACCAUAGACUUCAAGAAGUCCAUCAAGAACCACAGCAAUGCACGGGAGAUGUAUGACGCAGAGGUCUUAUCCGAUGACAAUGCUCAAUCUCAUCGCUACAUGGAGUGCCUUGACAUGGUCGGUGCGCUCGCGGUCCGAUGCCUCAGUGAAGAUGCGGAUGAGAGACCAACCAUGGCAGAGGUGGUGGAUGAGCUUAAUCAAGUAAAGUCGAUAGCCUGCGGGAUCGGAGCUCAUGCUCUGACCUGAGUUGAAAGCAGCAUAUGAAGGAAACAAAUUAGGUACGAAUGGUCAUGGCUUGAGCUUAUUAGCAAUCUCUAUAUCCAUUAAUUAUAAUUGUCAAGUUGAAUGUAAUAUAUAGCUAUGGACGUAGAAAUGAGUAAUUUUAUUUUCCUGCAUUUGUUUUAAUAAGGCUGCUUAUUAUUAAGCUGCAUGUAAUUGUGCACUGGUUUAAUUCAGGGAACUUUGUAUGUCUACUAUGCGGGCUGAUGCUUCCUCACAGAAAGAUAUUAAUUCUGUUAAAAUAAACAUGAAUAUUACUUGGAGGAUGUGCAACCAUGCAAAACAUGUACUCCCAUGUCACAAUAUAUGUUUAUCUGUAAUUCUAUGAGAGUAUGGCGGCAUAUAGUAAUGCUCUAUCACAAUACCCGACUGGAUUAAACCAGGGUUCUAGGAUUCGGUCUGAAAUCCAAAAUGAAACCAAAUCGGUCAAAAAAUUCUACCAAAGUUGAAUUUUUCUACCAUUACUUAAAUCUAUUGUCACACCCGGUUUUAAAACAAAACCAUGUGCUACCUAUAUGUAUGCCAGGAUCUAGUUCCAUAUAUAUAGGUAGCACUUGGUUUUGUUUUAAAAUCAGGUGUGACAGAAGUGUUAUCAGAGCUGUAUCGACUGUAGGACGUAAGCCUAGAUAGCAUUGGUCUCUUCCUAAGGUCUGUUUUACCAUAAAAACAAUUCCUGCCUUAUCCUUGACCUCUCUGAUGACUAUUUUCACUCCUUGAACGUAUUAUCUACACCUUGAUUGCUUAUUUCUGAACAACCUUGACUCUUAGUCUUUUACCCCCUCUUUGUAAUGCUAAACCCUCAAUCUUUUCAAUUGACUUACUCCCUCUUUGAAAAAAAAACUUAUUUUUUUGCUACUCGCACCUUGUCAACUAUCUAUGUUGUUUUUGCUAAAUCCCUAACCCUUGUAUGUUUAUUCUUCCUCAUUGAUGCCUAUUUGACUUUGAUUAUACAUCUUCCUUGAUGAAUGACUUUCCCUAUUCCAAGCAUCUCACCUCCUUUUAAUUUGUUGGUGAAAUUGCUUACACCUUACUCCUUGAUAUUUUUUAUUUCUUACUUAUCUUUUAUGCAUAUCUCCUCCUUGAUUUUGUUUCCAACAUAUCCAUCAUUCCCCGUUGUACCUCUCCUUGCUUUUCAAAUAAUAUCACUUUGGAUUCUUCCCUUGAUUUUGAUUCCAAAGUAUCUUUUCUGAUUUAAAAAUGUUUAGAUGAUCUGUGUCACCUUUCCUAAAACCCAUCGAAGUCAUCUGAAGAAUGAAGCUACUAGUUCAUCACUAGAAGUCAAGCCUCAACAACCGAAGAAGUAAUCCCUUCAUAGGAGUACCCCUUGCAAACCUCACUAACAACGAUUAGCUUUUGUUCCUUAACUGUGUGUUGAUUGGUGAAGUUCUGUGUGUUGCUUGAUGAUGUUUGUCUUGAUGACCUUGAUUGAGUUGGUUCUUUGUAUUGAUUGUUGAUGUAUUGUGGGUCUUCUACCUGCAAUGACAUCAGUUGUCUAGUUGGGUUCUUCUUUUGACCUCCCACCUCUGUGUUAUCCUCCUUUCUUUCUACUCAAACCAAUGAAGAAGGUCGGAAGAAGGAAACUGAAGUCAACACCAACGUUAACAAGCAAGUGUUAACAUCACCACCACCAUCUCCCUAGAAGCAAGUUGAAGAUUUGAGGCUUUACUCUGAUCUCCCUAACCUUACUCUAAUGAAGAUUACAAGAACCAAGAUGAUGAAGAAAACACGAAGAUUCUACUCGACAAACAAAGAUGAAAGACUAUCUAUUCUAAUAAUCUUGUUUUCUCCCUCCUUGUUUUUCUUUCUUCGAAUCUCGGGACGACAUUCCUGUUGAGGGGGUAGUGUUGUCGUACCCUGAAAUUUUCAAAUUUCAGGAUAUGAUUAAAAAAGGAUUAAUUAAUCAAUGAUUUUAUAUAAUUUAAAAUUUUUCCUAACAUUUAUUUUCAUUCACAGGAAAUUUCGUAUAGGAAAAAUAAUUGUUUGUCUUUUUUGAAAUUAAAUAAUGUUGUUCUGUGUCUGUGCAUUCAUGCCGAUGCAUCUUAGUAUUUCUUGAGUGAAAAAAUUUUAAAAAUGCGUUUAGAUGUUGGCUAGACCCUUCUGAGAAUUUUUCUAAUUUUUUUGGAAUUUAUUCUCCUUUUCCUUGAUCUUAAUUCAAUUUUGGAUGGCUCUAGAAUCCUUUUCCCAAGCUCGAAAUAUUUUAUUUGGAUUCCUUGUGUCUCAAAAUAUCUCUGGGAUUUUUCCUAGAAUUUUUGGGAUUUUCAGUAUUUUUCGUGGUUUACAAUAUUUAUCUAGAAUUUUCUGGAUUUAUAUUCCCACGUACAAAUAAUUUCUGAAAAAUGAUCAAAACUUUCUUUUCCUUUCGGGGCGAGCUCGCACCUGCGAAUCCGGCCCAUCUCCUCCCUUCCUUUUCUUUUUCUCUAGCAGGCCGCCAGCCCAGCAACUUUCAUCGGCCCAAAACACCAUUGGCCCACCUCUCUCCUCCUCUCCCUGCUCUUCCACCGGCCCAACCUCCUUCUCUCUCUCCCCUUUCUUUUUUUUCCCAGCGGCCCAGCCAGGUGACGCUAGCCCACCUCCCUCGGCCCAACAUCUGGCCGGCCUGCCACUUAUUCCACCUCCCUCUCUCACUCACCGACAGGUGGGGCCCACCUGUCGGGCUUCUUCCAUCUCCCGACGCCAAGACGCCGCACGAUGCUGCACGGAUGGCGCCGUCCCUCCCAGCGCCUCCUCGCCUCCACCGGCGUCCUUCCGGCUUCCCGCGCCCCUACAGCUCCUGCGUCGCCCACUCUCCCUGGUCUUCCCUUCCAUUUUCCCUCCCAUCUCUAGAAACGAACGCCACCUCCUCCCACGAUUCAUGGCCGGCGCCCGUUUCCUCAAAUAGCGCCUCCUCCACUCCCUCCAAGGCCUAUAAAGCCGCCAUCGAACUCAUCCGGUGCUCUCCUUUCCGUUUCACCGCUCAAUCGCCGCCCUAGUGCCCGGCCAUCGUUCCUUUGUCGCCACCGAAUGCCGCCGCCGCAUCUUCCUAUCCACCGCCACCCAAAACGCCAGCGCCGCCGUCACCCGCAUCCCUGGCGCGGCUGCCGCUGCCGCCGGCUUGGCCGUCGUCGGCUUGACCGCCCCCGGCCGGAAGUCCUCUCCCGAAUAGCCCCUGUGCGCCGGCGAAGCGGCCGGUCGUCUAGCACCCCUCCCCCUGAGACCUCUGUCUUGGUUGAAGAAGAAGGAAUUGAAGGAAGGGAUAAGGUUGUGCUUUUCACCCUAGCCCCUGAAGUUUCAUUUAUUUUCUCAUGUAUUCCUUGUGCCUUCGAAAUUCUGCAGAAAAAACCCCUGAACUUAUCAAUACCUUGCAAUCUGACCCGAACCUUGCCGUUUUGCAGAUCUACCCUUCAAAUUUUAGAAUUUCACAAGCAUGUGCCCUGCUUCUUCGUAAACUUCUUUGCUACCCCUUGUAAUCUACGGUAAUCGCGUUUAGGUCCCUAGAACUUUGUUUAGCCCGUAGUUUCCUCGUUUUAGCUCCGUUUUGAUCCGUUCAAGUUGCGUUGCGCUCAUCAUGACAUAAAAUACACGUUAGUAGUGUUGUCAUAUUACAUUUCAUGCCUUUUAAAAUAAAUUUAGUAGUAAUUGAUUAAUGCCUAAUAAACGUUCUUUUCAAAAUAAAAGUCACCAAAGAGCUAUACACCGUUUUUCAUAAUGAAUAUCAACUUGAUUAAUGAUUACUUCAUAAUCUUUCUAAAUAAAAGCCAAUUAGGAUAUACAUCGACUUUUCAUAGAGUAGAGUUAAUUUGAUUAACACUUAUCUAAUGUUUCUUCAAAUUAAAAGCUAUUUAGUGAUACCCCGGCUUUUCAUAAAUCAAAUUUGAUUUGAUUAAUAUUUAUUUAAUUUACUUUCUAAAUAAAAGCUACAUAGGUUAUAACUCGAAUUUUCAUAAAUAAAAGUUAAUUUGGUUGAUAUAAAUAUCAAUGUGUUUUUAAUAUAAUAUGCUUAGUUGAACUCAAAAUAUGAAGCUAUGCGCUUAGAUGUUCAUAUGUGCCUUAUUUUCAAAUUAAAUGUUUAAUUUGUAUAACUUAUACAUAAAUGUUUGCAAAUAAAAUUGGCCUGAGUUUCACACCGUGUUUUCAUAGACAAAUAUAAAUUGAUUAAUUCUAAAUAGGAUAUUUCUCUGAAAUAACCUAUGUGCAUGUUUUAUUUAAUUAAAAAGGAUCAAGCAUAUAGUCUUUUUAUUUCUUUGAUAAAUCAAACUUCUCAAUAGUUUCGAUCUUACGUUUGUGUGACCCAUAGAACGACCCUCGCCUUUAGUACGUUGUUUUAAAGCCUUUCUUUUGUUUUGGUGUAUUGUUCUUAGUUGUACUUGUUUGUUUGUUAGUGUCGAUGUUUGCUUCAAUUAGAAGGAUCGCCGUUCGAAGCUUUGAAGGUUAAGAGUUUCAAGAAAGCAAGAACCGAAGAGCAAUAAGAGUAGCUUUACGUUGGAGAAAGGCAAGUGUCCCUAACCAUCCUUCUACCUAUGCUUUGUUCACAGUGUUAUGAUAAUCUUAAUUGGAACAUGGAGAACCAUCCAAGAAAACAGUACAACCACAAUAUCACGUGGCUCUGAUCUUAGCCAACUAAUUAGGCAUGUGGUAGACUAGUGGUCUUACCGAAAGGGCAAGGAGGGGGAAGGUGUCGAUGGUAUGACCCGGAGCACUAGCCUUCUAAGGUGCUGACUCAUUACAACGGGUUGUGACCCACAUCGCUACUGAAACUCUAGCGGGCUACUAGUUAGCUAUGUGUCUUUGUAAAGGCUUCGUAGUGGACCCCCUAGCCACUCACCAAAGGAAGUGUUUAAGGGCUUUGCAAACCUGGGCAACACGGGGGACCACGAGUUGUGGGUAAAGUGUACAACCUCUGCAGAGUGUAAACUGAUAUAUCAGUUGUGCUCACGGUUAAGAGUGGCUUAGACCCUCACAUGAUUAAUUAAACUUGAAGAUGGAUUAAAUCGUAAUUCUAGUUAGUUCCUAUGGCCUUGCUGAGUACCAACCAUAAGUGUACUCACCCUUGCUUACUGCUGCUCAGAAGAAGAAGAUGCAAUGGAGAUGUUGUGAAGAUGCUGCUGAGUUCUAGGCGUACGCAACCCCCAGUUGAGUGCCUGUGAAGUUUGGAGCCUCCGUUUCUAGAGUUUAAGCUCUGUGUCUUUGUUAGUCUUGUAAGUCUCUUUUUGUAUCUUUUUACGUGAUAUUGUUACUGUUAAUCACUAAUGAUGUCACUAUAUGUAUGGAACUAGAUCCUGGCAUACAUAUAGUUAGCACUUGGUUUUGUUUUAAAACCGGGUGUGACAUCUAUACAAGCUCACAUACUCCCACUACUGCAAAAACAUAGCUUCGAUCCAAAGUCUUUAGUCCCGAAUGAUUUUGGACUUGGGACCAAAGAGCCUUUUGUCCUGAGUCAAAAAUCAGUCACCGAUGGCCACCAAUGGGGAGCUCUUUUAGUCCCGGUUGGUAAUACCAACCGGAACUAAAGAGCCCAUUUAGUCCCGGUUGUAAAAUUCUGACCCUCGGAAAUCUAGCGGGGCGUUUAGUUCCGGUUGGAAACACCAAUCGGGACUAAAGGAUCCCCAUUUAGUCGCGGUUGGAAUUAGCAACCCAGACUAAAGGGGGUCUUUAGUCCUGGUUGGAAACACCAACUUGGAGAAAACGUCCCCCCUCGGUCUACGCACCUAGCCUCGGAUCCUUAUCUUCUCUGAAUCCGCUCUCCUAACCACUUCUCCUCUCCUCCUCUUCUCUCUCCCGCCCGGCCACCUACCUCCCUCCCUAUCGGCCAUACAUCCUCGGGCCCAUCAGAAGACCUGCACGGACCCACUCAAGGGGACGUACUCGAGAUGUAUCAGAACAUGGAGACUACGAUACAGGCAAACAUAGGCUACAUGGACUCCUGAAAGACUAGUCGGAAUAUAAGGAAACUACUCUGCCGAGUUAGAGUAGGACUCUGUAGUCGUGUCCGUCUAGUACCCUUGUAGCAAAGACUACCUUGUAACCCUGCUUCCCCAGUAUAUAAGGGCGGGUAGGGAACCUCUCAAACAAGUUCAAUCCAAUACAAGCAUACAAACACACAGGACAUAGGAUAUUACGCGAUCUAGCGACCUGAAUCUGUCUAAAUUGCAUCCCUACGUGACCAUCAACUUCCUGAUUCCGGUGACACCCACCAACCAAAACUCAACCCCGGGUACUCCUGUGGUAGGUUGUCAGGUAUAAAACACUAACAGCUGGCACGCCAGGUGAUGACGACAUCACCAUGCUGGAUACACAUGAGCCUUGAUCUUCCUCAAGUUACAAGUCGUCACCGACUUGUCGCGUUCGGUUCGAAAUCAGCCGACUACUCUAGACGGAUUUGGCAAUAUCUCCUUUAUAUGACAUCGAAACAAGGUGUUCUUUGAUGUGUUGGAAAGAAGACAAUGAACACUUUCAUUUGGUUCUGGUCCUAGCUCCAGAAGCAUCAUGGAUCAUUCUGUGUGACCACAACAAGGUGAUGUGUCACCAGUUUUGGACAAAGUUGGCCUUAUAUCGUGUCGGGCCUUAAGCUCAAGUUGUGGUCGCCCCCAACCCUAGCUCGCCCCUUUUUUAUAUAAACUUAGUAGCAGCUGCCUUAGAAACUCGGGUUUUGUUUAGUUCUAGUUUUCCAUUGAGAAACUGAGAUUGAUUCAUUAUAACUCGGCGACAAGUCCUUUUACAGUGAUCCAGGGCCCCUAUUUUGUUCUCCUCCACUAUGUCGAUUAGUACUUUUGAAUUGAGAGCUUGAACCCAUAUUUAUCUUCACUUCAGAUAUAUUUGCAAUUUCAGAUUGUGCGUUUACACUUUCUUGCUUGUGUUCUUUGAUUCACUUGCAGGGAAAGCCUUCUUGGUGAGGUCAAUUGAGUUGUUCUUGGUUGAUAACCAAUGGAGCAGUGGUGUAGCGGUUGCAGGGAUUCGAAUCAUGUCUGAUUAGAAGCCCGGAUUGUCAAUGUCGAGUUCUUCACCAAUCAAAUUACCCCCAUACCUAUCAGAAGAUUGGGCCAGUCCUACAUCAAGUGGUAUUAGUAUUCCAGGUCACCCGUGAGGUAUAUUAUAGUGUUCCCCCCUUAGAUUCAGUUCAUGUUCUUUACCUAUAGUCCACAAAAAGCCCCCCAAAAAACACAUUUACACUUUCCACUGUCCUGUCGCCUUUUUAGCCUUUGCAAUCUUUGUUUUAGAUCCCCUUUGUUGAGUUCGUGUCCGCGGUCAAGUCUUAUUGCUGGUUUAGUGUGUUCGCGGUCGUAGUCCAACCGCCCAUCGCAGUUUCGUUUCCGCCGCUAUCCCAUCCAACUUUUCCAUACAACAAGUUGAGCCAUUACAUUACUUGACUUUGCCCCCGCUAGCUGCCUUGUGUGAAUUCUUGCUGCACAAGCCCUAGAUAGGUUGCAAGCCGCAGUGUGCCUUUUGCCUUGCAUUGCAACCAUACUUGAUUCAUCUGACAAUACCUAUUGCAUCUACCAGGAAAGAUUUUGCCGUUGGAUUGCUUGCUGAGAAGUCUUGCUCAGCCGUGAUCGGUGUUGGGAGGAUAGGGGAACUUUGCCCUAGCUGCCGCCGCUGCGUAUGACCUAUUGAGCCUUCAAAAAAUGCUGAUUCGGAGGCCCUUGCUUAAAACAGGCAUAACUAUGCUGGGUUUUGCAGUUCUCAGUUUUGCCAAAUUUGCUCUGGAAGUGGGAGUUCUCAAGCUUUAAAGUGGUUGCACGCUUUCCAGAGAACAUGCCUGAUUCUCUAUGGACCAUAUAGUACCUCCGUUUAAGCUGAAACUUUUUGUGGUUCCAUCUUGUGUUAUCUUGCGACAACCCUUAAGGGUCUGGCCCGUGCCAUCCGCCCUCGGCCUGCGGCGCCAGAUGCGAGCACGCGCGGGUGUUGCGGCCAACGGCAGUGGUGGCAUCCGCUGCGGGCACGCACUGGCAAGGUGGUGUCACUGUGAGGUAACCUGUGGUGGCAGCGUACGCUGCAGCUAUGGCCACGAGCGUAGGAGGUGCUUCGCGUGGGCCGGCCAUGGCUCCACGCGGAUAUGGAGCCAACGCCAAGACCACGCCGGAUGUUUGUGCAGGAUCCAUCUAGAUGGAAGGUACAGCAAGCUCCAGCGCUUGGCUGCGCUCAGAUCCGUCCUCCCCUAAGCUUGAUCUCGUGCUCCCACCCGGGGCUCCUCCCCCUGGUCGCGGUCUUGUGGCUAGCGGCUGGUCGGAGCUCUGGCGUGGCCUGGCCAAGGAUGCCCGGAUUUGGCCCAACAUGGGGCUUAGUUGCCGGAUCUGCUGUGGAGCUAGCUAGAUCCGGCCAAGUAGCAGCAGUGCGGUCACCCCCAAGCGCCCCCCGCUUGAGUCAGCCUAAUCUAGGUCGCCAUAGCUACCUUAAGCUCGUCAGCUAUCCAUACUAUGUGCGUUGGGGACGAUGGGCUUUGUGGCGAACGGCGCACGGUGCUGCAGCUGCAGCUGCAGUUUUGGUGACCAGUUUGAGUGGAAUUUGCAAAGAGAAAUCCUCUUCUAGUGUUGUGCUGGUUUUCGGCAACAACGACGCUUGUGGGUGCCGAUCUCCUCUGUGGAGGCAUUGUCAAGUUUUGUUCCAUGUAGGUGCUGGUGCAGCCAAGGUAGGUGGGCAGGAACCUACAGGGAGAAAUCCAUGCCAGGUAUUGCGCUGGUGCCGACAAUGGUGAUGCCUUCGGGUGCUGCUCCCCUCCAUGGAGGCUUUGUUGAGAUGCCUCAUGACCACUUGCUACUGCUGCUGCUUGCUUCCCAAUGAAACUGGUAUCGCGUCCUUCCCCUGCCAAGAUGUUGGUUGGUACUGCUGCUAAGGUCUGCCUCCCUGCACCAUUUUUUUAAGCUUUCACCAUGACCAGAAAUGUGAUUAUUGUCGGUAUCUCUACUCUAUCAUCAUCCUUCUUCCUUUAUUGUACUGUCUCAUCUUAUGUCGGGUUAACGGGACUAUGAUCCCCUCUAUUCGAUCUCCCCGUUCUCCCCUUGACGGCCCUUCCUCCUUUGUGGUUUCCUCCCCAGAAAGGACGUAGAAGGAUGUUGAUUGGAUCUUGGAUGGUCCUCCAAGGCACUGCAAUCAAGACUGUCGUUUGUCGGCAUCGGCUUUGACUCAAUGCUUCACAGUUGUGGAAUGGAGAUCGGCAAAGUAUACUUUAGUUUGAUGAUAAUACAGGCUAGUGAAAAGGCAUCUUGCCCUCAUUUGGUUGCAUGUGUUGGAUGUUUGAUCUUAAUCUUCCUUUCUAGAUUGGCACUGUGGGGUCUGUUUGGUCUUUUGUAACUGGUACCCCCUUUUUUUCCGUUUCCUCCCCUGAAAAUAGAAGUGUAACACUUUGGCCUACCAAAGGCCCCAAUAAUGCAAUCAGGUGGGGAUCUCCCCCGUUGAAUCUUAAAAAAACUUAAAUUGAGACAGAACUAGAAAGAGUGUCGGGACAUCGAGAGGUGCGUGGCCAGGGUCGCUUGGUCGCCGCGAUGUACCGACGCACCGCCAUGACCUGCCAACCAGUGAAGCAAGUGCAUGGCUGCGAGCCAUGUUGAUGAAUCGAGUGCCCCUGUCACUGAAUAAUGGAGCGAAUUGAUUGCCCUGGACUUGACCGCGUCAGAGCUUCACGAUUCUCACCAGAGGCGGCGGCGGCGUCAUUGAUGGAGAGAACAAAGCCGGAAGUGCUGACCCAGACCCAAGAAGGGGGUUGUAUGCAAAAAUUCGGAUCUUGAUCGAUAAUCACGGUCCAAUUUAGGGUGGAAUUUGUAAUUAAGUGGGCCUAAUUGCAAAUAUUCGGAUCGCGAUCCAAAAUACGGGGUAUGUGUAAAACUUCAGGGGCCAAAUUGAUAAUAACUGGAUGGAUAAACCAGGGUGUCUUCUGCAGAACAUUCAGGGCCAGCAGACAUGGCAUCCGGCGACGCCGCGCCACCGCCCACCGCCCGCCCCGUUGCUAGCUGACUGAUCCAUUCAUGUUAUAUUUCCCCUUAGGUUGCAAUUUCUGUAAUGCCUCUUGUACAAGAGAAACUAGUUAUAUCUUUCCACUCUGCUCUCCAAACUUUGCAUGAUGGUGCAGUUAGCAUCCAACAAAUGAAAAUUAGUUUGUGAUUUCCGCCUCACUGACUCAAAUAACUUUUGAAUUUGUAAUUGUGUAGCCUGCCUCAAUUUUUAUUUUUUGAAACGACAAACUAUAUUCAUUUGUAUGCACAUAACACAGGGUAUGAAUGUCCCCAUGUUUCAUUCACAGCUGUACAACUUUGUUUCUUCACAAUUGUUCUAUGCGAAAUCAUAUAUUGUAUAAAUCACAAUAUGUUGAAAUGAUGUUUUUAUGGUGGCCACCGACAGUGCAGGGUAUGUAGCUGGUGGACCUGUUCUGUUGGGUCCCAGCAAGACUGACUUCGGACCUGGAAUCAAGUACUCGUCUACGAUUCCAGAACAUCAUGUAUAUACGAGUAUGAGUCUACGAGUAGUGCCAGAACACAAAGUCUUCCUGUAUAUGUUUGCAACUUCAUCUGCCGAACUUAUCCUGCCGAACUUUUGCAACAAGACUGACAUCUGACUUGGGACACCCAGCAUACGUUUGCCGACUACGAUCAAACGCAGGCUCCGUCGUCUCGUGCGGGCGAAGCUAGCUGACCAGUCUGCGAGAGCGAUUCUUUAGUACUCUCUGCAGGGUCACGUAGAGUAGGCCCGUCCCUAGGGGGCGUGCAGACUGUGCGACCGUGAGGGCCUCCAUUUUUUUAGGGCCUCCAGUUUCCAGUGCUACAGCCAUCUGGCUCAUCAUUUCCUGACCUCUAAACCUUAUUUUCCUUAUUGCUGGCGCUCUCCUGAAGACCUGAACAGCCCAAGCGUCAUUCUCUGUCCAUGUCUGUGGUUCUGCGCCUAUUCAUCUCUUUGUCUCCUGAUCGGGAUGAAGAUUUGAGUAUUUAAAUCAGUCUCAAAAAAAGGGCUACAGCCUAUGGAUAUGUUUAUUAUAGAAUAUUCACAAGUGCCAUCCGAUAAAACACUUGAUCAUGGUUCUAUAAUUGAUAGUAAUAUUUACAAUGAUCCUAUAAAUAGUCAGAUAGACACCAAAACAUAAUUUUGAGGUUCAGUAAGAUCUUAUUGACAACACAAAUGUGCAAACGGAUAAUACCGUUGAUAAUGUGAAUACUUCUAAUGCGGAUGUUGAAGAUUCUAGCUAUUUUACUAGCCUACUAUAUCCCCCAUUUUAGAGUUUCGUACAGGGCCUCCAUUUAUACCGGGACUCCAUUUAUACCGGGACGCCCUGCCUAUAUAUAUAACCUAUCAGCCCAAAAAUACACCACAAUUCACAACAAUGGCCACUGCGAGCUACCCGGUCCCUCUAGUGUUUUUGGUCAUCUUGCUACCAGUCCUAUUGCCUGCUGUCAUUUCUUCGUCUCCAAGCCUAAGUGUAACCCAUGUUAAUGGCAGCUACACAGAUGUCACUGCCCUGCUGGCUUUCAAAUCGCUGCUCUCUGAUCCUCUCGGAAUCCUCGCCAGCAGCUGGACAUCCAACGUAUCCUUCUGCCGAUGGGUCGGCGUCUUGUGCAGCCACAACUGGCCACGCGUCACGGCUCUGUGGUUGGUGGACAUGCCCCUCCAUGGAACGCUCAGCCAACACCUCGGUAAUCUUUCUUUCCUCACCAUGCUCAACCUCACAAGAAUUGGUGUCGCUGGACACAUCCCUGCUGAACUUGGAAGGCUACGUCAGCUUAGGUUUCUCGAUCUUUCUGGAAAUGACCUCUCAGAUGCCAUUCCUAGUACCAUAGGAAACCUCACAAGGCUGAAGAUUCUUCGCCUAAGUAACAACACCCUCUUGGGGCAGAUUCCACCACGGUUACUAUAGAGCACGAGAAACCUUCAAUGGUUUUCUCUAGUAUGGAAUGACUUGAGUGGUAACAUACCGUUGUAUCUAUUCAAUAACACACCUUCCCUCAAGCACAUGAACCUCGCAAAGAAUAGCCUAUCAGGUCGUAUUCCAUCUGGUCUUGCAUCAUGCCAACACAUGCAAAUGACCUCCUUGUCAUACAAUUUUUUUUGUCGAUGUUGUGCCAACAUGGUUGGCUCAAUUGCAACAGCUUACCUAUCUAUUGUUGGAUACUAAUUCCUUACAUGGCUCUGUCCCAGCUGUUCUUAGCAAUCUCACCCGUAUUACUAAUCUUGGACUUUCUUUCAAGAACCUGACAGGAGAGAUUAAAAAAGAAUUAGGCCUCAUGCGAGAACUCUCGUAUGCAUCUUGGACAGAAUUUGCUAACAGGUCCAAUUCCACCUUCUAUUGGAAAUUUAUCGAAACUGUCUUACCUAGUAUUGACUAAUAAUUCAUUGUCUGGAUCUGUACCAGCAAUAUUUGGGAGCAUUCAAACUCUAAUCUGGCUAGGACUGGAAUAUAAUAAUUUGAGUGGGAAUCUUAACUUCUUGUCAUCUCUUUCCAACUCUAUGCGACUCCAACGUUAUAAUUCUUUCACCGGACGAAUCCCUUACACUGUGGGGAAUCUGUCUACACAAUUACUUGUGCUUACCCUUAGUUACAACAAGCUAACAGGUGGGCUUCCAUCCUCACUGUCAAUCUUGAGCAGUCUUGAGUUGAUUUAUCUUACCAACAACCAGCUCACAGGGACUAUCCCGGCACAAAUUAGUAUGCUCAGAAACUUACAAAGGCUUAUUAAAUCUAUGGAAAUAGAUUUCAUGGCUGUAUACCUGAAAGCAUUGGAAAUCUUACCAUGCUAGAAUACGUCUGGUUGUCCCAGAACCAAUUCAAUUCAAUUAUACCAGCAAGUUUGUUCCACCUUGACAAAGUUACAUCCCUAGCUCUUUCUAUGAAUUUCUUUUCUGGUCCACUACCAAGUGACGUUGGUGGGUUGAAACAAGUGUUUAUGAUUGACCUUUCUUUCAACUUUUUGCUUGGAAGCAUCCCCGAAUCAUUUAGGAAACUAAGCAUGCUCGCCUAUCUAAAUCUAUCACACAAUUCAUUUGAGGACUCUAUCCCCGUGUCAUUUAAAGAGCUGAGUAGCCUCGAGUGGUUGGACCUCUCCUCCAAUAAUCUCUCAGGUACCAUUCCCAUGUUCCUAGCCAAUUUAACCUUCUUGAAAACCUUGAAUCUCCCCUUUAAUAAUCUACAAGGCAAGGUACCAGAGGGUGGUGUUUUCUCUAACAUCUCGUUGCAAUCUUUGGUUGGGAAUAUUGGGUUUUCUGCAAACCCCGUUUAGGAUUCUCUCCAUGUAUGGAGAAACCUCACUCAAAUACGAUGCACUUUCUAAGAUUCCUGCUCCCUUCUCUCACCAUAGCAUUUGGUUGUACUGUGAUUUUCAUUUACCAAACCAUUAGAAAGAAACUUAAAAACAAGGGAGAGGUUGAAGAUUCUGGCAUUGAUCCUAGCAAUGUUAUGUACCAUGGGCACCUGUCAUACCAUGACCUCGUCCUUGCCACCGGUAAUUUUAGCGACGACAACCUGUUGGGGACUGGGAGCUUUGGAAAGGUCUAUAAAGGUCAACUUAGCACCAGUUUCACGGUGGCAGUAAAAGUUCUAGACAUGCAGAAGGAGCAGGGCAUUAGAAGCUUUGAUGCUGAGUGCAGCACACUUCGCAUGGCUCGGCAUAGGAACUUUAUAUAGAUAUUGAAUGUCUGCACCAACUUGGAGUUCAGGGCAUUGGUGCUUCAGUAUAUGCCCAGUGGAAGCUUAGAGAUGCUCUUACACUCUAACAGCAUAGAGCACUUAGGGUUCCUUAAGAGGCUGGACGUCAUGCUAGAUGUGUCAAUGGCAAUGGAGUAUCUACACCAUGAGCAUCACAAGGUAGUCCUGCACUGCGACUUGAAGCCUAGCAACAUGCUAUUUGAUGAAGACAUGACGACACAUGUAGCGGACUUUGGAAUCGCAAAGUUGCUAUUGGGUGAUGACAACUCCAUGAUAACUGCAAGCAUGCUUGGAACACUUGGGUACAUGGCACCAGGUACGUCCAUACUCCGUACUGUGACACUGAAUUUUGUUUGGUAUAUAUAUUUGGUUAACAGUGCUGAUUCAGUCCUGCUUGAAUUCUUUGUUUCCGGUCUCAUGAGUAGAGUAUGGAUCUUACGGGAAGGCAUCACGCAAGAGCGAUGUUUUCAGUUAUGGAAUCAUGCUCCUUGAAGUUUUCACUGGAAAGAGACCCACAGAUCCCAUGUUCGUCGCAGAUUUGAGCAUUACACGGUGGGUUCGUCAAGCAUUUCCAGCUCAGCUUGCCUCUGUUCUGGAUGACCGGCUAUUGCAAGGUGUUUCUUCCUCUGUCGGCAAUCUGAAUGACUUUCUUACGGCAACAUUUGAGCUGGGUUUGAUUUGCUUAAGUGACUCACCUGACCAGAGGAUGUCAAUGAGAGAUGUCACGGUGGCACUGAAGAAGAUUCACUACUAGAAAAAUGACCUUUCAUCCCUAGCCUUAGUACCAGUUGCAUUUGGAACCGGUACUAUAUUAGUACCGGUUCCAAAGGAUACUGCCUGUAGCGCAUUGCGAGGACCCCUUGACAACAAAUCGGCAAUUGAUCUUUGUAGGAAUCUUGUUCAUCAUGAUAGAAGCAAGCAUAUUGAGACCAAAUACCACUACAUCAGAGAUUGUGUGGAAAAGGGCAAUAUUGUGGUGGAACGGAUCUCUACGAAAAAUCAGUUGGCAGAUGUACUGACGAAACCAUUUGGGCGGGCUCUGUUCCAAGAGCAGCGUUGUAAGAUCGGGGUCGUCAAGCUCAAACUCCAGCAGCAGGAUUAGGAGGAGAAAUGUUGCAUGUAAUCCUCCAUCUGCUGUUCGUUUCUUUCGUUGAAUAAGCUCGCCACGUUCAUGGGUUGAGCGAGUCUCUAGGGAGCCUGACAUGCGCGCUGUUCGUAUGGGGCGCGUCAAUAGGAGUGCGUUGUGGGCGUGGGGGAUGGUGCACGCCAUGAGCGGCUCACCGUUCUUGUAGGAGGUUGUUACACUUUAUAUAUGAAAUACACAGAGAAAACGCUGCCGGUUAAGCAGCCCAAAAGAUAACCUGUGAUCACUGUGCAUCUUCCUCCUCGCGUGCGUGUGUGUAGGUUUGACUUCAAUCUGCCGGAGUGCACAACUGCCAGGCGACGGAGCUCGCCGGAGUUGCUGACAGCGGGCAGCCUCUCCAGUGGCGGCCGCUCUUGGGCAGGUGGAGCGGCAUCUCGCUGGUGGGCGUCCGCUCCAGCAGCAGAGGCGCAUGAGCAGGUGGUGGUAGGGACUCCGCGGCGGCGACUCGCGAGCGGGCGGACGCUUUGGCGGCGGGUGCUCACGCACGGGUGGAGCGGCGACUCGCGGGAGGCCGGCCGCUCCGGCAGUGGAGGCGGGUGGCAGCUCCGGCCCGACCCUUCCUCUGUACCGCCACUGCAACGAUGGAGCCACAGGCCCCGCCCUCCGCGCUGCAGCGAAGGCAGAGUACGGUGACGCAGGCGGUGGUGAAACAAGGUGGAGAGGAGGAGAGGGGGCGCACCUCGCCGCGGCCAGCCGGGUGAGCUCGAGCUCCGCCGUUGGCCAGCUACGCCGGGUGAGCGAGUUGGGCCAACGCGGCCGGCCGGGCGAGCUGGAUCUCCGCAGGGCAUGAAGACAGGAGAGAGAAGAAAGAAUAAGCAGAGAGGAGAGAGAAAAAUGACCUAACGAAACUACCCUUCAAAACCUUCAAAACCUGUGAAUGGCCAAAAUGUAAACGGUUUUAGUAGCACGAUGGUCGAAGAUUUUGGAGUUGGAUGGUGAAAAUCAAACUCAGGUGAUAGUUCAAUGGUCAAAAAUGAACUUCCUCAUUAUUAUUUUCCAGCAAUAGAAAAAGUAUCCUGUACGAAGAGAAUGGAAACAGAGAGCCUUUAUGUAUCAGAAAUAAGUGAAGAUACUUGACUUGCUGAAAUUAAAUCAAAUAGGAAGUACAUAAGUUUUACAAGAAAACUUGAAUGCUGGAUUUAGAAAAAUAUACAUGCAGCUGCCGGAGGUUUGUGAGGUGCUGUAUAUACAUGCAGGUAAAGACUUAGAUGCUAUCACAGCCCUUGAUGACGAGCUUUUUAAGAGAGGAGAUGUCGCUCAGCCAUUCUGGCAGUGCUGAUAUGCUGUGACAACAAUUCAACUCGAGUGAUUGAAGGGAGCUAGUUGCUGUAUGCCCUCCGGCAAGCUCGUCAGAUUUAAACAACAGGAGAAUUCCAACUCCUGAAGGGCAGGAAGUGGUGAAACAGCCUGAAACUCACUAGGACAGAAAAUAUUUUUGCUGGCGGGUGAAAGGACACUGCGCCCAUCAACAACUUUGAACUAGCACAAAUGGCCCACUGUGCUGACAGGUGCUCGUUCGCCAGCACAGUUUGAUUUUUCAAUUAAAAAAAGCCGUCAGGUCGCCGCUGCCUGCACUACGGGAAACUUUAAAUUUGCCGAGUGUUUUCUUUUUGCCGAGUGUUUUUUUUCGGACACUCGGCAAACAAGCUCUUCGCCGAGUGCCAAGCCAAAAACACUCGGCAAAAAAAAACACUCGGCAAAUAGUGGCUUUGCCGAGUGUCAAAUAAAAAACACUCGGCAAAGCCCCCUCUUUGCCGAGUGUCAAAAAAAACACUCAGCAAAGAGGGGGGUUUGCCGAGUGUCAAAAAAAAACACUCGGCAAAGAGGGGGGUUUGCCUAGUGUUUUUUUUGACACUCGGCAAAAAAAUAAUUUUUUUUUCUCUUUUCACCUUGAAAUUUUUUCUACUCCCCACAUACAACAUGUGGUACUCCAUGUUAAAAUUUGGUAUAUUUUUGAAUUUAUUUGCUAUAUUUAUUUAAUUAAUUGUAUUUCAAGGGAAUUUUUGGUAUAAGUAAAAUUUGAACUGCAAGUGAUUCAAAUUAUGGAAUAAAAUGAGUAGAAAAAUGAUAUUCAUGUUAUUUGGACCAAUUUGAGACCUGACCCAUGAAAUGAAAAGAAAUUUCGAACAUCUUGUUCAGGAAACACGACCAUGAACGUGUGGCAGUAGUAUUUUUAAAUUGUAAAAAAAACAAUCAAAGUCUGAAAAUUAUGAGAUUUGCCAUGAUGUGAUGAUAUAAUACGUGGAGGCUGUGGAAAAAAAUUGAGAAGGUUUUGCACAUUUCAUCAUGUACGAUAAUUAUAAACCGAAGCAUCUCAGAAGAAGAAUAGUAACUUUGAGAAGGAUUCGAUAAAAUUUAGAGUCGAAGUGACGGUCGAGUUCGGUUUGACUACCAAACUUUUUGUAUAGUCAGUAGAGAACCUAUAUUGGUCCGUGUGAAAAUUUGGUAUUUUUUUGAAACUGUUGAAUAUUUUAUAAAUUUUUUUCAAAAAAAGUUUGCCGAGUGUCCUACGUUGGACACUCGGCAAAGAGUUUGCCGAGUGUCCAACGUAGGACACUCGGCAAACAGCUCCCACCACAAAACAAAUAGCCGCCCCCCCCGGGCCCCCUCCCCACUCUCUAUCUUCCUCGGCCCCCUCCCGGCCCCCAUUCUCCUCUUGCCGCACGCCGCCCUCCGCCGCCGCCGCCGCCGCACGCCUCCGCCGCCGCCGCCGCCGCCCGCCUCCGCCGCUGCCGGCUCCCCUCCCUUGCCUAGCGCGCCCCCUCCCCUCCCCUCACUCCAUCCUCUCUCCCUCCUCUCUCCCCGAAGGCCCCUGCCGCCGCGCGCCGCCCGGCGCCCCCCGCCGCCGCCGCCCGGCGGCCCCGGCACCGCCGCCCGCCGCCCCGCGCUCCCGGAUCCGCCGCCGCCCGCCGCCCCGGGCCCCGGAUCCGCCGCCCCGGCCCCCGGAUCCGCCGCCGCCGCCCGGAUCCGCCCGCCGCCCCGGCCCCCGGAUCCGCCCGCCGCCCCGGCCCCCGGAUCCGCCCGCCGCCCCGGCCCCCGGAUCCGCCGCCGCCGCCCGGAUCCGCCGCCGCCGCCCCGGCCCCCGGAUCCGCCGCCGCCGCCCGGAUCCGCCGCCGCCGCCCCGGCCCCCGGAUCCGCCCGCCGCCCCCCCCGGCGCCCGGCCCCCGGCCCCCGGAUCCGCCGCCCGCCUGUCCCCUCCACCGGAUCCGCCGGCGCCGGGGCCUGAAGAGAAGAGGAGAGGAUGGUGGCGGCGGCGGCGGCGGCGGCGGAGCAGUGGCGCCCGUGUAUGAUUUUUUUUUUAUUUUUUCAAUAAUUGUUCGCUGAGUGUUUUCUGGGCACUCGGCAAAGUCUUUGCCGAGUGCCCGACACAAAACACUCGGCGAACUAGUGUUUGCCGACUCUAUAUUUGCCGUGUGCCGUUUGCCGAGUGUUACACUCGGCAAACGGUUCGCCGAGGGUAUUCUGCCCUUCGCCGAGUGCCAGGGGCACUCGGCAAUUUGACUGUGUCCGGUAGUGCUGCCGCUCGAUGGGGAACACGUACGGCGGCGGCUGUAGGUACACCCGACCUCACCACCUAACCCGAAGUCAUCGGCGCCGCGCUGUAGAACCUGCCGAACUCGGCGGCGGUAGCUGUAGGUAACUUAGCCUCGCCGCCUAACCUGACGUCAUUGGCACCGGCGCUGUAGAACUCGCUGAACUUGGCGGUGGUGGCGGCGUCGCUGCUGCCACCACCAUAGACCGAGUCGCUGCAAUCGAGGAGCAGGCGCGCCCUCUUCGUGACCUCCCCUCCGACGCAGUUCUCCUCCGGACCUGAGGCGAAUCCGAUGCCGCUUCUCACGUCGGAGGCCCCGGAGGAGAUGAGGCGGCACGGGACCCAUGGGUCACCGAUGACCUUGAUGAGGAAGGUGAGCAUCUGCUUUGUCCUCGAUGGCGCGCUGCUCCCACUUCAGCCAGACCACCUCCAGGCAACCACAUCCUCGUCCACAGUCCCGGUGUCGCCACCGCCACCGCAGGCAUCAUCCUUGCGCUUGCCGCCACCACCGAAGCCGCCCGCAGCUGUUGCCGCCUCCGCAGCCGCGCCUACCGCCGCUCCCGCGGCCCGCCGAGGCUGCCACCCGCUGAAGGUCCUGCCUCCCCCAGCCGCUGCCCCCACAUCCACCACGCCCUAGUGGACGCUGCUCCCCCAUCGCUCCUGUGCAUCGCCGGUCGUGCCUCCCACCCACCUGUGUGAACAGAUAAGGAGAGAGAGAGGAGAAGAAAAAAUACCUCUAAGGAAGUGACGAACGGACCUUCAAUCUCCCCUCCCCUCCUCCCUCCCUCCCUUUCACUAGUAGAGAACUACCUUCCAUCCACCCGUUUUAUCUUGGUUGAUAUUUGGCCCGUAACUAAAGGUUCACGAACCAGGACUAAAACUCAGCCACUGGCGGAGGGCUCACCAACCAGGACUAAAGAGCCCCUUUAGUCCCGGUUGUAAAGGCCAGUGGCCCUGAGGGACCUUUUGUCCUGGUUGGAAACACCAACCAAGUCUAAAGGCCCCUCUUUAGUUCUGGUCGGUAAUUCCAACCAGGACUAAUGUUUCCCUUCUUCUUCUCCCUCCCUUCCUUCUUCUCUCCCUCCCUCUCUUCCUCUUCUCUCGCUGCAGCUAUGGCUCUCGAUCUAACUCUAGCUCGCUCGACGCAUGCAGAAAUGAAAUGGGCGAGCAUCCGGGGUGGAAGCGCCUCUAAAUUCAAACGACGCCGUCUGCGUUCCGCCAAAUCACCCGGUGGAAGCACCUCGACCCCCGCGCCACUGAAUUCUGUUACCACCGUUUCAAUCAACGGUCCACCUUUACCGCCGUUUCAAGCGGCGCCACAGGUCUAUUUAUGCAAAUUUUUCGUUCGACUAUUUAUUUCUGCAAAAUCAUAAAAUAAAUAAUAUAAAAAUAAAAAAAAAUUGAUAUGACCGAGAACUUGUUUAGAACUUGAACACCUUCCCUGCCAAUUCGAAAAUCCAAAGCCCAUCAAAGAUCAUACGUUGCAGCCCAGUUAUUUCCCAAUAGGUGGUAGUCGGCAGCCCAAUAGGCCCAAACGACCAAUAAACUAUUUCUUCUCAUCCCUCCGACUCCUGCCUGUGUCUCCCGAUGCCGACGGUGCGACGAACCCUAGCCACGCCUAACCGUAGCAUUGAGAUAGCAGGGAGAGGAGGCUGGGCAGGCAAGCGACCCAGCUCAUAAAGCAGGAUUGGAGUCGGCAACUGAAGUCGGUUGUUAUGGCCCAAGGCCAAGGUAAGUUCUGCCCCAACUAAUUAAAAUCUUGGGUACGUAUUAGUAGAGAUAGAGAAAAGAUGAAGAAUUGUUAUGCAGUUGACAAGGACUGUUGCAGCUCGUCCAAGGCUUUCGGGUACCUAUUGCUGCAUCCCCAACGGAGGCCGACCUGAAGAAGUUCAAAGUAUCAGCGUCACCUCCACCUUGCACACCGAUGUUAGUGCCCUAGCAGGAUCCUUCCGGUGGUGGGUGAUCCUUGGGUAGCUGCUCCUAUAUUGAGGAUUGGCUCUGGCCCCCUCAUCUACAACCUGCUUGACCUCAGGAUUGACCAUGGCUAGGUUCAUCAUAUUGCAGCACUGGAAUUGGCACAACUUCUCCGGUGCGACCUUCUUUAUUAGCUCUGGCCUCCGGACGCGACAACUGUUCCAUCGUGCAACCGCUUAUCGCCUCGGUCUGGGCUAAACACUUAGUCAGCUACGCACCAGAUUGAUCAUCAAGCACGACAGUCCUGCAUUGUUGGUGCAAGUUAUCAUUCAAGCAAAAUAGGAGGUAACAGUAACUACAAGACAGCCAGCAUAAGAAAAUUGCAUUUACAAGGUGUUCUUCUUCACUCUGAAUUUGGGGCGCAAUGGUGGUGACGGUGCUGGUGUAUCCCCACUGGAUCCUCCGUGGAUCUGCACCUUCAACACCUCCUUGACACGCUCCGUGUCAUCCACAGUGGUCUCAAGGAGUUCCAACUUCUUUUUCCUAGCGACCGGGCUCGGCGUGUCGGACUUCUCAUCCGCCUCGCUUGCCAACGUGGCCGUGGAUGCUGUGCUCGGGGCUGCAUUCUCCUUCUUGCUAGCCAUCUUCUUCCUCUUCCCGCUCGGCUGCUGCAACUUGGAGGCGGUCUUCUUGCGCACGUCUUGCCGUGUCUACCGUCCAACCGGUGCAGUGUCUGUGGCCUAGCCAACCCCUUCCAGCACGUUCUCAUCUGAUCCAAUGGAGGAGUCAAGACUCCCACUGAAGGUUGGCAGGCAGAUCGUUGGGCUUGUCAGUCGAGCUGAGCUUGGGUCGCUGCGGCUCACCCCUCUAGGAAGUGGCGCUGGGCAAAAGAAUAUAAAUUUGUUGUCUGCGUCAAUUCACAAGCAUAUUUAGAAACAACUCACAAGCACAUACAGUAGCCCAAAUCAAUGCCAUUGACAAUCUUACCGGGUUGGCUGGCAUCCUCUUCAACAAAUAAGCCUUGGGGCAGCUCUUAUUUUUGAUAACGCCCCCAAAGAACUUGGACACCUGGUUGACAAUUUCUUCUUUGGGCACCUUCCACUAGUCCUCCUGGGUCAGGUCCUGUAGCCCUCCGUACUCAUACGCCAGAUGCACUUGGUGCUUGAUUGGUUGAGUCAAUCUACGAUAAAAGUUAUGCUAACCGCUCCGGCUAUUAGCCCACACGACUUCAGAUCAGCAAUCCUCGCCAGCAAUUCCUUCACCUGGACUUGUUCCUCCGAGGUUGGCUGGUUUGACCAGUCGGGCAUGACCACUGGCCCAUAUCUAGUGCGCGGCCGGAGCUCAGGCUAUUGAUUGGCGAUGGUGAACCACUCUUUGUGCCAGCCCUUGUUGGAAUCCUUCAACUGGAGGUCGAAGUACUCCUGGACUUUCUUCGGCCACAGAGAGAAACUACAACCCCUGAUGACUCGGAGCUGUUUCCCCUUGGUUGCAACAAUAUUCAUGUGGUACAAUUACCUCAACAUAUUGAAAUGUGGGGGAUGCCCAGAUACGCCUCGCACGAAUGGAUAAACACCACAAUAUCUAAAAUCGAGUUGGGGUUCAGAUGUACCAGCUUGAUCUUGUAGUCGUGCAGAAGACCUCAGAAGAAGUCUCUGCACGGGAUGCCGAACUCGCGCUUGAAGAACGAUGCGAAGACCACCAUCUCCAUCGUUUCCUCCGAUGGGAAAUCUUGGCCGGCGGUGGGCUCCCAAGCCAACAACUCUUGAGGUUUGAGGAGGCCCCGAUCGACGAGCUUCGCUAUGAUGACCUAAGUUCUUGUUCACCUACACAUCACUCGGGUGCUUGAUGGAUAUGGGUACCCCAUGGGUCCCUACCGACAAGGAUACUGGCCGGACCUUACAAGUGGGCCUGUCUGACCAGGGCAUGCAGGCUAAGGACAUGAAGAUACUUGGAAUACAAAACAAGGUAGCCGGAUAGUUCAAAUUUGCCCAGAUAUUGUAGGGCAUGUAUUCUAUUCCAACUCAUAUUACUUUCCAUGUAACAACCGAGUAGAUUAGAUCAAAACUGACUUGUAACUCUAGGUCAUCAGCCUAUAUAAGGCGUCGAGGGGUGCCUCCCGAGGGCAUCAAAUCUCUCAAGCAAUACAAACCACCAAUCAUAUAGGACAUAGGGUACUACUCUCCGGAGGUCCGAACUUGUCUAAAACCCUCGUGUCCCUUGUGUUCUUGCGAUCACUUUCAAGUUCUUAGUUUUGCAAUCGCUUCCAUCUACAAAUCAACCACUUAGGUAAACCCCUGGUGGACUGCCGGAUUUAUAAAUCCAACAAUCGGCAUGAAUGCAACACACAUAGAAUAAAACUAUCUAAUUUACCUAUACUACAUUUCCUGUCAAGAAAAUAAAUGUUGGAAAAAAUUUAAAAUUAUAUGAAAAUUAUUGUUUAACUGUUCUUUCUAAUCACAUACUGAAAUCCAAAAAUUUCAGGGUGUUACUAUAAUCAACCUUGUAAAUACCUACGUAUGGAAUUAUCAACAAAUUAAUACAGCUUCAAGUACUAAGUACAGUAAAGGAAAAGUAAAUUGCAGAACUAUAAGUCAAAUAAAAUUCAGGUAAACGCGUGAGGCCUGACCAAGUCGUGGUAAACACCGUAGCCCACUAUUUGAAUACCAUGAUUGUAUUCACGUCCUAGCUAGCAAUACCUAUUGGUCGUACUCCCUCCGUCCCAGGAUAUAGCUAUGUUUAGACUUUCAAAUAUCAAGAUAAUCAUAGAGACUAUACAUAAAAAUGAUUAUGGAGCAAUUACGUAUAUAUACUCACAACAUUAUACGUCGUUGCGUGAAUGAUGGACAAAUAAUGAUUGUUCAUUGUCCAUUAUUGUACUCUAGUAAUAGUAUAAUAUUAGUAGUAUAUAUCUUUGUCGGUAAGCAGCAGGUCUUACAAUUCAACUUGAUCAGAUCAAGUUAGGUCACUUUCAUAUAUAUUCCAAAACAUAGGUCCUUUUCAUUUUUUAGAUACAUAGAUUUUGCUAUGCAUCUAAAUAUAGAGUUAUGUCUAGAUACAUAACAAAAUUCAUGUAUCCAGAAAAGUCAAAAUAACCUACAUUUUAAAAUGAAGGGAGCGUAUACUUGUUUUUGGCAGUUGUAUUUACAUAUGUCCACGUAUGUCUUCGCCUGAUUUGGUGCUCAAGUGGGCUUAAUUAUUAACUCUUGAACCACCAAGCUGAUGAACUGAUGACUACAUUACAUACGUGUUAUUCCUACCCGUAUGAUCGUACUACGCCUCAUUUAAUGUGAAAUAGUUCCUCCAUAAGUUUCUUUUAAUCCAAAUUCAAUGAAAUAGAUGCCAAUGACCACAUCAUUUUAUAGUGUACCAAAAAACUGCACACUUGCAGCUUCUUCCCCAAGUGGAAUAUGGAAAAGGUCACCAUAUAUAGCUACGAAACACUAGUAGGGUCAGCAAAUUAAAGCAAUGCAAUCGAAUGCUCAUGUGUUAUGAUUCCUUCUACUACUUGUUUAAGACUCCAUGACACUGAAGAUAAUUUUAGGAUGUUCAUUCCAUAUAUAUCCACUUGCCACUUUAGCACAAUCUGCAUGACCUUUGACCUAAUCAUGCGACAGAAUGAUCACUUUAUAGCACCAAACUGAAAUUUGAUACAUUAACCUCACAGAAGUCAACGUCUAAUCCUGAGACUGAGUCGACUUAAUCUUUAAAUACCACCGCACCAGUACUGCAUCAAUACCGGUUCAAACGUCUCAAGCCAGACAAUAAUCUUUAAGUACUGCAUCAAGGCUUUAUUUUGUUUUGGUAGGAUAAUAUAUCUUCCCUGAAAAGGUCGAGUGUGCUAAUAUAUGUCAAUCUUCCAAACCUCGCAACGUUAACGAUCCAGCAUUUUGGAAUAAAAACACUCGGCAAAUCGGGACUUUACCGAGUGUCAAAUAAAAAACACUCGGCAGAGCCCCCUCUUUGCCGAGUGUCAAAAAAAACACUCGGCAAAGAGGAGAGUUUGCCGAGUGUCAAAAAAGACACUCGGCAAAGAGGGGGGUUUGCCGAGUGUUUUUUUGACACUCGGCAAAAAAAUAAUUUUUUUCCUCUUUUCAUCACGAAAUUUUUUCUACUCCCCACAUACAACAUGUGGUACUCCAUGUUAAAAUUUGGUAUAUUUUUGGAUUUAUUUGCUAUAUUUAUUUAAUUAAUUGCAUUUCAAGGAAAUUUUUGGUAUAAGUCAAAUUUGAACUGCAAGUGAUUCAAAUUAUGGAACAAAAUGAGUAGAAAAAUGAUAUUCAUGUUAUUUGGCCCAAUUUGAGACCUGACCCAUGAAAUGAAAAGAAAUUUCGAACAUCUUGUUCAAGAAACACGACCAUGAACGUGUGUCAGUAGUAUUUUUAAAUUGUAAAAAAACAAGCAAAGUCUGAAAAUCAUGAGAUUUGUCAUGAUGUGAUGAUAUAAUACGUGGACGCUAUGGAAAAAAAUUGAGAAGGUUUUGCACAUUUCAUCAUGUACAAUGAUUACAAACUGAAGCAUCUCAGAAGAAGAAUAGUAAUUUUAAGAAGAUUCGAUAAGAUUUAGAGUCGAAGUGACGGUCGAGUUUGGUUUGACUACAAAACUUUUUGUAUAGGCAAUAGAGAACAUAUAUUGAUUCGUGUGAAAAUUUGGUAUUUUUUUUGAGACGGUUAGAUAUUUUUUAAAUUUUUUUCUAAAAAAAUUUGCCGAGUGUCCUAUGGUGGACACUCGGCAAAUAAACCGUUUACCGAGUGUCCACGUAGGACACUCGGCAAACAGACGGCCCACAAAAUAAAUUAACCUCCCCCAGCCGGCCCCCUCCCCCAACUCCCUAUCUUCUCCUCCUGCCGCCUCCUGCCGCUCCCUGCCCCCUCCCAGCCCACGCCUCCUGCCGCCGCCGCCGCCGCAUGCCAUCUCCCUCCCCCGGCCCCCUCCCCUCCCUCUCCUCCGGCAGACGCCAUCUCCCUCCCCUGGCCCCCUCCCCUAACGCCCCCGGCCCCGCCGCCCGGCGCCCCCCGGCCCGGCGCCCGGCGCCCUCCGCCCGCCGCCCCGCCGCCCGCCGCCCAGCCCCCGGCCCCGCCGCCCGGCGCCCAACCCCGCCCGCCGCCGCCCCCUUCGGAUCUGGCCGCCGCCGCCCCCUUCUUCCCCUUCCCUGGCUCCCUCCCCUCCGGCCGGAUCCGCGCCCCCUUCUUCCCCUCCAGCGCGGAUCCGGCGGCCCCCACCUCUCUCCCCUCCGGAUCUGGCGCGUGGUGGCGGGCGGCAGCGGCGUGGCGGCAGCGGGCGUGGCGGUAGCAGGUGUGGCGGCGGCGGGCGGCAGCGGCGUGGCGGCGGCGGGCGGCAGCGGGCGUGGCGGCAGCGGCUGGCGGCAGUGGGCGGCAGCGACGGGCGGCAGCGGCGUGGUGGCGGGCGGCAGCGGGCGUGGCGGCAGCAGGCAGCGUGGUGGCCGUGGCCGUGGAUGGCCUGGGCGUGGCGGCGGCGGCGGCGGCCAGCUGGAGCUGCCCCCGGUGGCCGGGGUAUGUUUUUUUUUAUUUUUUUCUGGAAAUAGUUUGCCGAGUGUUUUGUGCCACUCGGCACACCCUUUGCCGAGUGCCCGACCAAAGACACUCGGCAAAGUUAACUUUGCCGAGUAAAACUUUGCCGUGUGCUCGUCGCCGAGUGUUACACUCGGCAAACAAGUUGCCGAGUGUUUUUAGGGUUUCGCCGAGUGCCUGGGGCACUCGGCAAUUUGUAGCUUUCCCGUAGUGGUACCUCUAUGACUACACCGUGUGGGCUGUGUUCCUGCUUCUGCUCCUCAGCAGCACGGAUAGCCUCACGGCUUGCCGCCUCAAUGACAUUGACAGCUGGAAGAGCAUCUACGUCAAACAACUCUUUAAGGGGUUCUUGCUGGUGUAUAUCAUUCUAAAGUUUGGAUAUUACAUCGAGAAGGAUGUGGAUGCGGACCACCUGUGGUAUCCGCUCUCAGCCAUCGUAUUUCUUAUUGUCAUCAAGUAAUAUGUGAUGAUAGCUUCCAUGAGGAUGGUGAGCAAGUCCUACCUCGGCAAGAACGUGAAGGUGGUCGCCGAUUACAUGCAGUAUAUAGACAACAAGCUGGUGACCUUUGAUCCUGUGACCAUGGAAGGAUACCGGUACAUGGUCGCUGGUGAGAAACACUGUGUCAACCGGCCUGGACACACACCAUGGUACAAGAAGCCGGACGACUUGAAGGUUACCACCGUGGAGCAGAUCUAGCAGUGCGAGGGGAAUCUGCUCAUUGGUGAUCAGGGCAAGGUGCUAAAGGACUUGUGCCUCUCUAUGGCUCUCUCCAAGAUGCUCAACCGAAGGUUUGCUGGCUUCAAGCUCUCAGAGGCAGAGCUUGAGAAAACCCAUGACUUCGUAUUCAAAGGCCUGCUCGCCGGGGACGAGCAGCGGGCCUUCAGGGUCAUUGAGGAAGAACUUGUUUUUCACCAUGACAUGUAUUACACAAGGUACUCUUACCUCUACCAAAAGGGUCGAUACCUGGCUCUCUGUCUGCCUGUCAUCAUGUCUGCCCUAUGCUCGUGGCUCACAGUGACCAGCCUGCUCGACAGGCGCAAAAACCCCUAUCAAAAAUCCUCCUUAUUCGCAAAAGGCGAACUGGGUUACCCCACCAUAGUCACAACUGUUAGGAACGAACGGCGUAUGGAAUAUGAAGUAAAGAAUCAAACCGCAAGAAGACACACGAUUUACGUGGAAAACCCCUCCAAUGUGAAAGGGAAAAACCACGGGCACCAGCCGGCAAUAAUCUCACUAUAUCAAGAGUUUGGGGCUACACGCCUAUGGCGGCUUACAAGAGAAUUUCUCUCUUCUGUUGUUCUUCUGUCUAUCCCACGAAACCCUAGCAAGGGUGUCGGUAUAUAUAUAGUACCGAAAACCCCAGACAGGGGGUAUUGAGCGGUACGGACUCUUGAUCCCGUACGAGGAUGGAACUCCUCCUCGUCCGACCUUGAGUCCUUCGUCCUGGAGUCGGAUGCGCCUGGGACUCCGUCUCGCCCGACCUCAAGCCUGGGGUCGGAUGCGCCUGACCCCUUGAGGGUCGAUCUCCGAUUCGCCCGACCCCGAGUCUGGGGUCGGGAGAUGCUCCGACUCGCCCGACCCCAAAGUCCAGGGGUCGGAAGACGCUCCGCCUCGCCCGGCCCCGAGUCCUGGGGUCGGGAGAUUCUCCGCCUCGCCCGACCCUGAGUGUUAAGGGUCGGGAAGGUCGGCCUUUAUCCUGGAGUGAAUUUGGAACAACUCCAACAAACUCCACCUUGAGACAAAUUCAUCUUGUAUCAUCAACCCUUCAUCCUGAACAGGACAAAGACAAGAAAAAACCACUGGUGCCAACAAUAGUCUCUUGGACUAUCCAAUUAAACCAACUAAGCCUGAGCACAGCUCAAACUUAGUAACAGGAACAGGCUUUGUCAUCAUAUCAGCAGGAUUAUCAUGAGUACUGAUCUUGCAUACCUUCAGCUUACCUUCUUCAAUCACAUCACGCACAAAAUGAUACUUGAUAUCAAUGUGCUUAGUUCUUUCAUGGAACAUUUGAUCUUUAGUGAGGUAAAUUGCACUUUGACUGUCACAGUGCAAACUUAUGCAAGAUUCAACUCCACAAAGCUCGGCGUACAAACCUUUCAGCCAAAUCAAUUCUUUGCAUGCUUCACAAAUCGCCAUAUAUUCUGCUUCAGUAGUAGACAAAGCAACAACCGACUGUAAAGUAGCCUUCCAACUCACAGCACAACUGCCAACAGUAAACACAUAGCCUGUGAGUGAUCUUCGCCUGUCCAGAUCAGCAGCAUAAUCUGAGUCCACAUAGCCAACAAGACCCUCAUCAGUUCUUCCAAACUUUAAACAGGAAUUUGCUGUGCCUUUGAGGUAUCUGAAAAUCCAUUGAACUGCCCUCCAAUGUUCUUUGCCGGGAUUAGACAUAUAUCUACUAACAAGACUCAUAGCAUAUGACAAAUCUGGGCGAGAGCAAACCAUGGCAUACAUCAAGGAUCCAACAGCACUAGAAUAAGGAAUCUUUGACAUGUCUUUGACCUCUGCAUCUGUACUAGGACACUGAGCAGCUGACAACUUGAAGUGAGGUGCAAUAGGAGUACUUACAGCCUUAGCAUCUGGCAUGUUGAAACGCUGAAGAACUUUCUUGAUAUAAUUCUGUUGACUAAGAAAUAGCAAACCAGAUUUUCGGUCUCUUCUAAUUUCCAUACCAAGAAUUUUCUUAGCACUACCAAGAUCUUUCAUAUCAAAACCACUACUCAAUAGCUUCUUUAACUUAUUGAUUUCAUUCUUACUCUUGGCAGCAAUCAGCAUAUCAUCAACAUAUAUCAGCAAGUAUAUAGGUGAUCCAUUAACAUGCUUGAUAUAAACACAGCUAUCAUACUUAGAUCUUUUAAAACUGUGUGAUAACAUAAAUGAAUCAAACCUCUUGUUCCACUGUCGAGGGGACUGUUUCAAACCAUACAAGGAUCUCUUCAACUUGCACACAUAUUUCUCCUUGCCAGGCACUAUGAAACCUUCUGGUUGGUCCAUGUAUAUGUCCUCCUCAAGCUCUCCAUGCAAAAACGCAGUCUUCACAUCUAAUUGUUCAAGCUCAAGAUCAUGUGAAGCAACAACACUAAGAAAAGUGCGAAUUGAACUGUGUUUUACCACUGGAGAGAAAACAUCAUUGUAGUCAACACCCGGAAUUUGGCUGUAGCCUUUAGCAACUAACCUUGCCUUAUACUUUGGAGGCUCUCUUGGAGAUAAACCCUCCUUUCUCUUGAAGAUCCACUUGCAGCGGAUGGCCUUCUUAUUCUUAGGCAAAGGUACAAGUUCCCAUGUACUGUUCUUCUCAAGAGAUUGCAUCUCCUCAUGCAUGGCCGAAAUCCAAUUUUCAGUAUCGCCACAAUGAAUAGCUUCUUUAUAGGUUGCUGGCUCAUGAACAUUCUCCACCUGUUCAGCACAACUCAAAGCAUGGUAAGACAAAUUACACUCUUCAAUGAGACGGUUAGGAGGAGCAACUGUCCGUUUGGACUUUCGUUGAGCAAUGGGUAGAUCCUCCUCUAGAGUUUGCUGGACAUCAUCAUGAGCAUCAGCCGACCCCGAGCCUGAGGGGUCUGGCGCAUCAGCAACAGCCGACCCCGGAGCCAAGGGGUCUGGCGCCUUAGCAUCAGCCGACCCCGGAGCCAAGGGGUCUGGCGCAUCCGACCCCGAGACCAAGGGGUCGGGGUUAUCAGCAUCAUCACGAGCGUUCUCCACCUGCAUGCGCAUACGCUGCAGUUCUUUGUCUGGAACUUGAUCUGAGGGCAAGCUGUCAAUAAACAUCACAGAUUCAUUGAAAAUAACACUUCUGCUCAUAAAGGUCUUUCCUGUUUCCGGGUUCCACAAUUUAUAGCCUUUGACACCCGAACCAUAACCAAAGAAAAGACAUUUAACAGCUCUAGGCUCUAAUUUUCCAUUAUCAACAUGAGCAUAUGCAGUGCAUCCAAAAACUUUCAACUGUGAGUAAUCAGCAGGCGUACCAGACCAUACCUCAAUGGGAGUUCUUUUAUUUAGUGGAAUAGAAGGCGACCUGUUGAUCAAGUAACAGGCAGUAUUAGCAGCUUCAGCCCAAAAACGCUUGCUCAUCCUGGCAUUAGACAGCAUGCACCGGGCCUUGGAUAUGAUGGAUCUGUUCAUGCGUUCAGCCACACCAUUCUGUUGUGGAGUAUGGGGUAUGGUGUGAUGCCUUACAAUGCCUUCUGAUCUGCAAUAAUCAUUAAAUUCACGCGAACAAAAUUCUCCACCAUUAUCAGUACGAAGCAAUUUCACCUUCCUUUCAGUUUGCCUUUCAAUCAUGACUUUCCAGUCCUUAAAAGCAGCAAAGGUAUCAUCUUUCUGUUUCAGAAAAUAAGGCCACACCCUUCUAGAGUAAUCGUCAAUAAUUGUGAGCAUGUAACGAGCACCACCAAGCGAAGGCUUACGAGAAGGCCCCCAUAAAUCAGCAUGAAUAUAAUCAAGAGUACCUUUAGUGGUGUGAACAGAAGUGUUGAAACGUACCCUUUUAUGCUUCCCGAAAAUACAGUGCUCACAAAACUUCAUUUUACUCGAAGUGCAGCCAUCCAGUAGGUUUCUCCUUAUCAAUUCUGCCAUACCAUGGUGACUCAUAUGUCCCAGACGCAUAUGCCAAAGGUUAGUUUUACUAGGUUCCUCAUUAGUAACAGCAGCAACAGCGGAAUCAGAACCAGUUAAAGUACACCCUCUAAGAACAUAUAACUUUGCAGAAUUGAGAUCACCCUUUAAGCAGACAAGAUUACCUCUUGAUACCUUCAGAACACCAUCCGAACCAGAAUAUUUGUAACCUUUUGCAUCAAGCGUGCUCAAUGAAAUAAGAUUUCUGGACAUCCCUGGUAUGUACCUGACGUUUUUCAGAGUGCGUGUCAUGCCAUCAUGAGUCUUGAUCUGAACUGAUCCAAUCCCCACAAUAUCACACGGGCUAUUAUCUCCCAUCCGCACAACAUCCCCUUUCGGCAUAGCCUUGUAAGAGCUAAACCAAUUUCUGUUAAAACAAAUAUGGAAUGAACAUGCGGAAUCAAGAAUCCACUCAUCAUGACCAGCAACACAACCGGCAAAUACCACCAGGCUAUCUCCAGAUUCUUCAUCAGACACGGCAGCAGCAAUAGAGACCUUACCAGCCGACUUGUUUUUCUUCUUCUCCUUAUUCUGUACUUUUCUGCAAUCCUCAACAUUGUGAUUUGUUAGCUUGCAAUAAACACAGAAUUUUUUGUUACCAUGCGGCUUGGACUUUGAACGGCCUCGUCUUUCAUAGUUUUUUCUUCCAUCAUCAUUGGAGGAUCUGUUAUCAGUUCUGCCUCUCACAAGCAAAGCAUCGCCUCUGGAGGACGACGUCCUGUCAUUCUGCACCAUACCUUUCAUCUUCUCCCUUGAUUGGAGAGCCUCAUAAACUUCCUUUAAGGUUAGUUCAUCACGGCUCAAGAGUAUGGUGUCACGAAAAUUUGUAUACGAAGUUGGCAAAGAACAUAACAGUAAAAGACCUAAGUCCUCAUCAUCAUACUUCACCUCCAUUGAUACUAGAUCGGCGACGAUCUUCUUAAAUUCAGCGAUGUGGUUUAUCACUGAAUCUUCUUCCUUCAUCUUCAGGGUGAACAACUUCAUCUUCAUCUGCAUCUUACUGGUUAGAUCUUUGGACAUACAGAUCGAUUCCAGUUUCAGCCAUAGUUCUGCAGCAGUUUUUUCUUUCAGACACUCCUGCAAAAUAUCAUUAUGAAGAUGCAACUGUAUUAAGGCGAGAGCCUUCUGAUCCUUGCGGAUCUCUUCUGGAGUCCACUCGGCCUUCGUCUUCUUCCCGAAGCUAUCCAGCGCCUCAUCAUAAUCGUGAGUUUGCGCCAGAAUUCCCCUCAUCUUGACUUGCCAUAGCGAGAACCGCAUGUCGUAGUUCAGUAGCGGUAGAUCAAACUUCAUCGACGUCGACAUGAAAUCCAAACAGCAACCAAAGCUCUGGUACCACUUGUUAGGAACGAACGGCGUAUGGAAUAUGAAGUAAAGAAUCAAACCGCAAGAAGACACACGAUUUACGUGGAAAACCCCUCCAAUGUGAAAGGGAAAAACCACGGGCACCAGCCGGCAAUAAUCUCACUAUAUCAAGAGUUUGGGGCUACACGCCUAUGGCGGCUUACAAGAGAAUUUCUCUCUUCUGUUGUUCUUCUGUCUAUCCCACGAAACCCUAGCAAGGGUGUCGGUAUAUAUAUAGUACCGAAAACCCCAGACAGGGGGUAUUGAGCGGUACGGACUCUUGAUCCCGUACGAGGAUGGAACUCCUCCUCGUCCGACCUUGAGUCCUUCGUCCUGGAGUCGGAUGCGCCUGGGACUCCGUCUCGCCCGACCUCAAGCCUGGAGUCGGAUGCGCCUGACCCCUUGAGGGUCGAUCUCCGAUUCGCCCGACCCCGAGUCUGGGGUCGGGAGAUGCUCCGACUCGCCCGACCCCAAAGUCCAGGGGUCGGAAGACGCUCCGCCUCGCCCGGCCCCGAGUCCUGGGGUCGGGAGAUUCUCCGCCUCGCCCGACCCUGAGUGUUAAGGGUCGGGAAGGUCGGCCUUUAUCCUGGAGUGAAUUUGGAACAACUCCAACAACAACUCUUGUCGUGGCACUCCUGGAGGCAUACCAGCUGUACCUGUACAUGGCCUCAGGUUGGUUCAAGGUGGCUCUGAUACAGAGCUACGUCAGCGCACCAUUUUUGCACACAAGCUGUUCUGAGAUGAUCAUACGUUUUCUCUUGAUGUUGAAGGCGUUUCGCCCAUGGAAGGGCAGACUUGGGCAGUACUGUUUCCUCGAGAAUCUUGGCCACAAAAGUAAGGUUAUGAAUUGUCUCCAUUAUGCUACACUACGCCUGGUGGACAAGGCCAUGAAGGGGCGCAAGAAAUCAGUGAAGCUGUCUGGAAAUGUAAAGAAAGCCAUCAUUGAUUCCCUACUAGGAAGCAACGGACACCUGACGAAUGGGGUAACAUCGCUCCAAAGAAAUGGCGUCCAUGAUGACCUCGCAUGGGCAUGUGAUGCUUCUGCUACCGAUGGAGCGGUGACUCGCACCAUUCUGGUCUGGCACAUUGCUACAACAUUGUGUGAGCACCAGCUGGAUCAACAAGGCAAAGAAGCAGAGGCGGUUAGAACAGCCUCCACUUUAUCGAAGUACUGCAUGCAUCUGCUGGCUUUCGCACCUAACUUCUUGCCCGAUCACAGCACUAUAUCGGAAUCCAUACUUGAUGAGUUAAUUGUACAGGGCAAGCUACUCGACGGGUCCAAUGAUUUUGAUAGCAGGUGUAAGCAACUAUUGAAGAUUAACACCCAUGAUGGUGAUGGUGGUGAAGCACCCCUUCUUGCACAGGGCGCUCAGCUUGCAAGGCAGAUUGAAGGCAUACAAGACUCGAAAUUGCGGUGGAAGGUCCUCUCUGAUUUCUGGGCGGAGAUGAUGCUGUAUGUCUCGCCGUCUGACGAUGCCCGGGCACACCUGGAAGUUCUUCCAAGAGGAGGGGAGUUCAUCACGCACCUUUGGGCGCUGCUCACGCAUGCCGGUGUGCUGAAGCGAGGCCCUACAGAGCCAAAGGAUGUUGUGUGACCUCUCCAACAAGUGCACACUGUCAUGUAGUGCACACUCUAUCUAGUGCUUGUAACAUUCUAUUUAUAUUGCCUACUGUCAUGUUGGGACACACCAACUUGUGCCACACCAUGUGUGAGUUAGUCUGUCGAGUCUGUAUCUCUUUUCAUGUCGUGUCUGUUGUCGGAUUUUGGUCAGGGUCGGAGUCUGUAAUUUCUGCAAGAUUCGUAAGAAGAGUGCACGUUCAGGUUGUUGGACGUGUGCGUCUUAGGUGGCCGUUACUACAGUCAUGAUCCGGUGACCACUUGGCUCAGGAUCGCUAGUUAUGUUGCAUAAAUAAAGGGGAAGAAAAUUGAAAACGCUGCAGCUUCAUCGCAGCACAAAUCCACUCUCUCUCAGUUGCAUCUGUUUGUGUGUCAAUCGAGCAGCAGGUCCUGUUGCAGAAGAAAACGAGAUAAAGGUACGGACUUUCCUUAUGUGGCGCCUAAGUACAGCUCUAAGGACACAUCCGCAAUUUAUAUGUCACAUUUUUUUGCGAAACCUGAUAUGUCAUUGUUAAAAGUGUUUAUUUAUUUCUACCUUGAUCAGGAUGGGCUCUGUUUCAAGGCAUCAUUAUACACCACGCAUGUAUACACCACCCUGCUUCUGCCGUGCCCUUGGUUUAUAUAUACACCACGCAUGUAUAUAUUUUUUUUUCUAGAAUACGCAGGGGAGCUACGUAUCAUUCAAUUAAGAAGAAGAAAAUAUUAAUACAAAGAUGUUAUUAUAAUUGCAAAUGCAACUUUAACCGGAAAGGAGAUGGUAAAAGUGAAGAUGGAUGUUAUGAGUAUGUAUUUCCAGCAUAUGCUGCCGUAGGUGAGGCUCAUUAAAUACAGCACGCUGUACCUCUUCUGAAUCACACGUUUGCGUCCACUUUCGUAAGGGUUUAGUAAAAAAACAUUAAAGUACAUUUCACCUUUAUUUUUCGGAAUAUAUAAUCAGUUACUCUUAAAUCCAUCAGCACAAUAUAUCAAAACCUCAAUUAAAUAUACAUAUAUUUAUAGUAUAGUGAUAGGAUCCCUGCUGGCUGAUUAACCAUUUCCGUUUGUUGAAAAUGUCGGUCAUACAACUUGUUACAAUUUUUAUAAUAACAAACUUCUUCCUUUUUUAAGAUUAAAAAAACUUUUACUUAUUGAGUUGCCGUAACUUAUAUGUUACUGAAUCAACAUGUAUCCUUAUUUGUUUGCAGCAAUAACUGUUGCCGUCAUCCUAGCAAGUUUGUCAAUUAUUUUGCUUACGAGACGAGAGCAGAAGAAACUUUUGAACAAAAACGGUGGCGACAUUCUAAAGGAUGUGGGUAUCAAAAUCUUCACCAAAGGGGAUGUGAAUACUAUCACAAAGAGCUACAACAAUCGCAUUGGAAGAGGCUACUUUGGCGAUGUCUAUAAGGGGACCAUCCCCCCAAGCACUACAGGCCGCGGUUAAAUGCACUGUGGUGAAAAAGGUGGCACAAACAUACAAGAAACAAACAAGUACAACUAAAAAUAAUACACCAAAAUAAAAGAAAAGCUUUAAAAGAGCGUGCUUAAGGAUAGAACUCGAUCUAGGAUUUAUGAACAUGGGAAACGCUGAGAUCGGAGCUAUUGAGAUGUUUGAUUCAUAAAAGAAAUAAAAAGACUAUAUGCUUGAUUCAUUUUAAUUAAAUAAAGUAUGUACAUAGGUUAUUUCAGAGAAGCUGGCGGCAGCCGACUCAGACCCUUCGGCGGCGGCGGCGCUCCGACAAAAGGACGACGUCAGGGACCAGAGAAACGGACACGGUUCGAUCUCGCGAAGCUCCUCCCGGUUCCCUCUUACUCCGGUGACACUCCUCGGCGACGAAUCGGCGAGGACCGGCGGCGGCGCACGGUUUGCUUGAUGGCUAGGGUUUGGGGAGGAAAAACGGAACGGCGGCGGUGCCCUUAAAUAGGGAGGAGGGGUGCGUGGGUCCACGCUUGGAGAUAGAGCCUAGUGCAGUUUGAAACGAGGCGGAGUCGAGCUGGAUUCCUGGCGGAGUUCGUUGCGGCCGGUGGAGUCGGGGUCGAGCCGGAGGUGGGAGACGGUGGGUGGGGCCCACCGGUCAACCUCAGCGGGCAGUGAGACGGGCCGUUGCAGCCGUUGGCCGGGCUGGCGAAAUGGGCCGUCUCAACUGGUUGGCCGGCGAAAUGGGCCAUCUCAACAUUGCAAUUUGAGUGUACCUGGUCGGUAGCGCCUGAAGGAACUUUCGCACAAUUUCUUCUUCUGUGUAGCUGUUGUCGAGAAUAGCAAGCUGGUGGACGAUCUUGUUGAUGCGAAUGCCGAAAUCAUCCACAGACUCGCCGUCACGGAACUUGAUGGAGUCGAACUCCAGCCGGAGUGUGUUCGCCUUCACCUUGCGCACACGCUCAACACCGACGUACAUGGUCUUGAUCACAUCCCACACGAUCUUGGCCAUCGCCUUGCUUGCGAUGCCACCCAUCAUCUCUGCAGGAACAGCUUUCACGAUGACCUCGAGCGCCAUGCGAUCCUCGACGUAGUCCUCCGUGCCGAGGCUCAUCGCGAUCCAGAGACCACGCGCCUGCAGCAUCACCCGCAUGAGCGCCGCCCAGUCGUAGUAGUUCCUCUUGGACAGCACCGGAAAGGAUCUGCCACUGCUGAUCUCCUUCGUGACCCUGUGGUUCAUGAGCCCGCGUUCACGGUCACUGCUCCUGGACGCUCCCCCGCCGUUGGAGCCGCAGUUCCUGACGCACCAGCAUUGCUCCCGUGCCUGGGCGUCCUCCGCAGCGGCGAGAUUGAUCGUGGACGCACAAUGAAGGCCCACUCUAUCGCCCGGUUGCGCUCCCAAGUCUUGUAGCUGGCUCUGAUACCAAUUGUUACCGACACCGCUGAAACAACUCGUUGUUUGCAGUGACGAACUCCCAGAACUCACGCAAGAACUCGAAUGGAAAACGCCCGAGACUUUGUGCUGCUAACGUCACAGCUUUUUUGAGACUCUAUAUUGCACAUAAAUAGGAAACAGACUCCCUGAAUCCACACGCACGCCAUGCUCCCGGCCUUAUCGUGCCAUCCCACAACUGAGUUACAUGCCGUGCGUCACGGACUAAGGCCUUGUUUACUUCCUAAUUUGGGAUAGGCAAAAUUGGCAUUUUGCCAUAAAUGCGCAACUGUAGCGUUUCGUUUGUAUUUGUGAAUUAUUGUCUAAAUAUUGACUAAUUAGGCUCAAAAGAUUCGUUUCGCAAAGUACAACAAAACUGUGCAAUUAGUUUUUGAUUUCGUCUACGUUUAGUACUCCAUGCAUGUACCGCAAGUUUGAUGUGAUGGGGAAUCUUCUUUUUGCAUAGUGUCAAAGUUGGGAGUUUGGAGGAAAGUAAACAAGGGCUAACAGACCAAUAGAAAAACUAACUUAAGCCACUGCAUGAACUAGAGCAUGCAUCAGGCUCCUAGAAACGUGCUCACACUACAUGAGCCCAGUUUAUUGAAAGCUAAAAGACAGAAACUAAGAGCGAGCUGGAAUUACUAACAUAUUAAUCAGCGUAUUCCCAAAGAGAAGAGAGAGAGAGAGAGUUGUCGUAUGCCCAACAUACAAAAAAAUUGCAGAGAAGAGGACCGAAGGAAAGUUUAGCAGAAGACAAAAUCUACUGCAGAAUUUGAAGAACCGAACAGAGUUGAUUUGCACAAUCACAAGUCACUGACAGAAGCAGUUGGAGUUCCAAUGUUGUCUAUGCAGAAAGCCUUAAUGGGUCUCUGGAUGAAAUGUAGUGAACUACACUGCAGCUUCUUUAAGCUCCGCAGUAUCUGAAAUCUAACAAUGCAGCUGCUAAUGAAGAUCAUUUGAUUCAACAUGAUUUGAGCUUGGUUCCCAGAAAUGUCUCACAGCCACAUGACAGGCUGAAGUUGUAUGUUAAAACAUGGUUUGGUCAAAAGCAAUUUCAGAAGGAGAAUAGUCGAAGGCAAGUAUGUUAAAACUGAAGCUGCACUUCUACAGGCAUAAGAAGUGCACUUCUACAGGCAUCACACUUUUCAAGUCCACAUGGUUGUGACCUGCCUUUUAACCUCGUAUCCCUUUCCUUGAUCAUCCCUGCAUUUUAUAUAAUUUCAACGCUAGGAUUUGCUAACUACCAUCCAUAAGUGUACUCAACCUUACUUUCUUUAUACAAGUUGGAUGUUCCGGUUCUAAAUUCAUUCUGCAUGUGGAGUGGGAGACUACGCCACACCCCUCUAUGCAAAGGUGAAAAACUAUUUUUCCAUAAUUUAUGCGUCUUUUAUUGUUUUGAUGCUAAUCUAUGACGAAGAUUGUAUCAACUACUGAUCCAGAGGGAGGUCCCCACAAUCAAACGGUACUAAAUGAUCACUUUUAGUACCAAUUAUUUAGCUUCCUUUGGUACCGGUUGUUUCAAAUGAGUGAAGGGCACCUUAGCAUGGUAUUUUCAUGCCUACUUGGAACUUUUGGCAAGUUGCUAGACUUUUCUUGGUCUUGGAUUCUACAGCCACUACUAGCGCACCCGAUCAGUGGGCCUCGCAAUUCUUUGCCGAGUUUAUCAAGAUUCCAACAUCAGAGUUUGGAGGGGCUCAUAAAACAUUUCUUCAAACAUUAUUAACCCAGACAUGAUGGCAGACAUAUAGUUAAUUACUGCAUGUGUUCUAGUCAGUAGGAUGGGUUAUCAGGUUUAUUAAUUACGUACUGAGGCGUAGCAUAUAUUGCAGCAAGCCACAAUUUUAGCUUGUCACCUUAAUUGUAUGUUUGCUUUCCCUGCAGUGUGCAUAUACCGUAUUUAGAUAGAAAGUUUUGCUAUUGCUCAUUUGAAGGGGAUCCUACAUUGAUGAGACAUAAAGUCGCUGAGCUUCGUCAGUUCAAAACGCACUAACUAGUUAGGUUGAGUGUUAGCAGUUUCCAUUGACAUGACACCGCUGGAAAACCCAUCUUUUAUCCCGGUUGGUAGGAUUGAGGCAUAUUUCUCCAAUGCCCAACCGAGAUAUAGUAAUCGAGACAAAGGAAGGGGGUCUUUAGUCCCGGGUCGUCGAACCGGGACUAAAGAAUUUUGCGCCAAAAAAAUAUUAGAAGUCUCAAGUCACGCGAUUUUUGAUGCGAAAUAUGCGUGUGCACGAUGCGUGGAAUUGAAACACAUGACCUCAAGCCUCGCGCAUAGCUUUCUUACCAUCCCACCUACACAGAACAUAUGACUAGAUAGGGGGUGCAAUACUUUUGUAUUAACUCAUGGGGAAGUCUUUUAUCCUGAUUGGUAACACAAACCGAGACUAAAGGGUCUAAGGGUUUUAAUCCUUUUUCAGCUACCCGUGGGGGACCCGGUUGAUGUUUCCAACCGGGGUAAAAGGCUCCUCAAGGCCUUUUUUUCCCCUAGCCUUCACAAUCGGGAUAAAAGGUCCCGAUUGGCGAGCCUCCCGCAUGUAGCCGAGCUUUAGUCCCGGUUGAUGAACCUUUAAUACCGGGUCAAAAGGGGGCGCAUGGAAGGUGUGUUUUCUAGAAGUGUGAUCACCUAGUCUGGCAGCUGGAACAUGCGUGGAGUCAGAGUUAAGGUAGAGAGACACAGUUGCUUUUCAAAAAGUAACUGCAUGCUCUGCAAAUAAUCUUUGAUGACUUCGCAAGGUCAAUAAAGGAAGUGAUGCACUUAUAUGAACGAACUCAUUUCUCACUAUUAUUUGACGACCUAGUAUCGGAGACCUCCCAAUUAGUCUUUGCUUGAUAAUUAAGCACGUGAUCAAGUUGGCUUUCAAAACUCUCGUUAGCAGUAGCUUAAUACGUCUUGUUCGAUGUGCAGAAAGUUUUGCCGAACACGGUGCUUUUAGAUGCAAAUUUAAUUAAAAGGUCCGGUGUAAUAACAGCCACCUGCAGCUUGUCUUCCCCAAAAGUGCUCAGGUGUACGAGUCACCAUCACAUGCGCGGUUUUGGUGAUGCCCUCCUAACGAACUGCGAAGAAAAGUACUUAAUUACCACACAAUACUAGCUAGUAUAUACUACAUAAGCAUAUAUGUGUUGGAUGAUGUAAGCAUGCAGUCUCUGGAUGAUGCAACCAAAUUAUUGUACUAUGUCCCGUAAUUAACGUUGUGUUUAGAUUUUUUCCGUGCCAGCAAAACAAAGUGUCUGCAAAAGGCAUGUCUUUUAUUCACCAUCACUCUAACUGACUUAUUUGCGUAGUUUGCUGUUGCUUAACUGCACACACAAAUCAGUUUAACAUUCACAUGAGUGAAGGGCAUCUUAGCAUGGUAAUCUCAUGCCUACUUGGCACUUUUGGCAACGUGCAAGACUUUUCUUGGUCUUGGAUUCCGGAGCCACUAGCUACUAGCGCAACCGAUCGAUCAGUGGACCUCGCAAUUCCAUGCUAAAUCACGUGAUAGAAUGGCACUAGUUAGCACUUAUAGCACAAAACUGAAUUUGGUGCCUUGACCUAGGAUUAGUUUACACCCAAUAAUCCCCAAGUUUUUUAUGUACCGCCCUAUACAAUGCAAUUUAUUAAAACUGCUGAUGAAUCAAGUACGUUCUGAGGCGUAGCGUAUAUUGCAACUAGCAACAAUCUUAGCUUGUCAUCUUAAUUGUAUGUUUGCUUUCCCUGCAGUGUGCAUAUACCGUAUUUAGAUACAAAAUUUGCUCUUGCGCGUUUGAAGGGAAUCCUACAUAUAUCCACGAGACAUAAAGUCGCAGAGCUUCGUAAGUCCAAAACGCCCUAACUAGUUAGGUUGAGUGUUAGCAGUUUGCAUUGACAUCAUCACCUAGCCUGGAGUCAGAGUUUCCAUUCAACGGUUGUUUCAUGGCGGCCAACACAUCGCUGGAGAAAUUGAAGGUCAUAUCGAUCUUCAUUUAUAUAUAUUGCAACUCUCUGAUCUGUUGCCACCAUUUAGUUAGCCGACUCAGGGUCUACAUUUAGCGCUGCAAGUUGAUCCAUCGGGUGCGCAAUGCUUCAAUUUUUGCGUAUAAUUGCAAGUUGAUGAACGAGCUGUACUUUUUUAAAAAAUAAAAUGGUUGCUUAGAAUGUAGCAUUUCUACAGAUUAUUGAUAAAUUUGCUCCGUGGGCGGAUCUAGGGCCCAGGCAGCCCGGGGCGAGCCCAUGUAGUCCCUUUAACAUAUGUGGUAUUUAACCUAAUAAAAGGAGGUUUAUGAGGCAAGAUUAAACUGUUUUGGCUGUGAUUUAGCAACUUAGCCCGGGAUGCAACCCCGUUUUGAAUCCGCUCCUGCGUGCAGGUGCUAAGAGCAAGGUAGAGAGAGAUGUACGAUUGAAGACUGUGGGGUUCUUGAAUCCUAGCUAGUCCGGCGGUGCAGCGGUUACACGCACGCACACUUUGCUGAUCAAUUAAAUAGGAAUAACGGUUCCAACUCAUGUUUAAUAUACCCAUUGUUUUAAACUAAUAAUUAUUUGAGCCCACGAUCCAGGAGACAUCAUCCACAUGCAACAAGAGAAGCAUGGUGGCGAAACCGUGGAACAUCGAAAGGAAGAUGCAAUGCGCAUCAGCCACCUACUGGGGGUAUGAUUCAACUCAUGGAAUCAUAUGGUGGACACAGCACCUCCCAGCAGGAGUACCGGCCAAACAGUCAGGCUGCCUCUAUUAUGUAGUCCUGCCAAUAAAGCAUAUGUAACCAGCAGGAGCCAUGCAUGUAGCCCAGCUAUUUUCAUUUCCACAGCCAACCUCGAGAAGCUACCAAAAUCCUCGACCAAAUCUUUGGCGUGGCACUACAUGCAUGCAUAUAGUAGCGCACCCACACGGUCACGGAUACACCUCACUGGUCCUGUCCAUCUCCUCUCCACUAGGUGAGAGCUAGAAACUACCGAUUAAUUCUCUAAAACAGAAACAAGCACGGUGUAUAUCAUGGUCAUGAUCAUCAUGUGGUGAAGGGUUUAGGGAUUCUUUCUCUGUUUCGAGUUUUUGAAAAUUAAUCUUACCGGUCUGUCUUUGCAGAGAGAGAUGCCGACGGUAGCCAUCACGCUGGACCUGUCAUGUGGCCGUUGCAGAAGCAAGAUCGAGAAGAUCCUCUGCAGGAUUCAAAGUGCGUAGAAUAACUGCAGUAGCUUAGCUGAUGAGUGACCAACUCACGCAUGCAACUGUGUACGCAGAGCGUGGCAAGUUCGUCUUCGACAAGGUGGUGUACGAGAAGGACAAGGUUCUCAUAACCGGGUCAUUCGACGCCAUCGAGCUCUGCUGCAAGCUAACUAGGGCGUUUUGGACUUACGAAGCUAGCAGUUUCCAUUGACAUCCAUUAACACAGUUGCUUCUCAAAAAGCAACUGCUCCAAAUAAUCUUUCUUGAUCGAAUUCACCAAGUCAACGUCUUGGUCUAAGCUAAACAAGGUACUAGCAUACUAAGGGGUUGUUUGGAGUCUCACAUCGGAUGUUCGGAUGCUAAUUAGAAAGACUAAACAUGAGCUAAUUAUAAAAGUAAUUGCAGAAUCCCUGUGCUAAUUUGCGAGAUGAAUCUAUUAAGCUUAAUUAAUUCAUCAUUAGCAAAUGGUUACUGCAGCACCACAUUGUCAAAUCAUGAACUAAUUAGGCUUAAUAGAUUCAUCUCGUGAAUUAGACUUCAUCUGUGCAAUUAAUUUUGUAAUUAGUCUAUAUUUAAUACUCCUAAUUAGUAUCAAAUAUCCGAUGUGACAUGUGCUAAACGGUGUGCCAAACACCCCUAAACAAAUUACUCAUACAUCGUUUUAAUACAAGGUACUAAACAUAUUAACAUAUUCAUUGUCAGAGUGCACGUACAUUGACUACAUUAAUUACAAGGUACUGCAUUAAUUACAAGUGCCGUGGAAUCCGUAUUUCUUGGACAUGCAAGUGCAAUGGUUCAGAGUUUAUUGUAAAAAUUUUGCAGCAACGGAAGCCGUAUUUCAAGUAGGGAAGUAUGUCAGGAACUUAUCGGCCUAUAUAUAGGCUCGGCCCACUAACAAGGGCUGGGUCAAAGCAUGGGCUGGAACGCGGGCCAUGUGCUUUGGUUUAGAGAAGCAAACAAUGGAGGCAGUACAAAGGGGCAACAACCAUACUUGUAUCCAGAACCUUCUAGCAGAUUCUAGAUACUGUCCUUCUUGUUCCUGUACGUGCAUCCCCGUUCGAGUGAAUCAACCAACUAUAGGGUCCAAACAUAAUACAGCAGCCAGGCCGUUCUUGGUCUAGGAGCAGGACACGACGGCGGGGUUUGGGCCAGGCCGCCAGAUCCGACUGGUGCCACCAGCAAAAUGCUCAUACAGUGAGUACGUGGGCCAGUACAUCUUCUUCUGAUCGACCACACAAUAAAUUAUCCAUGCAAGCGUUGGGUGAUGUAAGCAUGAAACCCCACGAUGACUUCACCAAGCAUGAAAUUCCACGAUGCGUUGGGUGACAUCUUGUCUUUUGUGCUUGUAUUAUAUUCCUAGUGUAUACCAAUUUUUCUCUCACCGUAUGGAGCGGGGUCCUGAGGUAGUAUGUACAAGUAAAUGAGUUCUUCAUUUCUUAGACUCCCAUCAACUUUAUUAAUUAUUAAUUAUGUGUUAAGCAUUCCAUGAGUGAAGAGUACGUAACUAACCAUGGUCAUUAUCAUGCCCACUUUAGGCACUGCUUUCAGAUCUAAAAUUUGGAUCCGGACAGUACGCGUCCUCAAAAAACACCACCUUGGAUGUACACUUAAAACUUUGUGGAAAGGAGUGUGCAAUCUACUUGCCAGACAGGCCCAUACCUCAGAAAAUUUUGGUCAAAUAAAAAACACAUUGAAGCUUAGAAAUCUGAUGCCCAACACUACGGGAAAGCUAUAAAUCGCGGAGUGCCUGGGGCACUCGGCGAAACCCCAAAAACACUCGGCAACGUCUUCGCCGAGUGUAACACUCAGCGAAGAGCACACGGCAAAAUUUCACUCGGCAAAGCUAAGUUUCCCGAGUGUCUUUGCUCGGGCACUCGGCAAAGAGUGUGCCGAGUGGAAAAAAACACACGGCAAACUAUUUUCCAGAAAAAAAUAAAAAAAAACAUACCCCUGGCCGCCGCCACCGCCGCCGCCGCCGCCACGCCCAGGCCAUCCACGGCCAUGGCCACCACGCCGCCCGCUGCCGCCCGCCGCUGCCGCCACGCUGCUGCCGCCCGCCGCUGUCGCCCGCUACGGCCACGCCGCUGCCGCCACGCCGCUGCCGCCCGCCGCUGUCGCCCGCUACGGCCACGCCGCUGCCGCCACGCCGCUGCCGCCCGCCGAUGCCACGCCGCUGCCGCCCGCCGAUGCCGCCACGCCCGCCACCGCCGCCACGCCCGCUGCCGCCUGCCGCUACCGCCCGCCACGCGCCAGAUCCGGAUCCGCGCCGCCGGAGGUGGGGGCCGCCGGAUCCGCGCCGGAGGGGGCGCGGAUCCGGCGGAGGGGAGGGAGCCGGGGAAGGGGAAGAAGGGGGCGGGGGCGGCCAGAUCCGAAGGGGGCGGCGGCGGGCGGGGUCAGGCGGCGGGAGGCGGGCGGUGGGCGGCGGGGCGGGGGAAGGGGAAUAAGGGGGCGGCGGCGGGCGGCGGAGGCGUGCGGUGGCAGCCGGAGAUGGGGAGGGAGGGGAGGGGGCGCGCUAGGCGAGGGAGGGGAGCCGGCGGCGGCGGAGGCAUGCGGCGGCAGCCGGAGAUGGGGAGGGAGGGGAGGGGGCGCGCUAGGCGAGGGAGGGGAGCCGGCGGCGGCGGAGGCGGGCGGCGGCGGCGGCGGCGGAGAGGAAGAGAGGAGAGUGGGGGCCGGGAGGGGGCCGAGGCGUGCGGGCCGGGAAGUAGAUAGAGUGGGGAGGGGGCCGGGGGGGGGGGCCUAUUUGUGUUGUGGUGGGGGCUGUUUGCCGAGUGUCCUAUGUUGGACACUCGGCAAAGAAACUCUUUGCCGAGUGUCCAACAUAGGACACUCGGCAAAAAAAUUUUGAAAAAAAUUUAAAAAAUAUCCAACAAUUUCAAAAAAAUACCAAAUUUUUACACGAACUAAUAUAGGUUCUCUACUGACUAUACAAAAAGUUUUGUAGUCAAACCGAACUCGACCGUCACUUCGACUCUAAAUUUUUUCAAAUCCUUCUCAAAGUUACUAUUCUUUUUCUCAGAUGCUUCGGUUUGUAAUCAUCGUACAUGAUAAAAUGAGCAAAAUCUUCUCAAUUUUUUUCCACAACCUCCACGUAUUAUAUCAUCACAUCAUGGCAAAUCUCAUAAUUUUCAGACUUUGAUUGUUUUUUUUACAAUUUAAAAAUACUACUGCCACACGUUCAUGGUCGUGUUUUCUGAACAAGAUGUUCAAAAUUUCUUUUCAUUUCAUGGGUCAGGUCUCAAAUUGGUCCAAAUAACAUGAAUAUAAUUUUUCUACUCAUUUUAUUCCAUAAUUUGAAUCACUUGCAGUUCAAAUUUGACUUAUACCAAAAAUUCCCUUGAAAUGCAAUUAAUUAAAUAAAUAUAGCAAAUAAAUUCAAAAAUAUACCAAAUUUUAACAUGGAGUACCACAUGUUGUAUGUAGGGAGUAGAAAAAAUUUCAUGGUGAAAAGAGAAAAAAAAAUUAUUUUUUUGCCGAGUGUCAAAAAAAACACUAGGCAAACCCCCCUGUUUGCCGAGUGUUUUUUUUGACACUCGGCAAACAGGGGGCUUUGCCGAGUGUUUUUCAUUUGACACUCGGCAAAGUCCUUUUUUGCCGAGUGUUUUUUUUUUGCCGAGUGUUUUUGGCUUGGCACUCGGCAAAGAGCUUGUUUGCCGAGUGUCCGAAAAAAACACUCGGCAAAAAGAAAACAAUCGGCGAAUUUAAGGUUUCCCGUAGUGCAACUAUAUAUCUGCCAAAAGUAGCCAAGAAAGAGACAAAAUGCGUCCAAUUCCCAGCGUUGGACGCAAGUGACUUAUUUAAUGUAGUAUUAAAGAAUAUCUGCCUUGAUUGUUCCUUGUAUACAACGUUAAAAAGCACGUCUUUGCAGUUUGGAACAUAUAUAAGUGGGGUCAUGUCGUACUUUUAUCCAUCAGCAUCUUUAGCUUGGACACAAGUGGCAAAUUGAACAACUUGCGUGCUUUUUCACUAUACGACAGCCCACCGGGACUGACUACAUUGUAGUCAGCAUAGGUCGUUGUAAGGAAGAAUCAUCGGAUGCCAACUCCAUCUAUAAGUCGUUAUCAGUGGCAAAUUGAACAACUUGCAUGCUUUUUGUUGAUGACUAGCGGGUCUUGCUUUUUGUCAGCGAGAACGAACGUAUGUACAGUUUCUCUUUUCAAUUUUUGAUGACUAAUUUCAUUGCUUAUUAUGCCUCAAAAGGGAGGUUAAGUAAACUCUAGAUAAUAAUUCUUCUAAAAACUAAUUAGGGCUGAACCAACUUAAAAAAGUUCAUUAACAUGUGUCACUUGUAGAAAACAUGGAAUUAGUCCUAGUUGGUAGGCCUCAAAUAUCUCGAAAAUUCAUCCGGGAUAAAAAUUUUGAGAUGAAAUGGGGUUCUUUAAUCCUGGGUCAUUCAACUGGAAUUAAAAACACCCGUGCCCAUUAGUAAAAUCAAUUGGGAUUAAGGUCGAUACGUGGAUGCGCCAUGCACGUACCCCUUUAGUACAUAAUACUUUAAAAAAAUAUUUUUCAUGUGAAUAUUGUAUGCAAGUCGUAUAUAUAUUUUAUGGUAGUAUGUAUGUAUGUAUCUAUGUAUGUAUGUAUGUAUGUAUGUAUGUAUGUAUGUAGGGAGAGUAUACUUCGUGGCUAGCUGUAGAAUAGCUUAUAUAUGUCUGUAUGUAUCUAUAUAUAUGGAGAGUAUAAUCCGUGAUUAUUCUAUAGUAACGCGCAAGGAAUGUGGUCUGGAAAGCAACCAUGUACAUAGUACAUCUUCUUUUGAACACAGUAAAUUAUCCAUGCCUUGAGUGAUGUAAGCAUGAAAUUCCACAAUGACUUCACCAAGCAUGAAAUUCCACGAUGCGUUGGGUGACAUCUUGUCUUUUGUGCUUGUAUUAUAUUCCUAGUGUAUACCAAUUUUUCUCUCAACCGUAUGGAGCGGGGUCCUGAGGUAGUACGUACAAGUAAAUGAGUUCUUCAUUUCUUAGACUCCCAUCAACUUUAUUAAUUAUUAAUUAUGUGUUAAGCAUUCCAUGAGUGAAGAGUACGUAACUAACCAUGGUCAUUAUCAUGCCCACUUUAGGCCCUGCUUUCAGAUCUAAAAUUUGGAUCCGGACAGUACGCGUCCUCGAAAAACACCACCUUGGAUGUACACUUAAAACUUCGUGGAAAGGAGUGUGCAAUCUACUUGCCAGACAGGCCCAUACCUCAGAAAAUUUUGGUCAAAUCAAAAAAACAUUGAAGCUUAGAAAUCUGAUGCCCAACUAUAUAUCUGCCAAAAGUAGCCAAGAAAGAGACAAAAUGCGUCCAAUUCCCAGCGUUGGACGCAAGUGACUUAUUUAAUGUAGUAUUAAAGAAUAUCUGCCUUGAUUGUUCCUUGUAUACAACGUUAAAAAGCACGUCUUUGCAGUUUGGAACAUAUAUAAGUGGGGUCAUGUCGUACGUUUAUCCAUCAGCGUCUUUAGCUUGGACACAAGUGGCAAAUUGAACAACUUGCGUGCUUUUUCACUAUACGACAGCCCACCGGGACUGACUACAUUGUAGUCAGCAUAGGUCGUUGUAAGGAAGAAUCAUCGGAUGCUGACUCCAUCUAUAAGUCGUUAUAAGUGGCAAAUUGAACAACUUGCAUGUUUUUGUUGAUGAUUAGCGGGUCUUGCUUUUUGUCAGCGAGAACGAACGUAUGUACAGUUUCUCAUUUCAAUUUUUGAUGACUAAUUUCAUUGCUUAUUAUGCCUCAAAAGGGAGGUUAAGUAAACUCUAGAUAAUAAUUAUUCUUAAAACUAAUUAAGGCUGAACCAACCUAAAAAAGUUCAUUAACAUGUGUCACUUGUAGAAAACAUGGAAUUAGUCCUAGUUGGUAAGCCUCAAAUAUCUCGAAAAUUCAUCCAGGAUAAAAAUUUUGAGACGAAAUGGGGUUCUUUAAUCCUGGAUCAUUCAAUUAGAAUUAAAAACACCCUUUAGUCCCGAUUGGUAAAAUCUACCUGGAUUAAGGUGGAUACGUGGAUGCGCCAUGCACGUACUCCUUUAGUACUUAAUACUUUAAAAAAAUAUUUUCCAUAUUAAUAUUGUAUGCAAGUCGUAUAUAUAUUUUAUGGUAGUAUUAUAUAUAUAUGUACACAUAUAUAUGCAUGCAUGCAUGUAUCUAUCUAUUUAUUAUAUCAUCACAUUGUCAAAUCAUAAACUAAUUAGACUUAAUAGAUUUGUCUCGCGAUUUAGUCUUCAUGUGUGCAUUUCAUUUUAUUAUUAGCUCAUGUUUAAUCAUUCUAAUUAAUAUCUAAAUAUUUGAUGUGAGAAGGAUUAAACUUUAAUGCGUCGAACAACAAGCGAGCGCCUGGAUCUAGGAGGAUUAAUUAUGUGUUAAGGAUUCUUGUACUUAAUUCUUGGCACAGCAGCGGUCAUUCAGCAGAGGCGUCGUCGUUCCAGCGCGCCGGGCGCCGACAGCGGCGUGGGCAGCAUGAAGUCGACCCUGGACGGCGUGGCACGCACGUCGGAGGACUCGUCGUAGCAUACCUUUUGAGCUCCCCGUCCUCAUUUUCCUUUCCUGUAGCCAACUUGUGCUCCAAAAGCAUUGAGUGUGAAUAUGAUUUAAUUUUGACUUGACUAUUUGAAGAAAACUUGUGCUUCAAAGGCAUUGAAUUGAAUAUGAUUUAAUUUUGACUGGACUAAUCGAACAAAACACGCACAGAAGAUGCAUCCUUUGUGCUGCCGAUUUGACAUGCAAGAUUUGACUAGACUACUAUUGGAAGUUUGGAACACACUUUGGCAAGUACGGGACCCGGUAACUACCUGACAGGAGCCGGUCGCUAUUGUCUAGAAAGGGAGCCGGUCGCUAUCCAACAGUAAGCUGAUGAGACAGCAUCCUCCGAUCUGAUGGGAGCCGGUAGCUAUCUGAAAGGGACUGACAGAUUCCUCGUAGUGGGACGACCGGCGUAAGGCUGUCCACACCUGCACCCGCUAAAUCAUCCUCUCUAGUAUAGCCGUAGCCGAAAAAACUCGCACCAGUACUAAAUCAUCCUCUAGUAUAGCCGUAGCCGAAAAAACUCGCACCAGUACUAGGUGACGUCCGCUACCUAAGCGGACCGCCGCUGGUCCACUACUCCCAGCCGAUGCCUAGGACACCCUCUAACCGCCUCCCGAGGUCGCCAGCCCCAACAACCCCUCCCCCCUCGUGCCUCCGCUUGAAACUCCGCUGCCGGACCGCCGCCACGCUGGAACCGUCGCCACCGCCGUCGGGGAGGAGGAGUGGGCCGGCAAGCAGGAGGCCCAAGAGAAGCCGGCGGGGAGGAGUGUGAGGGGGCACGUAGGGAGGAGGAAGAGGCGAGGCAUCGGAAGGGGGAGGGGACCGGUUGGGGAGAGAGAUGGGGAAGAGAGAGAGGGAGGGAGGGGAAUAAAAUAUGUUGUUAUUGGUAUAGAGGAUGAGGUAUAGAGUAACAUAGAUGCGUGAGAAAUUCAUAUAGAGGAGAGAAUCUCGAUGACUAUGAUAGAAUAUUACUUUUAGAGUAUGGAAAUAGAGUAUGUCAAGUGCGGACAACCUUAGACUCUACCAAGUUGCGAAUACUCAUCAGCAGCACAAGUUAAAUCUUGGGUAUGGUCGACGUCUCGAUGACGAUGCCCGUACCACCCGUCGGUGAUAAGCAUCAAAGCAUAUGGGUUCACUGAUACAUACUUUCUUCGAAUUUCAUUCUUCGACCGAGGAAUAGAUACUAGGUCAUGGAUGAAGGGGGUGUUUGGUUCCCAUGGACUAAACUUUAGUUCACUGUUUUAUUUGGUGCACUUUUAGUCCUUAACACCCAAAGAGGUAAACUAAAGAUUUUAGUACUCUUGUCCACAAAAUUGGACAAAACUGGACUAAAAUAUUUUGGGGACGCCCCCGUCCCUCAUUUAUUGCUCUCCCUCCCAUGCGGCUCCCUCCCGCCGCUGCCCUCCCACCCUCCGCUGUUGCCACCCGCUGCCAUCCCACCCGGUCCCCGCCACCCUCCCACCUGCUCCCCAUCGCACGCGCUGGAUGCGGCGGCGGAUACCGCUGCAUGGAGGCAGUCCCCUGCUUGUCUGCUGCGGCGUGGAGGCGCAGAUCUUCUCCCGCCACCGCCACAUUAUGUAGACGAGCGACGCCCCAUCCUGCAGCCAUACCCGCUUCCCCUCAGCCUCAGACACAGUUGAUGGCCGCUGCCGCGGUUGCCCCACCGGGGUGCCCUCGUGCGACACCAGGAGCCUGUGGCGGACCUCCAUAGCCAUAUGGCAGCGGUGUUGGGGGCUCUUCGACGCUUAAACCCGCAGCGCGGAAGAGCACGAGCAGUGGCCACCCGUGGUUUGGGUUGUGUUUUAGGGAUUUUGAUUUGGGGCGAGGGAUCGAUCUACGCCGGGCACUCGUCUCCUGCCACCGCACGUGGAGGAGGAGGAGCGGGAGAAGUGGCUUGCGCCUCGAGCGCCAUGUGGGCGGAUGAGGGAAGGGAAGGGGAGGGGAGGCUGGAAGGGUAAAAUGAUCUUUGUUCAACAACAUUUAUAGACUUCAGUCCACAUUAGUCCAUGGAACUUAACAGGCUAGUUUUUGGAGUAAAGGAACCAAACAGGCCUAAUACUUGUGGUUCUGUUUUUUCUUUGAAAAAGAAUAUCUGUUGGCUUACCCAAGUCAACAGAAGCUGUACCUAGUAUAUAUUGCAAAUAAAUAUAGUGCAUAACAUUGAGUUUUCAAAGGAAAACAAUUGUUUAUAGACAAAGUAUUAUCUUCAUUCCCCUAUAUACAAAAAUUUCUAACAAAUAGCAAACUCAUGAUGAAAAGACUAAGGAAAGACAAUCUGUAUGUUACGAAGACUUUUUACAUGUAACUACGAUAUUCAGAUAACUAAGUAAAUCUCACUGUACUAGGUUUUUACUUUACAUACUCUUGGUUAUAUCUCGUUGCACACUUCAAUUACAUUGGCAUCAGAACCCAAACUCACGAGGAAAGAGAAGGUAUAAUCCAUUGUCAUAGUAAUUGGUCAAUAAAAGAAGUCUUCUUCACCUUUACUCAAAAAAUUACCACAUGAAUUGGAGAAAAAAAAAUACUCUCUCCAUUUGAAGUUACAAAGUUUGUUUCACCUUGCACAUAGACCUAGAAACUGUUAAAUAUGAUUGGAUUUCUAUUAAAAUGAUAUAUUUAAUGCAUGCACGUAAGUACAUGCAUGCAAAGUUAAAAGUGAAGUAAUCAUUAGAGGUAUAUACGAAUAAGACACCCUUCUUGACAUAAAGAAGCAAAUGAACAACCUGACUCGUUAUUAUCACCGAGCGAUUGCGUGCACCAAAGUCUUGCUUUGCUUGCUGGAAGGGCAUGAUCAGAUCACGAAGUACCUCUGUUUCUUUCUAGAUGAACUGCUAAUUGGCUGAAAUUGUUGUUGCAUAUUUCUGAGUCAAUGGACGACGAGAGGGUUGGUAUGCUUAGCUCUUCAGAAACUGUCGCUGGGCACGGGGGGGCCAUGGCCCGCCUUGACUAAUUAGUAGCUCCGCCGGUGCCAUUUUGCAUUGGACAGUGAAAGAAGCCUUGUAUGGAGAAAGUUUGUUUCACCCAAUAACCCACUUUGGCCACUUAAUUCGCCAAACAAAUGUAGACCUAUCUCUCCAUAAACGCCGUGAAUUGACGGGAACCACUGAUAUAUGCGAAAUCGGCAGGAAAGUAGCAUAUGUCGUGAGAUUAGGUUCGUCAUGCAUGGUUAAGAAACUCAAUUCGAAUCGUCUGCCUCUCACAGUUUGAGACUGCUUGACUGCACUUCUACACUGAGUAAGAAGGAGAACAAAGGAUGGUAUUUAAUAUUGAUGUUUGAUUAAAUUGCUUGUUACAAUAUGAUUGCUUUAGCAUAAGUGCUUACUUAGAAUGGAUAAUGUACUAAAAUUUGCUGCUAAAAUUUUGAAAGUAAGGAUCCACUUUAUAGACUUUUGGCAAAAGCAACCCCUCAGCCAGAAAGCUUUGCAUGUCUAGAAGUUGGUGGAGUAGUUACCACCUGACAGUUAAAUCUUGCUGAGUAUUAGUAUACUAAGCGAUGCUUGUGGCUUUACUUUUUCAGGUAUGGUCGUUAGUGAGCUCGCUACUUGUGUGACUCGGUCGUCUCAACUCCCUCCGGGUUGGACUGUCGAGUGGGACCCGUCCUCGGUCGGCGAGGAUCACGGUAACUGAUGACAUGGCAGGCUUCACCAUGGCAUCUCUUCGAUGUAUAAUUUAUCAUUUGAUUUUCCGCUGCUUAAUUUCUGAACACUUUACUUUACGUACUUUUGAAACUCUGGUAUUGUAUUAAAGAGAUUGGAAUCUAUGUAAUAUCUAUUGGAAUGUUGUGAUCUCUGGGGAAAACCCUCACCUUCGUGUGAGCCAUGCUUUAUUCGAUCCGAGUUAAGUGGUUAAUUGGGCUAGACCUGACGGAUGACUAAGUUGACUUGUUUAAAGUGCAUAAUCACGUGUUAGGUGACUUAAGAGCAUUUUAGCUAGGUUAAUUUGGGUGGUCCCGCCACAGCAGCCCUCCUCCUCCUCUCCGUCCGCCGGCCCCUCCUCUUCCUUCGCGCCACCAGCCACAUCCUGCGCCGCCCCUCCUCCUCCCCCGCAGCCGGCCCCCAUCGGCCCCAUACCACCGCCUCCGCCGCCCUGCCUCCGGCCUCCGCCGCGGUGCUGCACCCAAUAACCCAGUUUGGCCACUUAAUUCUCCAAACAAAUGUAUUCCCCCAAACAAUUGCAAUAAGUCGCAUCUACCAUAUAUAUGUGAUAUUUCUCGUUUUGUUUCUGCGCAUACAAGUGUUGUUUUAAGUUCCAAUUUUGUGGAGUGGUAGAGGAUCAUCAUAACAUAUGUGAAAAUGUACAUUAAAUUUUUUAUGAUUAUUUUCAUUUGCAAGAUUCCAAAGCUAGAAUUACAAUCCAGGUCGGUCAACGGAACAAACAAUUAACAUUAAAGGAAGAGACCAACUGGUGCUGUAGUACAGCGCACAGUAGCUAGAGUACAACCUAGAAUAGAAUCUUGCAAAUUCUGAAAGGGCCACACUUUAAUUUAUUUCAUUUCAACAAAAAAAUUCAAAGCCAAAGACUAAUUAUCUACAUUACCAGGAUGUAUAUAGAACUUUUUGAUAUCUAUUUGUCAAAAAAAAACAAAUAGCAGUAUAUGCACAAGCAGGAAGUAAAAAAAAUUAGCAUGAAAUCAAACAAAAAAAGAACAAAUCAAGUUUUACAUUCAAUCUGGUAUAUAUGCAGUAAAUUAAAUGCACACAAUUUGUGUGGUCUACCGUGAUUUUACCAGAAGGAUUUCAUUCUAUGCUACAGCUUGCACCCGGAUGAACAACCACCAAGCGAUGCUUUUCGUUAAGCUAUAUAUAUACAGCCUCAGGGCUCUCCAGGACUCCAAACUGUGUACUCUCUUUAUUAUCAGGCUUCCACUCUGAUUAUUACCAUGGCUACUGCCGACAUGGUUUUGGCACCAAGUCCCCCACCAAGUCCAGCUAUCAUGCCCUUUCAUGAAGCGUUAGGGGCGCUCUUGGUGGUAGCUUUGGUCUUGCUGGCCGUGGUGGCCAUAUUCCUCUUGCAUAUACUGAGUCCGUUACGCCGGUGGUUGAGCCAAGGGCUCCCCCACCAUAUCGUGAUGGGAAUCUACACGCUCUCCUACCCGCUGGUGGGCUACACCAUUGGGCGGAUGCAGAGUUCCAAUUGGUACCUCUAUGACUACACCGUGUGGGCUGUGUUCCUGCUUCUGCUCCUCAGCAGCACGGACAGCCUCACGGCUUGCCGUCUCGAUGACAUCGACAGCUGGAAGAGCAUCUACGUCAAACAACUCUUUAAGGGAUUCUUGCUGGUGUUUAUCAUUCUAAAGAUUGUCCUUGACAUACACGGGAAGAAGAUGAAAGCGGACAAACUGUGGUACCCACUCUCAGCCAUCCUAUUUGUUAUUGUCAUCAAGUCAUAUCUGAUGAUAGCUUCCAUGAGGAUGGUGAGCAAGUCCUACCUCGGCAAGAAUGUGAAGGUGAUAGCGGAAUAUAUGCACUAUAUAGACAACAAGCUGGUGGCCUUCGAUCCUGUGACCAUGGAAGGCUACCGGUACAUGGUCGCUGGUGAGAAACACUGUGUCAACCGGUCUGGACACACACCAUGGUACAAGAAGCCGGAUGACUUGAAGGUUACCACCGUGGAGCAGAUCUGGCAGUGCAAGGGGAAUCUGCUCAUUGGUGAUCAGGGCAAGGUGCUCAAGGACUUGUGCCUCUCUAUGGCUCUCUCCAAGAUGCUCAACCGAAGGUUUGCUGGCUUCAAGCUGUCUGAGGCAGAGCUUGAGAAAACCCAUGACUUCGUAUUCAAAGGCCUCCUCGCCGGGGACGAGCUGCGGGCCUUCAGGGUCAUUGAGGAAGAACUUGUUUUUGUCCAUGACAUGUAUUUCACAAGGUACUCUUACCUCUACCAAAAGGGUCGAUACCGGGCUCUCUGUCUGCCUGUCAUCAUGAUCGCCCUAUGCUCGUGGCUCACAGUGACCAGUCUGCACGAAAGGCGCAAAAACCCCUUUCAAAAAUCCUCCGUAUUCGUACGUGGCGAACUGGGUUACCCCACCAUAGUCACAACUGUUGUCCUGGCACUCCUGGAGGCAUACCAGCUGUACCUGUACAUGGCCUCAGGUUGGUUCAAGGUGGCUCUGAUACGGAGCUACGUCACCACACCAUUUUUGCAAACAAGCUGUUGUUCUGAGAUGAUCAUACGUCUUCUCUUGAUGUUGAAGCCGUUUCGCCCAUGGAAGGGCAGACUUGGGCAGUACUGUUUCCUCGAGCAUCUUGGCAGCAAAAGUAAGGUUAUGAAUUGUCUCCAUUAUGGUACACUGUGCUUUGUGGACAAGGCCAUGAAGGGAAGCAAGAAUUCAGUGAAGCUGUCCGAAGAUGUGAAGAAAGCCAUCAUUGAUUCCCUACUAGCAAGCAACGGACACCUGACAAAUGGGGUAACAUCGCUGCAAAGAAAUAGCGUCCAUGAUGACCUCAAAUGGCCAUGCGAUGUCACGGCUACUGACGGAGCGGUGGCUCACACCAUUGUGGUCUGGCACAUUGCUACAACCCUGUGCGAGCAGAAGCUGGAUAAACAAACCAAAGAAGAAGACGCUGUCAAAACAGCCUCCACUUUAUCCAAGUACUGCAUGCAUCUCCUUGCUUUUGCACCUAACCUCUUGCCCGACCACAGCUCCAUAUCGGAAUCCAUACUUGAUCAGUCAAUCAAUGAAGCAAGCAAGUUACUCAAAGAGGGCAAGAACAAGAAGAUCAAGGGCAAGGACAAGAAGAUCAAGGGCAAGAACAAGAAGAUCGAGGGCAGGUGUGAGAUACUAAUGGAAACUACUAAUACCGAUGGUUGUGUUGAUGAUGAAACAAGGCUUGUUGCGCAGGGCGUUCACCUUGCAAGGCAACUGAUUGAUAACAUACAAGACUCCACAACAAGGUGGAAGGUGCUAUCUGAUUUCUGGGCGGAGAUGAUGCUGUAUGUCUCGCCAUCCGAUGAUGCUCGGGAGCACCUGGAAGUUCUUGCAAAAGGAGGGGAGUUCAUCACGCACCUUUGGGCGCUGCUCACGCAUGCCGGUGUGCUGAAGAGAGGCCCUACAGAGCCAAUGGAUGCUGUCUGAUCUUUCCAACUUAACCAGUGCACACGUAGCAGUCCAUAUAUCUACCUAGUGCUCGUAACAUUCUAUGUAUAUUGCCAACUGUCAUGUUUGGACACACCAACUUGUGGCACACCAUGUGUGAGUUAGUCUACCGAGUCUGUAUCUCUUUUCAUGUCGAGUUAGUUUGUCGAGUCUGUAUCUCUUUUGAUGUGGUGUCUUUUGUCAGAUUUUGGGCAGAGUCGGAUCUUUAGUAUCUGCAUGUUUUGUUAAGAAGAGCGCGCUUUCAGGUUGUCGGACAUGCGGUUUCAUAGUUUGUGAUUUUUGUGAUUAAUAUCAAAACACGAUCAUUAGGAGUGUCUAGAACAUGCCUUGAAGGUAUUCUAGGUUCUAAGGAAGCAACCACAACCAAAGAUAAGAAAAGGAACGAAGAAAUCUAGUCUGGCAGCUAGAACGUGCGUGGAGUAAGAGUUAAGUAAGUUACAUACACACUGUUGUGACCCGAAACGUAUGAGAGUAGAUGCGCUAAAACUCAAACAGUUGAGCUUCGUUACAACAGAUAAGACAUGGAAUCAAUGAAGGUACCGUUACAACUGUUUUCUCAUCAUCAUUACAGUUGGAUGGAACUCUCUAUUUAUAGCCAUAGCGGCAGGCAUUUACAUUCCACAAAUGCCCCGCCUCAACCACUAUAUUCCCGUUAUAUGCUCUACACAAUGGUCAUUUGGACAUCACGUUUUUUGUGCCACCUAACAGUUCCGUGAUUGACGCUCACUUAUCACCUCCGCGAAUCUCGGUAGGGUUGUCCGCACCUUUUUCCGUGUUCUUCAUCGUCGACGGCGACUAACUAUGGCGCCAAGUUUGUCAUGUUUAGUGAAUCUAGAUAAGGACCUGGAUGUAGAAGCAAUGAUCGAAGAUGAGCUAAAAAAUCUGUCUGACAGUACAAGAAGAGGGAGCAGGAUUACCAAUCUGAAAGAACAGAGUUAUAAAAGGUCAUCAGACCCGCUGUUGGGGCUAAGGAAGAUAGGGAAUGGAUCCCGCUUCUGGCCAUUAACAAAUGAGGUAAGCUCGGAAGAUGAGCUUGAGGAUGACAAUUCUGUUGAAAAUGGAGAGGAUGACAGCUAUGCUGAAAUUGGAGAUAAAAAACCCCAUCUGACUUCAAUGGGAUGUAACUCAGAAACAUUACCAAGUAGUAGGAGUAUGGUGAUGGGAUACAAAAUCAAAAUCCCACAUAGGGCUAAAGAGAAAGGCAGUGGUAAAACAAGAGUUAUUAAUAAGAAAAUCAAAACAUGGAAAGGUCCAUUGCCAAAAAGAGAUCAAACACCGAAAUUGUCACUAGGGGACAUGUGGGUGAAGGAUCUUAGGACAUAUGUGCUGCCAAAAGAAAACAUGCGUCUUAAUUCAUUCUUGGAUGGUGAAUCAAAAGUUCUGGUAGCCGAUGAAGUUUCUGUUGAAGAAAGCACAUUUGCAAAGGAUACAAAGGAGUUUGAAUUUCAAAAUGAACAGUUGGUUAACUGUCACACCCGGUUUCUGGAUAAAACCGAAUGCAUCGCAUAUGUGUGCCAGGAUCCGUUCUCACACAUAUGUUGACGUCAUCAGUGAAUACAUCAAAGACAGUGCCCAAAAACAUACAUAAACCAGUAAGAACUUUAUUACACUCAGCGUGAUAGACACGAAGGUCUUUAAUCGUUCACCGAUAACUUAACACGCACGCACACACAGCGCAGCUUCUCCACAGGCUUGACUGGUGGACCGCCUGCCUAGAACUCCUCGAAGUCAUCGAAGAACUCCCCGUCAUCACAAGCUUCUGAACAGCGUUUGGGCAAGGGUGAGUACACUUAUGGUUGGUACUCAGCAGGUGGGGGAAACAUGCAAGGCUCACAAGGAAUGGCUCAAGGCUUUUAAGCGGUUAGCAUUUUAAUUGGUCAAAUUUUUAUUAGCAGCACCUAAUUACUAGAUGUAAGUUUAUACCAACCCAAUUAAGCAUAUAACAUUAACAUAACCCAAAGGUAAAGGUAACACAGAUUAAUCUCAUCUUUAAGUUCAAUUAUCAUGUGAGGGUCCAAGCCGCUCUUAACCGUGAGCACGGCUGAUAUAUCAGUUUUCACUCUGCAGAGGUCGUACACUUUACCCACAACUCGUGGUCCCCCAUGUCGCCCGGGUUUGCAAAGCCCUUAAACACUUCCUUUGGUGAGUGGCUGGGGGGUCCACUACGAAGCCUUUACAAAGACACGCAGAUAACUGGUAGCCCGCUAGAGUUUCAGUAGCGAUGCGGACCACAACCUGUUAAUGAGACAGCACCUUAGCGAAGGCUACUGCUCCAGAUCGUGCACCCAACACCUUCCCCCUCCUUGCCCUUUCGGUAAAGCCACCAGCUAACUACAUGCCUAAUUAUUCGGCUAAGAUCAGAGCCAUGUGAUGUUGUGGUUGUACUGUUUUCUUGGGUGGUUCUCCAUGUUCCGAUUAAAACAAGUGUUCUUGCAAUUAAACCUGUAUAGCAACAUAAAUAAAGCAUGAUUAACAUGUUUCAUGAUUAACACAUUACCAACCCAAUUUAAGCGACUAGCAAGUCUACCCAACAUGAUUAAACAGGUUUUCAAGGAAUAAGGAUUAAAACUAGGUAAGUCCUUAAUAGGCAUUCCCGUCAAAUUUAUGCACAUACAAGAAAUAAGUAAAGUGCUUAAUCAUGAUAUUAUUGGGACAAAAAGAACAUGCAGGGGAAGAAGGCCACUUGCCUUCCUCGGCAAACUGGGAGAACUCUUCUUCGAACGGUGGCUGCUCUUGGACUUGCUCCUCCGCGAACGUCACGUCGUCUACACGAUCACACAAGGCAAACAAACAAAGAAUAAUUAAAACAGUACAACAAACAUAUGCAAAGGCUUACAACAAACUCCUAAAUCUAACGUUCAUGCAGAGACGAUCGCGUGAGCGCGAGAAUCGCUGAAAUCGGAUUUAAAACGAAGAAGAUAUGAGAUAAACAAGUUUCAGGGGCUAAAACAGAAUUAACUAUAUACUUCAGGGGCUAGCAUGGAAUUUUAGAAAUAUAUACUGAACAGAACAUGCAAAAAUAGAGAAAGAUAGGGUUAGAUCUACAAAAUGACAUGGCUCGGGUUAAAAUAAAAGAAUGCAGGAACUUCAGGGACUUCUCUGGAAAAAUUACAGGACACAAGAAUUAAGAAAAAGGAAUAACAGAGAGGUCAAGGACUAGAUCGCAAAAACUCCAUCUUCUUCCUCCAACAGACAACCAAGCACACAGGGGCAUGGCCGACGGGGAGGGGGGUCAAGCCGGCGUGGGAGGGAGGCCUCGCCGGCGGCGAGCUCGCCGGCGCGCGGGCGGCGGCGCUUCGGUGGGGGAGAGGAGGGAGAGAGGGAAGGGAAGGGGAGGGCCUCACCGGAGAAGAACAGAAGCUUCACCGGUGACAGUACGGGCGACGGCGUGGCUUGGGCGGCGGUGUGGCGGUGCGAGAGAGUGGUGGGUGAGUAGCAAAACGGAAAGGGAAACUCCGGGCGAGGUCGAUGGCGACCUUUAUAGGCCCCGGGGAGGAGCGGAGGGGGCUCCCGGGAGAGAUCGAAGGUCGGCCGGCCAUUAAUGGCCUUCAAGCUUGUGCGGCCGUUUCCGGGGAGAGGAAAGGAUGGGGCGACGAUUUGAGGCUGGGAGUGGGGAAGAAAGGAGAGGGAGGUGGCAGCCCAAAGAGGAAAGAGAAGCUGGGCCGGCGCAAGAAAAAGAGGGGGAAAAGGAAAAUGGGCCGGCUGGUGGAAAGGGCCCAUUCGGUUGGGAGGGGGAGAGGGAAGGUGGCGGCCCAAGAGAAAAGAGAAGGGGAGAUGGGCCUGCGCAGGGGAAAAGAGAGGGGGAAGGAGAUGGGCCGGCGGAUAGGCCCAUCCGGCUUGAAGAAGGAAGGAAAGGAAGAGAGGAGGGAUUUCGGCCCAAGGAGAGGAAAGAGAGGUGGAGGGUUUUGAGAAUUUAAAUAGAGUUGAAGUUUUCAAAAUUCAAUUCAAAUUCUUUUGAAAAUCAAAAGCAAGCAUUCAAACAAAAGCCAAAAAAAAAGAGAAAAGAAAAACUCUACCAAGCACUUAUUGCUUCUAAAAUUAUUUCAAGUGCUCUUUAAUUAUUUAAAGACCGUAAUUUAAAUAAAGUAAUUUAUUUAAUCCUUAGAGCACGAAAAAGUAGACCGAGUUGCUUACAUUAUUUUCAUGAUGGAAUUUUGGGUGUUACAAAUCCUACCCCCUUAAAGAGAAUCUCGUCCUCGAGAUUCGGAGAGAUUGGAAAACAACUGGGGAAACUCUUCAAUAAGCUCAUCUUCUCUUUCCCAGGUGGCCUCAUCUUCGGAGUGGUGACUCCACUGUACUUUGCACAUUUUGAUCACUUUACUCCGAGUGACUCUCUGAGAUGUUUCCAAUAUCUUGACAGGAUACUCUGAGUAGGUCAAAUCAUCCUUCACAUUAAGAUCUUCCAGUGGUAGCUGUUCUUCGGGUACUCUAAGACACUUCUUUAACUGAGACACAUGAAACACAUCAUGAACAUCCGAUAAUUGAGCAGGUAGGUCUAACUGAUAUGCCACUUCUCCUUUUCUUUCCAGAAUUUGAAACGGACCAAUGUAUCGGGGUGAUAGUUUCCCUUUAACCUUGAAUCGUCGAAGACCUCUCAUAGGCGAUACCUUAAGAUACACAUAAUCUCCGACUUCAAACGUUAGUUCCCUUCUCCGAGUAUCAGCAUAACUCUUUUGUCGCGAUUGUGCAGUCUUGAGAUUAUCUCGAAUUAUUUGAACUUGCCUUUCGGCUUCUUUAAGAAUUUCUGGUCCAAAAACCUGACUUUCUCCUGUCUGACUCCAGUAUAAUGGCGUUCUACACUUUCUUCCGUAUAACGCUUCGAACGGGGCCAUCUUAAGACUAGCUUGAUAACUGUUGUUAUAAGAGAAUUCUGCGUACGACAAACUCUUAUCCCAACUACCUCCAUGCUUUAAAGCACAAGCUCUUAACAUAUCCUCUAAGAUUUGAUUGAUUCUCUCAGUUUGACCGUCUGUUUGCGGAUGAUAUGCGGAACUGAAAUUAAGCUUUGUAUCCAUUGAUUCAUGCAACUUCUGCCAGAAACAUGAUGUGAAUUGAGUACCUCGAUCAGAUACUAUUUUCUUCGGAACACCAUGUAAACAUACAAUCCUUGACAUAUACAACUCCGCUAACUUAGCUCCAUUAUAGGUUGUCUUAACUGGUAUGAAAUGAGCAACUUUAGUCAAUCUGUCCACAACAACCCAUAUAGAAUCAUAACCAUCGCGAGUGCGAGGUAACCCAACAAUGAAAUCCAUUCCAAUCUCUUCCCAUUUCCACUCUGGUACCUUCAGUGGUUGAAGUAAACCUGCUGGUCUUUGGUGCUCUGCUUUUACUCUUUGACAUACGUCACACAAAGCAACGUGGGUUGCUACAUCCCUUUUUAAACCAUACCACCAAUAUUUCUCCUUCAAAUCCUGAUACAUCUUAGUACUACCAGGGUGUAUGGAAUAAGCUGAAUCAUGUGCUUCCUUCAAUAUACGCUCACGAAGAUGGUCGGCCUCCGGUACACAGAUCCUUUUCCUGAACCAAAUAGUCCCUUGAUCAUCUUCAGUGAAAUCUGGGGCUUUUCCUAACCCAAUUAGAGUCUUGAUUUCCUUAAUUUUAGCAUCUGUCAAUUGCCCUUUUCUUAUCUCUUGUUCCAGUGUAGGCUCAAUUUCCAUAGUCACGGCUUCUGUAUGUGCAACGAUUCCUAAGUUGAGUCGCUCCAUUUCCCAACAUAACUCUUGAGAUAUCAAUCGUGCUAUAGUCAUAUUAGCUUGACCUUUUCGACUUAAAGCAUCUGCUACGACAUUUGCUUUGCCGGGAUGAUACUGAAUAUCCAAGUCAUAGUCCUUGAUCAACUCUAACCAUCUGCGCUGCCUUAGAUUAAGAUCUCUCUGAGUGAAGAUGUACUUUAGGCUUUUGUGGUCGGUGAAUAUCUGACACUUGUUCCCGAUCAUGUAGUGUCUCCAAAUUUUUAAUGCAUGCACAACAGCAGCUAAUUCCAAGUCAUGAGUCGGAUAAUUUUGCUCGUGCUUUCUCAGUUGUCUUGAAGCAUAAGCCACUACUCGACCUUCUUGCAUCAAUACACAUCCAAGUCCUAGACGCGAAGCAUCACAAUAAACAUCGAAGCCUUUGUGUAUAUCCGGCAUUAUCAGUACAGGAGCUGUAGUCAAUUUCUCCUUCAGUUCUUCAAAACUUGCUUGGCACUUGUCAUCCCAUUUAAACUCUUUUCCCUUUUCUAACAAUGACGUGAGAGGUUUGACAAUCUUUGAGAAACCUUCAAUAAAUCUGCGGUAAUAACCUGCUAAUCCAAGAAAACUUCUGAUUUCGGACACAUUCUUGGGCGGAUUCCAAUUCAGCACAUCUUGAACUUUGCUUGGGUCUACUGUGAUUCCUCCGUCAGUGAUAACAUGUCCAAGGAAGGAAACUUCCUUCAACCAAAAGUCACACUUACUCAACUUAGCAUAUAGUUGAUUCUCCCGAAGCUUCUGUAACACUAAUCUUAAGUGCUCUUCAUGCUCUUCUUCAUUUCGAGAAAAUACCAAGAUAUCAUCGAUGAACACUACCACAAACUUGUCUAGGUACUCCAUAAACACCUUGUUCAUCAAGUACAUGAAGUAUGCUGGCGCAUUCGUCAAUCCAAAUGACAUCAUGGUAUACUCAUAUAGGCCGUAUCUGGAUGUAAACGCUGUCUUAGGAAUGUCCUCUGCUCGGAUCUUCAACUGGUGAUAACCUGAUCGCAGAUCAAUUUUGGAAAAUACUUUUGCUCCUCUCAUCUGAUCAAACAGAUCUUCAAUCCUAGGGAGUGGAUACUUAUUUUUAAUGGUCACAUCAUUAAGAGCUCUAUAAUCCACGCACAUUCUUCUGGUGCCAUCCUUUUUAUCAACAAAAAGUACGGGUGCUCCCCAAGGCGAAGAGCUAGGUCGGAUAUACCCUUUACUUUCUAAUUCUUCUAUUUGUUUCUUUAACUCAACCAAGUCUUUAACAUCCAUUCUAUAAGGUCUUUUAGAUAUGGGUGAUGUGCCGGGUAAAAGAUCAAUAGAGAACUCAAUAUCUCGGUCAGGUGGCAUACCUGGUACAUCUUCAGGAAAGAUGUCGGGGUAUUCACAUGCAACCUUGAUAUCUUCCAAGGACUUUCCUUUUAUCUGAUUCACUAAACACUUCUCUUCUGAUGGGGCGGUAGCUGUAAACUCAAUUCUAUCUCCUUGAGGGCUAGUUAACAGCACUGACCUCUUAGCACACAGAAUAAUUCCAUCACAUCCUUUUAACCAGUCCAUUCCAAGAAUUACAUCAACACCAUUGGACUUUAGAACCACUAGGUUAGCUAGGAAAUCUAUUCCCAUGAUUUUCAGAUUGACCCGUGGGCAUAUUUACCUAGUUUCCAUAUCACCUCCUGGUGAACUAACUAGCAAGGUUUUCUUCAUAGAAUGCUUAGGUAUAUUAUGCUUUACCACAAAUUGAUCAGUUAUAAAGGAAUGAGUUGCUCCAGAGUCAAAUAAAACUGAUGCAGGUUCAGAAUUGACGAGGAACAUACCGAAAACAACAUCUGGAGCUUCCUGGGCCGUCUCAGCUGUCACGUGGUUCACCCUACCACGCAUGAAAUUUUGUUGGCCCUUGUUGCCCUGAGAGUUUGGAUUUCCAUUGCGUGCUUGCGACUGCUGCUGUGACUUCUGACCAUUAGUCUUCUGAGGGAUCUGCGUGUUGUUCUUGGGACAGGCGUUGGCGUAAUGUCCCACCUCACCACACUUGAAGCACCCAUUGGGUCGAACUGGAGUUACUUGAUUAGUGCGCGCUGGUGUUCCUGUGGCAUUGUUGGCCCGGUUGUGCUGAGAAUUUGAGUUGCGCUGGGCUUGUUGAUUGAAACGUUGCGGCGGUUGAGCUGUGCGUUGAAACUGCUGAUUCUGUUGAUAACUCCCACCCUGUCCUCCUGAGCGGAACUGGGAUCCCUGCGGUGAGUUGAAUCGGGGACGGGUGUUGCUACUAGAUUGGCCUUGAGACUGAAAUUUCCUCUUUUGUUCCCCGAGCUCUUUACGUUUACUUUCCAAACCAAUGGCUUUGUCCAACAAAGUUUGGAAGUUAGGAAAUGUGUGACUCUGCAGCUGAUAAUUGAGUGGCCCUAUCAGACCAUCCAGGAAACGUUCUUGCCUCUUCUCGUCUGUGUCCACCUCAUUGGGCGCGUAACGAGACAGCUGUGUGAACUUGUCUUGAUACUCGCUAACUGUCAUAUUGCCUUGCUUUAAAGCUAGAAAUUCCUUCUGCUUGAGCUUCAUCACACCAGCUGGUAUAUGGUGUGUGCGAAAACUGUUUCUGAAUUCUUCCCAAGUAAUUGCAUUGGCAUUGGCGUGGGCAGUAGUGUAAGCAUCCCACCAGUCAGCUGCGGCUCCUUCCAAACGUCCCGCAGCGUACAAGACUUUCUCACGGUCAUUGCACUGAGUAAUAUCCAGCUUCUUGUUAAUGACCUUCAGCCAGUCAUCGGCGUCCAACGGAUCCACCGAGUGUGAGUAGGUAGGGGGGUGGUGGCUCAUGAAUUCCCUGUGCUUGUCCCUUGGUGCCUGAGGUGCUUGGGGUGGUUGCUGAUUCUGUUGAGCUUGUAGAUUCUGAACAGCUGUAGUGAGGUUCUGGAGCAGUUGCAUCUGGGCAGCCAAAAAUGGUUCCAUUGUUGAAGGCGGUAGGGAUGGUGCUUGAUUCUGUUGGUUAACCAUGUGAGCACGCCUCGUACUUGGAAUAUCUUGUCCUCCUCCUGACCUGGUGUUUACCAUCUGAGUGUUAGAGGAAUAAAUCUUGUAUAAGAAUGAUGUUUUGAUAAGGUAGAUAAAAGGAACAAUGAACCAAGAUUGAGACCCAAAGCUAUUAACUUUAUUUUAUUAAUUGAUGUAGUUGUGGCCAUCACUCCACAAAAACAUCCCAGACAUUACAAAGAUCCAAAACAAGCAUGUUUUCAACCAACAAACAUUAUUACAUCGUACGUCCUCGCAGGAACGGUUCUAUCGAAAGACACUGGUAGGCAUCCUAUAAGAAGGAAAAAAAACCUAGUCUAGAAGACCGGUGACAGAACCAGACGUGCCAUAGCGAAGCCUCUUGCGGGGUGGUGAAAGAGUGGGGUAGUAGGGCUCGGCUGCCUCCUCAGGUGGCUCCUGUCCUGCAAGCUGUGCCUCAAGCUGUGCGAUCCUGGCGUGAGCGUCUUGCAGCUCCUCAUGUGUCUUGGCAAGCUCUGCUGUAGCUCCGUCGAGGUCGGUGUUGAGAGCAGCGGUGACUCGAGCAAGGACGUUGAUGCGGUCUUCUCCAGCUUCUCCCAACGGUACAGCUGUGUCCUCAGUACCACUGACUCGGCGAGGAAGGUGUCGAUAGACGGUGGUGCUCAACUCCUCGCGGUGAGCGAAGUAGAGGGCUGACAGAGCUCUCCUGGCGGCGUCGUUAACGGCUGCGGCGUAGGUGCCAUGAGGCGUAGUGGAGUCGUGCGCCCUGUAAGUCCUCAAGCCUCUGGAAGUCGCCAAACGCUCCCUGAUGUGGACCUGAGUGGAGUAGUAGUCAUCCAUGGUGGCGUGGGUGAUACGGUGAGUGACGUACAGGGGCUUCACAGAGUUUCCCAGAGUCUCUAGUACUUCCCGGAGCAGUGUGGGAAAGUAUCCAGGCUCAUCAUCUGAAGUCUGGUAGUCACAAACUGGUGUCACAUCCUGCUGUCCACCAUCUUCAUCUCCACCAUUAUUGUCACCCUGGCUGUUGGCAUUGUCGUUGCCGCUGCUGUCAUCGUUGUAAUCUUCAUCAUCUUCAUCAUCAUUUUCUUCACCAUCGCUAUCAUCCCCUGAGUCGUCCGGGUCUCCACCAUCAGCAGCAGGUGCUGGAGCGAGAUCAGCUGGUGCUGAAGCGUCUGAUGCAGUAACAGCUGGUGCAGGAGCAUCUGAAGUAGGGGCAGCUGGUGAUGCUGUCGGGGUCACCAGAUUCCCAUCCGAGUCGACCUCCCUGACACUGCCAUCUUCCAUCUCGACGUAGAAGUAAACCUCCUCCGGAUCCUCUUCAACCUCCUCCACAGGCUGAACCGGAGUAGCUGGCUGAGCGGGGGCAAUGCGAGCCUGGUAUCCUGCAGUGCUUUUGCGAGCGGUCAACCUGGUCCUGACCAUCUGACAAAAGAAAGAACAGAUACUCAGAAUAAAACAAAAAUAAACAAAUUUUAACAAAGAAUGAAAAUAAAAUAGAUUUUUAUCAGAAAUUAAGACAUUUUGAGAGCAGACAUGGCUUGCUAGAAAAUGAGUCCUUAUUCACGUCCAUUUCUAUCUAGGCUUGCGUCCUACAGUCAACACAGCUCUGGUACCACUUCUGUCACACCCGGUUUCUGGAUAAAACCGAAUGCAUCGCAUAUGUGUGCCAGGAUCCGUUCUCACACAUAUGUUGACGUCAUCAGUGAAUACAUCAAAGACAGUGCCCAAAAACAUACAUAAACCAAUAAGAACUUUAUUACACUCAGCGUGAUAGACACGAAGGUCUUUAAUCGUUCACUGAUAACUUAACACGCACGCACAGACAGCGCAGCUUCUCCACAGGCUUGACUGGUGGACCGCCUGCCUAGAACUCCUCGAAGUCAUCGAAGAACUCCCCGUCAUCACAAGCUUCUGAACAGCGUUUGGGCAAGGGUGAGUACACUUAUGGUUGGUACUCAGCAGGUGGGGGAAACAUGCAAGGCUCACAAGGAAUGGCUCAAGGCUUUUAAGCGGUUAGCGUUUUAAUUGGUCAAAUUUUUAUUAGCAGCACCUAAUUACUAGAUGUAAGUUUAUACCAACCCAAUUAAGCAUAUAACAUUAACAUAACCCAAAGGUAAAGGUAACACAGAUUAAUCUCAUCUUUAAGUUCAAUUAUCAUGUGAGGGUCCAAGCCGCUCUUAACCGUGAGCACGGCUGAUAUAUCAGUUUUCACUCUGCAGAGGUCGUACACUUUACCCACAACUCGUGGUCCCCCGUGUCGCCCGGGUUUGCAAAGCCCUUAAACACUUCCUUUGGUGAGUGGCUGGGGGGUCCACUAUGAAGCCUUUACAAAGACACGCAGAUAACUGGUAGCCCGCUAGAGUUUCAGUAGCGAUGCGGACCACAACCCGUUAAUGAGACAGCACCUUAGCGAAGGCUACUGCUCCAGAUCGUGCACCCAACACCUUCCCCCUCCUUGCCCUUUCGGUAAAGCCACCAGCUAACUACAUGCCUAAUUAUUCGGCUAAGAUCAGAGCCAUGUGAUGUUGUGGUUGUACUGUUUUCUUGGGUGGUUCUCCAUGUUCCGAUUAAAACAAGUGUUCUUGCAAUUAAACAUGUAUAGCAACAUAAAUAAAGCAUGAUUAACAUGUUUCAUGAUUAACACAUUACCAACCCAAUUUAAGAGACUAGCAAGUCUACCCAACAUGAUUAAACAGGUUUUCAAGGAAUAAGGAUUAAAACUAGGUAAGUCCUUAAUAGGCAUUCCCGUCAAAUUUAUGCACAUACAAGAAAUAAGUAAAGUGCUUAAUCAUGAUAUUAUUGGGACAAAAAGAACAUGCAGGGGAAGAAGGCCACUUGCCUUCCUCGGCAAACUGGGAGAACUCUUCUUCGAACGGUGGCUGCUCUUGGACUUGCUCCUCCACGAACGUCACGUCGUCUACACGAUCACACAAGGCAAACAAACAAAGAAUAAUUAAAACAGUACAACAAACAUAUGCAAAGGCUUACAACAAACUCCUAAAUCUAACGUUCAUGCAGAGACGAUCGCGUGAGCGCGAGAAUCGCUGAAAUCGGAUUUAAAACGAAGAAGAUAUGAGAUAAACAAGUUUCAGGGGCUAAAACAGAAUUAACUAUAUACUUCAGGGGUUAGCAUGGAAUUUUAGAAAUAUAUACUGAACAGAACAUGCAAAAAUAGAGAAAGAUAGGGUUAGAUCUACAAAAUGACAUGGCUCGGGUUAAAAUAAAAGAAUGCAGGAACUUCAGGGACUUCUCUGGAAAAAUUACAAGACACAAGAAUUAAGAAAAAGGAAUAACAGAGAGGUCAGGGACUAGAUCGCAAAAACUCCAUCUUCUUCCUCCAACAGACAACCAAGCACACAGGGGCAUGGCCGACGGGGAGGGGGGUCUCGCCGGCGUGGGAGGGAGGCCUCGCCGGCGGCGAGCUCGCCGGCGCGCGGGCGGUGGCGCUUCGGUGGGGGAGAGGAGGGAGAGAGGGAAGGGAAGGGGAGGGCCUCACCGGAGAAGAACAAAAGGUUCACCGGUGACAGUACGGGUGACGGCGUGGCUUGGGCGGCGGUGUGGCGGUGCGAGAGAGUGGCGGGUGAGUAGCAAAACGGAAAGGGAAACUCCGGGCGAGGUCGAUGGCGACCUUUAUAGGCCCCGGGGAGGAGCGGAGGGGGCUCCCGGGAGAGAUCGAAGGUCGGCCGGCCAUUAAUGGCCUUCAAGCUUGUGCGGCCGUUUCCGGGGAGAGGAAAGGAUGGGGCGACGAUUUGAGGCCGGGAGUGGGGAAGAAAGGAGAGGGAGGUGGCAGCCCAAAGAGAAAAGAGAAGCUGGGCCGGCGCAAGAAAAAGAGGGGGAAAAGGAAAAUGGGCCGGCUGGUGGAAAGGGCCCAUUCGGUUGGGAGGGGGAGAGGGAAGGUGGCGGCCCAAGAGAAAAGAGAAGGGGAGAUGGGCCUGCGCAGGGGAAAAGAGAGGGGGAAGGAGAUGGGCCGGCGGAUAGGCCCAUCCGGCUUGAAGAAGGAAGGAAAGGAAGAGAGGAGGGAUUUCGGCCCAAGGAGAGGAAAGAGAGGUGGAGGGUUUUGAGAAUUUAAAUAGAGUUGAAGUUUUCAAAAUUCAAUUCAAAUUCUUUUGAAAAUCAAAAGCAAGCAUUCAAACAAAAGCCAAAAAAAAAGAGAAAAGAAAAACUCUACCAAGCACUUAUUGCUUCUAAAAUUAUUUCAAGUGCUCUUUAAUUAUUUAAAGACCGUAAUUUAAAUAAAGUAAUUUAUUUAAUCCUUAGAGCACGAAAAACUAGACCGAGUUGCUUACAUUAUUUUCAUGAUGGAAUUUUGGGUGUUACAUUAACCUUCAAGGACCAAUAAGAUGGGUUGGAUAUACUGGUUUUGUACACGUGGGAGCACAUUCAGUUUUCCAAUGCAUUGAUAGUUUGGGACGACUCCUUAAAAAUGGAGAAUUGAGGUGGAGACCUCAACCCAAACACAACCAUAAACAAAUUCACAGAACAAUCCCCUCGAAGAAACAGAAGAGGAACUAGCCUCGGCGCUCAAACAGCUAAAAGCAUUGAAGAAGGAGAGCAGAGGGAGGGAGAGGAUAAGGGACCGGAGGGCCGGUGCACUAAAUUUAAAAGCCGGAGGGAGGUGAGGCGCGGAUGAAGGCACCUUUUAGUACCGGGUGCGGGUUCCACUUGGUACUAAAGGGUCACCUUUAGUGCCAGGUGGAGCCUCCACCCGCUACUAGGGCCUUUAGAGGUGUUGGAGUGGACACUUGUUGUCAGUUUACACAAGAUCUCAUGGCCAAGCUGAACUUAGGAUAAAAAUUAAAUACAAAAAGAAAAAUAAUUACUCAUAGUUUCCUCAGCUUGAAUAUUUGCACUGAAAAAAAAAGCUUUCACGCUGUCAAGAGGGAGUGAAAAUGAUUAGUUCUGUCGGCUGUUGCGUAGUGCUUUAAUGUCAGCUGCUUAAAAAAACAUGUUGGAUGCUGAUCUUUAUUAUCACAUAUUAACAGGGCAAGUGGUAGUAUGUUAUAAAGAUUAGUCGUGACAUCAUUAGGAAUGAGAUGAGUCCGCAGUUGGCUGAAGUUGGAAGCAAGGAAUUUGUGUAUGUAUGUGUGUGUGUCUAUCUAUCUAUCUAUCUAUAUAUAUCCGCUAUUUCGUACCCAGGGUACGGAAUACCCUAUUCCGUACCCGAGCCAUCCUCAAGCGAUCGCGCACCAGGCCGACUUCCCUCCCCGCGCGCAAGACCGCAACCUCCGUCCUGGGUGUUUUUUUAGCACCGCGCCUUGGCCCGCCCACGUACCUGCGCGCCCCUCACACAUCGUGGUGGACCCAAACACAAGCAGCAACCGCGAAUUGUUGGUGGCAGCAGUCUGGGUGAUGGUGAGUGUGUGAAGGGGAGGGUAUAGAUGUCAAUGCGGCUGAGCUGGGCGAAUCCGUGAUGCGGUGGUUUUAUGGCGUGCGCAGAUGGCUGCCAAAUGUGCAGGUACAGGUAGGAACAGGCAUUUGCUUCACUGUGCUGCCUUCAAUUGCAUACAUCAUCAUUUCAUUGUGCUGUCUCAUUUCCAAUCAAUAGCAAAUCACCUGAGGCACGACUAGGUUCUUAUUUUAUUUAAUAGCUUCUACCUUGAGCUAUUAAAUCCGGAUAAAAACAGUGGAUUAUUGCAGUAUGGAACUUGUUUGUUUCAACUAGCGCAAACAACACCUAGCCAGGAACGUUUAACUGAAAGUUAUCUGGCUGUAAAUAAUGCCAUGUGCGAACACAAAAUCUUCAUCAUAUCCAUUAUAGCGUUGAUUUAGCUAGUUUCGUAAUCACAGAUAAGGGCAUGUGUGAAUGGAAAAGGCUAUUUCCCUUGCAAAGACAACAUAUUGAUCAUAUUAUUGCGAACUAGGAAACCAUUAUAAAACUAUAAUAGCAACUCUUGUAGCCUGAUGAAAAAUAAUGACAUGCGACUGUAAAGGAUUUAAUUUUAUACAGUCAAGCAUCGAGUUAUUUUCUUGGUAAAAAAUAAUGACAUUUGUCAUUGCAAAAACAUUGCAAACUCAAACUUCAUGUUGACCUUGUCAGAAUGAGUUGAAAUGAGUACAUACCACACUAUCCUGCAAAUUAGAAAAGAUCAUAACCUCUACACCUAGAAUGUCGAAUGUGUGCACUCAUAAUUACAACAAAAUCAGAAAUUCGAGUGCAGGAAUACACUCCUCACACGGCCUAUGCACGUAAAUGACUAGGUACUUCAGCACCGUAGUGACACUAUGGUGCAUCUCCAGCUGUCGCUGUACUGUAGUGUUGACAAUCUGAACGGGCUGCUGGACUAUUAUCAGCCCUAAGAACAAAACCAAACUGGUUGCUCCCUGCUGUCACUAAAUCUUGGACUGCUAACUGCUUGAGGAAAACACCAGCAAGUUUUCCCACUUCUUAGUUUAAUUCAUCAACCUCUAUCCAUUGUCAUAGUGACGUGUCACAAACACACCAUUGUACUGCAUAAAGAAUAACAGGCUGUAGUUAGAUGUUCUCACAAACAGAGCUUGAAAUCAAAAGGAUACAAACACUGACAUGGGUAAUGAAUAACACAAAUCCUAGGUGUAAGUACAAGACUCAAUUUUCUUCGCUACUAGGAUUAUCUAAAUUCAAUAUAACUUGAAUGAAGUCUGUGCUCAUGUUCUAAGAGCACACCUAGCAAGCUAUCAAAUUAGAGUGGCCAAAACAAGGUACUAAUUGGUAAAUAGCAGGGCAGCUGAUACAAGAGACAGGGUUUCUUUUAGUAUCUAUAUUAUACAAACUUAUUUACAGUCAAUUAGCCAGAACUGGGGUGAGAUGAGUAAAGAGAAAGGCGUAUGGUGUCCUCACCAUUAACUGGUCGAGCAUGUGGCCAGCGUUUCCAGCUACAGAAGCAGCAGCAACCCCAUAGUACAUUCCAGAAAUCAGCAAGACAUCAAAGAUAGUUCACUUCAUCUAGUCCCAAGCUAUGUAUCCUGUCAAUACAUGCAAACGAUUGACUCAGUUUUGCACAGUCGUAUUACUAAAAAGGAGCAUUGAUGAUAUUGUUGAAGAGAAUUAAGUUGGACUGUCAUUGGAUAGCAUCAUUGAGCUAGGCAUCGAACUGUUAAGUCCUUAUUGUGCCUGAUUUAAUUAAAUUCAUGAGGAUGGAAGCAGGGGAAAUGACACGUCGUACCUCUUAUCGCUAGGGGGCAUCAGUAAGGCAUUUAUUCUGGUAAUGGAAUAUAUCCAGUGUGAGCUGAUCAAUGGCGCACCAGCCGGUGAUACAUCCGAAUGUCAUUGACCUGAAAAGAAAAUGACGAGUGUCAAAGAUUGUAUAAUGAUGCUAACUGCUAAGACUGAAAAUGCAAGAGAUAGUUACUUCAAUCCAGAAAUUCCUUUAACAGUAUAUACAACUGAAAAUGCAAUUACUAAAAGGCAUUCUUUAAUUCAGGUACGCAUCUUCACUCUUCACAAAUAAAACUCAUCAAUCCGUUUAAAAAAUGAACAUGGUAAUACUUCAAAGAAAUAAGGUUUUCUGUGAUUCUCGACUGGUUUGAUAUAUACUCUAGCUGUAGUACAAAAAGGAAAAAUACAAAAGUUAAAGCAUUUAAAAGAGAAACCUCUAUGCAACAGCAUCCAAGAACCAAGAGUCACUUGACAGAUAAAAAAAUAUGCAAACUAGGCAAGGCAAGAAGAAAUCUGAUAGAACAGGUAAUUUCUACAUUUUUUAUGAAACAAUUUCUACAUUACUAGGAGACUUAAUCGGAGCGUUGCAAUUGGACUAACUAAUAUGUAUACGGGUCUACGAAAGCACAAGUGCACAUCUAGACUGUAUCACUUGCAACAUCACAGAACAUCUAGUUUUGGUCAAUUACUUGAGACACAGAAAAAUAGAGUUCCAAUCCAAAUACUUGGUCCAGCUCAAUUGACACUUGCAAGGUCUACAAAAACCCCAUAAUCUUGAUCACAAUACAAGCGUGGGCAACAACCCAUGGUGCAGAUUCUCAAGAGAGUAACACAAAUAGACAAUUUUGAGCAUGGUUCGCGCGCACAUAUAUAUGUAUAUAUAUGCAUUCCUCAGGUUGAGCAGUGACAUAGAGGAACAGGGGAAGGGGAAUCGAUCUCUCCACUGUCUCCAAUGAACAUAAGAACUUACCAAUUUAUUCAAUGUAGCAUCUAGUUUUCUAGUCACAAAUAAUGACGUUUGUGAAUGCAAAAAUCUUAUCUUGCAAACACCUAGAGUAUCAUAUAGAGUAAUUAUAUGUAUAUUUACAGCCUUUGCCAUAAUGCAGAUGAAGGGCAAGCUUGUUUGUUCUUACCUGUUUGCAAAGGUGUGAUCUGGGAGCUGCAGGCAGAUGAAUAAAGUUCAGAUAUAAACAUACUUUGUAGGAAAAGAUUCAGCAGGUUAAAGACAGCUGAUGAUGGCUCUGGGCCUCUGGCAAUGAGCUCCAUGAUCUUCAUGGGAGCUCAGGCUGUAAACUGACAUAAUCCAGCUCACUCAUCCGCUCUUUGUAUACAGGUGAGAGAUAAACUGAGAGGAGAGGAAGCAAGUCAUCCCAAAUCAUGUAUUCAAUGCAGAAAACAAAGCAGGAGUGAGUAGUGAACUAGCGCCACUGCAAGUAAUGAGAGCAAAAAUCAGGCACGUCGAAUAAAAAUUCAGUAUAAUGGUUAUACAAGAUGGAUCAAAAAACACAAGGUUCGGUUGUAUUCAUUAUAGAUAAUACUUAAAUGCAUUUCAACACAUUACACGGUUAAAUGUACACAGGGAAACAUAAGUGCACAUAUAGGUUGUAUCACUUGUAUCACCAAACAAAUUCUCCAUUGAAACGCACAUAUAUAUGAACAAAAUUGCAGGCUGAAGGGAUGAUGAGUGAGCUGCCUGCCAUGGAGGAGAUUAUCUGCAAGGGAUGAUCAAUACGAACAAAAUAACAUAAGGCUUCCACUGGUUUUUAUUGCUAGGAACUACAAUUUGCAUCAGGUUAUCUGCAAGGUUUGCAACAUAUAAUAAUUAUGCCAAAUCUCACGAGAAUAUUGGGGAACUAUGGUAUGCAUCGGGUUAUCUGCAAGGUUUGCAAGGAACAAUGGUUUGCUUUGGACAUGGCUCGACCAUCUGGGUCACGCCGUCGCUAGCAGCGAAUGGAAGAUGGGAGAGAACGGGGGACGGGCGGGGCGCUCACUGACGACGAACAACGGCGGAAUCGGCAGCAGCUGGCGGUCAAAUACCAAACUACGGCAGCUCCGUUCUUCACGCGAUGGGUCCUUCCAGUGGCUAAUUGAAUACGACAUCUUACGGACCAGUACAAACACAAUUCGUUGUAGGGGCUCACCGGCGGCAUCGGGUGGUCGAGGGGAUCGAACCUAGCGCCAGCGGGCCAUUGCGGCGUCCGGCAUGGUGUUGAUGCGGAGGAGGAGAGGGGCGGCGCGGGGUCGACGCGAGGGGUGGCGCGGCGUCCAUGCGGAGGAGGAGAGGGGCGGCACGGAGUCGACGCGAGGGGCAAGGGGCGCGAGACAUCGAUGCGGAGGAGAGAGGCGGCGCGGGUCGACGCGGAGGAGAGAGGCGGCGUGGGGUCGACGCAAGGGGCGCGAGGGGGCGGCGCGGGGUCGAUGCGGAGGGGGAGAGGGGCGGCACGGCAGCUGCGGGCGAGCGGCGGCAGCGGGUGCGGAUGGCGAGCGGCGGCGGUGGAUGGCGAUUGGAGUCGAGAACGAAACGGGGAAAGGAAAACUGAACGCGGUGGCCGACCCACGUUCUUGAGAAAAAGGUUGAAAAAAACCGGUGGAGGCGGGGUGGAAAAAACUGGUGGGAGGUCAGGAGCGAUGCUGGUCCGGCGGGUGGGCUCGGGUACGGAAAAAGCUAUUCCGUACCCAGGGUAUCAUUUAGUAUAAUCCUAUGCCUCCGCUAUUCGGUCCCAGGGUACAGAAUAAGCUAUUGUGUACCCGAGUCCCUCCACGCACUGGCCUCCCACGCGUCCCGCGCGCUCGACUGACCCUCCGUCCGCGUCUCUUUUUUUUUCUCCCGUGCGUUUCACGUUUGCAUCUGGAACCGCAGUUUCCAAUUCCGCCGCCGUAUGCCCCUUCGCCGGAUGCAGCGACGCCCAGGGGAGGACGCCGCCGCUGUCCCGCCGGAAGCAACGCCCAGAGGACGGCGAUGCCGCGACCCCGCCAACGUCUACUGCAUCUUCUCGGCCAACGUGAAAUGCCGUGCUGUCAUCGCGUUCUACGAAGAAGACGUUGACGCCCUGGGGUGGUUCCGCGCAGACGAGCAGGGACGGUCGCCGCUGUUACCGUCGUAAACGCGAGGACUGCUGCCUGUGCAGUCAUCAACGAGGAGAGGGGCUCCCUUAGAUUUCGGAGGUGGGCAGCGGACGGCAUCCUCGUCAACAAAGGGCUGCUGUGCAUUCAGUUUGGUCAGUCAAACAGCCACUUUCAUACAGCCACUUUCCAAACUUUGAGAUGUAAUUCAAAUAUUCAAACCGAAUUUGACUUGACAAAGAGCUACUUUCAAUUGUUGACUAUGUAUCAUAGAUCCCAUUUUGCAUGUUGAUGCCCAUCAUUUACAUAUAGAGUGCAUCAAAAUAUUGAGCCAACGUCAGACCAAUGUUCACUGUCUUGAGAGUCAGACUCCAGGGUUCAGACUACUGAAAGUGAAAGAGAUAGCCCAUGCAUCAGGUUGUAGUUGCAGUUUGAACGUACAAGUUCAGUAUGCAACAGUAUGCAGGUAGUAUUAUCCAAUGUUCACUGUCUUAAUGUACGGUCUUCGGAGUGGGAAUGGUCAUUGCCAUUCAGUUUAGACAAUGAACUCUAGACAGUGCAACUUCCAAGCUUUGAGCUCCAAACAAUUUUUUUUUUCCAGAUGGUUGUUGUGUCAUUGAAUAUUUGUACAAACUCUGAAUCAGGUUGUAGUUGCAGUUUGAACGUACAAGUUCAGUAUGCAACAGUAUGCAGGUAGUAUUAUCCAAUGUUCACUGUCUUAAUGUACGGUCUUCAGAGUGGGAAUGGUCAUUGCCAUUCAGUUUAGACAAUGAACUCUAGACAGUGCAACUUCCAAGCUUUGAGCUCCAAACAAAUUUUUUUCCAGAUGGUUGUUGUGUCAUUGAAUAUUUGUACAAACUCUGAAUCGGCAAAAUACAGUUCUCUAAUGGAUAUGCAUUGUGUUGUUACCUUUCAGACCACCUUGCUAGUGAUGGGUUGUCGGAGGAUAUUGUUUGAAGAAGCAGGGCCGUCCGCGCCGAGUAGGGACUCUGCGGAUAGCCCUUCACCGAAAAGGCUGGAGAUGAACGACAUGAGAGUCGCCGUCGACGUGAGAAAUACAGAAGUGCCGGAAAGGUCACCGCCACGAUCUGAACCGUCCCAGCUGGGAGAACGAGACACUAUUGACUCCUGCAUCAAAGUUCCGGAGAUGUUGGAGAGCUCCAACACUGGAUUUCGAACUCCGCCCACACAGAUAGGUUGCCAGCAAGGGAGUAAUGAGGAUCAAACCAUUACAACGGGAAGACAGGGUGUUGUGUUCUCGCCUCCGGAUACUUUGAACGCAAACCAGAUGAUUGCUAGUGAAGAAGAAAUUCCACCACAAACACACGUAAGUGAUGCAUGAUAAAUCUUUGUUUGAAUUGUACAAAGCAGUGAUAUACAUAGUUAAAAAGCACAAAUGCAUGAGAGUAGUCAGUGAAAAUAUAUAUUAUGUCAUAUCUUUAAGGCUGUGAUGAUAAUUGAAUUUUCUACGCAAAUAUUGAUUCAUAUGACGGUGCAUUAGUAUAUGAUGUUAAUUGAAAUUAAUGUUAUUUGAAGCAGAAUGAAAGCAUGGAUCCAAAUAUGGUACCCAGAGAAGGGAUGUCAUUCCACACGGAAGCUGAAGCAAAGGCGUUCUACAUGAGAUAUGCACAACUGGCCGGGUUCGGCGUGAAAAUGUGCAACAAGAAAAAAUUCUCUAGAGUGAUGAGGUGUAGCUGUGAAGGAAAAGGAGAUUUUUAUAAAGGUGAUGAGGCUCUGCGAGUACGGAACAAGACAACAAUGAAGACGAAGUGCAAAGCUCAUCUGAAGUUUACGAGAGUGUAUGACAGUGAAGGCAGCGAAGUAGAUAUGAUUAUAGAAAAGGCAAACCUAUUUCACAACCACCUGUUGCAUACGCCUUUGAAAACCAAGAAAAUGAGGUCACACAAGAGCACAGAACCAGUACUUUAUCAAAUAAUUGAUGAAUUGCAGGAAGCUGGCAUGAGUACGCAAAGUAUAAAGAAUGUAUUGCAAAAUAUGCAUGGGGGUGCAGAGCUUGUUCCGAUAACAUCGCGGGACAUAGAGAACAGGUAAAAGAACCUCACACAGUUUGUUAUUCCUGAAUAGUAAGGUUCAUGCCAAACUAAAGUAUAUGAUCAUUGGUGUCGUUAAUGAAAUGUACUUACAAUUUAGAAGGAUAAAAUGUUGAGUUUUUUUAACCUGUUUUACAGGAAGGCCACUAAUGUACGGGAAGAACACGCAGAUGACAUAAACAAGCUUAUUGAAUUCUUCAAGGAUUGUGGGGCUCAAAACCCGCAGUUCCGAUGGGAACUCAAGCUGGACUCUGAAGGUGUUAUACACAGCUUAUUCUGGAGUCAUGCAAGCAUGCAGGGCGAUUAUGCAGAUUUUGGUGAUGCAAUGAGCUUUGACACAACUCAUAAGACUAAUAUUUAUGAGAAACCACUAACAAUGUUUGUUGGAUCAAACCACCAUCUGUAGAAUACAUUGUUUGGAUGUGCAUUGGUAGGAGAUGAAACAGCUGAAACUUUUUAAUGGGUGUUCAAAGCAUUCAAAAAGUGCAUGGGACUAAGUAGAACAAGGUGUAUCCUCACAGGUAAUAUGUUCAUCAUUGAUGUUUAUGAUAAAAAUAUUUGAUACAUGAGCAUAUACAACAAUUUAGAGCAAUUAAAGAACUAACAAUGAUGAAUUUGCAUCUUGUGGUAGACCAAGACCAGGCAAUGGGAGUGGCGAUUGCCAAAGAGUUCCCAGGGGUUGUUCAUAAGAUUUGCAUAUGGCAUGUGGUGAACAAGCACAUGCCACAUCUAACCAACCUCUUUGGGAUGUAUGCGAAGAAAAAUUUCAAGGACAAAUUUUAUUCUGUGCUAAACCACCCACUCACCCCUGUGGAGUUUGAGGCCGCUUGGCAGGAACUAUUGGAUGAGUUCGACCUACAAAAGGAUAGCACUUUAGAUAGCCUUUACUGCCAGCGAGAACUGUAUGUGCCGGCAUAUUUCAAAGACCAAUAUUGUGGCCGGAUGGCAUCGACACAGAGAAGCGAGAGCUCAAAUUUUGUUAUGAAGAAGUGUUUUGUUGACAAGCACACGGCUUUGCACAGGUUCGCCAAAAAAAAUGCUUGACUUCAUGCAUUCACGUAAGAUGAAGGAGUCUGAAGAGUCGUACCAUGGAACGGUAACGUAACCAGCGUGUCAAUUCAUAUUUAUGGAGUGCGUGUAUAAACAUCAUUUCCCUUAACUAAUUGUUGCGCUUGUACUGUAACAGAGCAAAAGGCUCACAAGAAGCAAGUGGCCAUUUGAAAUACAGGUUUCAAGAAUUUAUACUAGAAAUGUGUUCAAAGACUUUGAAAAGAAGAUGAUCGAUUGCACGGCUUUCGAUAUAGAAGACAAUCCAAUAGAGGGUGAAACAUGCUAUCUGGUAACUCACACAAAUAGGUCUUCUAAAAUAUCUUGGGGCAGCACCAGUUCAAAGUGCGUGCAAACAAAGAAAAUGGCGAGUUUCAUUGCGAGUGCAAGGAGUGGCAGCAUACAGGUACAUGAUAAAACUGUUACAAUAUUUAUAGCGUACAUCCCAAUUUGUUAUUAACAGUACAUAUACUCUCUUGGUUGUUUAGGUUUGUUCUGCGUGCACUUGUUGAGAGCCUUCAUGAGGAUCCAGCUAAAUAGAAUACCACAACAUUACAUUCUCCGUAGAUACACAAAAUAUGCACAGCAGGAGUUGGGAUUCGACAGGAAUGACAAGCUCCUAGUUGGGGCUGAUGGAGUCACACAGUUGUACAGACUCAAAGAUCUAACGUCCCUAGCAAUGGCUGCAGUCAGGUCUGGGAGCAUGUCGCGCGCUGCGCACAUUAGAACGAGAGAGGUGUUGGCAAAGCUUGACAAAGAUAAUAAAGAAAUACCCCAUGACAUCGGGCCAAGCACAACAAACAUGCACCAAGAAUCACCUGGAGAGGUAAAAAUUCUAAAAUGUUGCAUGAAGUGUAUGUUGCAUGGCAAGGCACUUAACCACAUACAUCUGGGUUUGAUUUUGCAGGAGUUAUCAUAUUGUAGCGAAAGUGAUGAUGACUAUGGUGACAACACAAAUGAUGAACAAUUGGCGAAAAGGGUUACCCAGAUAGGCUUGUAUCAUGAUACAGGUGUAUGCGAGUUACCACACUAGGAAAAAAGAUUUGCACAAUAACAAUGACGCAAUGUGAAGCAGGAAUUGGGACAAGCGAACGUGGAUGAAAAUGAAGCCAGAGAGAGUAUAAAGGGGAAAAUGGUUCUUGCAGCAAAUCUGGUAUGAUUUGUAAUGGAAGUAGUAUAAAUACGGGAAAUACACAAGUUAACUUGCAUAUCAGCAAGAAAUAUUAAAAGAGAUGUGUUAAUUGUUUUUCAGGAUGCUUUUGGCGGAGACUUUAUGCGCAACGAGGUUGUGCUAACCAACCAAACAGACAUGACAACUAAAGAUGCAAGAGUGCAUGAAGGAUGUGCAACCCACAGUGGCGAGGUUAGAAGAAUGAGUUUGGAAAUAAUUAAUGCCAUCACCAUUGUUGCAUUGAAUUUAAAGUUUGUGCAAUAAUCUUUGCAGUAUCAUGCCAAUGAUGAUAGACUGAUCAGCCGAGUCCCACCUACGAGAGCCAAGACUAAAGGGCGGAGCAUACCACCAUCUGAAAAGAAGGAAAUUUCGUUGGGAGCCAAAGGUGUGAAAAAGGGCACAAGGAGAUGCAGUAUUUGUGGGUACUACGCAACACAUAACGCGAGAACAUGUCCCAAACUCCAGCAUAACAAAGAGCGCUUGGAAGUAUUGAAGAACAGAAUGAGAGGCAGGCCACGAGGAGCACAGCAUAAGAGUAGUGCCAGCCAGCAUGAUAGUGGAGGAGAAGAGCAUAACAUAGGGCGACAGCAGGACACAAAGAAGUGCCAAGAAAACAAAUAUAUUGAUUACGAGAGCAAUGACGAGCAGUUUUUGCGGGAUUCGUCCAGUGCUCAUUGUAUAUAAAAGGGCAUUGGAUGUCUCUGUAAUAGAUAGGGAACAUUGCCAGUAGUAGUUCCUCUGAGCACGCCUCCGUGUGCAACGAUGCCUAAGCGCAGAGACAUGUCUUUUGAAGAAUACUGGGAUCAUUAUCGGCAACGAGCGGUCUUGAAGGAUGUUCCAGACAUUUGUGAAAGUAGUGAAAAAACAAAAGAAGAACGCGGCAAAGGAAAGGUAAUCAAGAAGAAAGAGAAUAAGGUCAGGUGUAUUUACUCGGAAUAAUGUUUUUGUUCAGUAAUUUUACUUACUAGAUGUCACAUAUUUAAUUAUCAAAUGUAUCAUUGAAUAGGAAGUGGCAAAGCCCAUAGAAAAACAGACUUCGUUCCAAAAGGAACACGACAAAUUUAUGAGCGAUAUAAUAUUUGAGGAGAUGUGCCUUGUGGAAGGGGAGCUUCCGGACAAACUAGCGAGGAAUGGGACAACAGAAGGCGAGAUUAGCACGUGAGUUUUGAGUAUUUGAAAAGAAUACGAAGGACAAUAGAAAAAGAUUAUUAUAUUGAAGAAUUAUCAUAGUGUGGUAUAAUACAUUUGCAGAAUGGGGAGAACACGGAGGCGGAGGUUUCCAGCAAGAUUGGACGGUGAAAAACAACAUCAAGGAAGCCAAGUAGCGAUUAAAUAAUUUACUUAAUAAUCGAGUGCAUAAACUGAUUUUUGUAAUAAGAGUAAUAUUUUAAUAAGGCAUUACCCUUGUCAUUGUGUACAUUCUUGAGUACCGACCCCAGUAUGCGAAUUCUGAUCGUGGCGAUAGUCAAGGUGUGAGAAUAUGUAAGAAUUAGUGCAACGGAGAACAUCCCUAUGCAGUGUUAGGUCCAUGAUUUCAUUUGUGGUUGUUUGAGAAUGGAUCAUGUGAUGUUGCAGCGUGAGAAAUUCUGCCCCCUGCGAUUUUUCAACACACGCUAACAGGAGAAACUGAACAUUGGGUAACACUCAUAUGCAAUAUGAUAGCAGCUUCCUUUCAAUGAAUCAGUUUUGUUUCUCCGAAUAUCUGUGCUGCUUAAAGGCGUAGAGAUGUUUCUGUCCGUCCCUACCUCCCUCAAUGUGCUAAGAGACAAAGUCAGUAUUACCUAUAAUCGAGCUCUUGUUUUACUGUGGAAAUCUUUGGCGUAAUUUUCUAUAGAGUAACGGAGCAUCACACACACGGCAAGUAAAAGGCGUAUAUCCACAAAUAUGGCACUUCAGACAUACGACAAAAAGGAUGAAACCUUGUGCUACAUUACUGGUGUCCCAUUUCCAUUGCCGUAGCAACAUGAAACAAACGAUCAGUUUAUAAUAUACAAAAGACUAGCAAUAGCGAUAGGAAAGCUAGACGCAGCGGCCUCAUAAGAGAGGCAUACAUGCUUAAAACAGAACAAAGAGAUGCGUCGGGACUGUCGCAGCAGCAUUAAUACACAUCAAAAAUGAGGUAUUCACAUGUCAGUCACAAAACUAAGCAUUGUUCAUGUAUGAAUCAUGAGAAUGUACAAUAUGCACAGCUACAAAAGAAUAAAAAAUUAAAUAGUAAAGGGUUGUAAUGAACAAAAAAAACUAAUAGAAAAAAGGGUGAUGAUCAUCUCGACGGCACUGAAGGAUUUCGUCGGGCAGCGCGACAACCUUGUUCUGCUUAUGAAAAGUGAGGUAAUACAAGGUCUCAGCACGCAACUCUUUUGAUCGUUCCUGAAAUUAAAGACAUAUAGCCAUGAAAAGUAAGAAACUGCAUGCGAAAGGGUAGAGUCUUGGGAAAAGACUUACAGCAGCGAUGCUAGUGUGUAGUGAGCCAUGGCCAUCACCAUCAUAGAACUCGAGAAACUUCAUGGCAAAGAAUGCACUGUCCGACGAGGCCUUCUGGACGGGAACCUUGACCGGGACAUGUCUCCAGUUCUUGAAUGAUUUAAAUUUGAGAGGUGCAGCAAUGGAGAGAGCAUCACUUAGUCGGUGCAUGAUUUUUUUCCCAAAUUCCAAAUGAUACUUGUCCCAAUUGUUGUCAGACUCAGGGGUGUACAACAUUGAGUCAAGCACAUCAAUCCGUGAUUGGCCAAAGUUAACGCAAUAAACAGACCAAUGGUGCUGAUGUAGAACUGGUAGAAGAAUCUACAGUGUGUAAAAAGAAGAAUUGACUUAUUUUUGCGAAAAUAUAAUAACAAGGACUUAUCUACUUAACUAAAUUCACGAGUACAACAUAUGCUGAAGCUACUCAAACACAUAAUUAUGAAACCAGCAAACUCAUGGCCAGAUUGGAGGACCAGAAAAAAAUGGACAAAAGCUAACCAAAAAAAAAUAGUAGAUGUACCAUCUUUGUCUUCUUCAAGUCUGUGAAAGGAAGACAACAUUGGAUGGCUAUCACUGCUGCAAACUGGCUAUAUUUGGGUUCGGAGCUGUCCCUUUUGUGCCACUCAACAUUGAGAAUUGCCUUCAAGAAAAGAAAUGCCAUGGAAUAAAAAAAAGUAUGAAAGAAUGGAAAAAUUUUGAUAUAUCUAGUGUCAAAGAAUGGCAAAAUAAAAGCUUACUGAGAGGUCAGCAUCAAAAAAAAUUCUGUAGCCAUGGCACUCGGGUCUGAUCCAAUAAUCAUCAUAGCUAAGACAUUUGACAAAUCAUGUGAUAAAAGUUGAGUCUGGGAUUGCACCAUCGGCAAAUGAUUGUGCAAUCAUGUCAUAAGUUAAAGGGGUGCUACCAAACUGGAUCACCGGCAUGCUGUGGAUAUUACAAUCAGCAAAUGGAGAAAUAGAAAGUUUGGCUAUUAUAAGAUUUAGAAAUGGACAAAAGCUAACCUUUUCAAUGUGGAGUCAUCAGCGCACAUGUGUCCAAAGAGACUCAUUGCUGUGUCCACAUUGGGUGCAGGACGGGACAUAAUUCCAUACUUGAAGGGUGAAGAAUAUUUAGCAGGCUUUCGUGUCAUGCGUUUCCCUAUUCUCUGUUCUGACACAUGUAAAGUGCCUGACACCAUGUUAUUUUGAUCCUUUGGAAAGGUCAAAAUAACAUGUAGUUCGAAAAUAAUUAGCUGGAAGGAUUGCAACUCGAAUCGAAUGGAGUGGGUGGUAAUCGUGUCCAGUUAAACAUACAGUUUUGGCCUGGUCUUCAAAUUGGGUAGUGCGUGAUGCAGGGAGAGUAUGCAUAGGAUUUGAUUGCUCUUCACAAUAGAUGGCAUCAAUGAGAUUGUUGAUUCUAUUCAUAUCAUGGUUGCUGUCAGGCAAACUAGAAGAGGGGGUAUAUGAUCUGAAAAAUUAAUUUCAUGAAUACAGCGUUAAGCAAGAACAGAAAUGACUCCUAAACAAUUAAAGGCUAAGCAUAUGGGUAACAAUCCUGACAGCUGCAUAUUGUAAUGUAAGCCUGGAUACAACCUGGAAAAGAGAUAAAGAGAAAAUUCAGACUACAUAAAGCUAACCUGAGCAAGUAGUAGUACGUGCAUGGUCGUCCCUGCAAGCUUCUUGAUGAGGUUUAGUGCAAGGUGUAGUGCCACCAGUUUUAGAUGUGGCGGGAUCUGUGACCAAGAUUUCCAAAAUAACUGCUGUUAAGCUUUUAUGGUAAAGGGUCAUUACCGAGCAUUUUGCUUGUUGUAGUAUGCGAUAGGCAGUACCUGUGGUGUAUGAGUUUUGGCCGUUGCCAUCCCUUAAUACGUCAUCUCUGUAGCAAGAACUUGGGGUCCUGAAAACACCGCCGUUUCCAUGCUCGAAUAGUUGAUCUACAGAAAGUAAUGUACAGAAAAAUAAGUUGAAACUUUCAGGAGCAAUUUGAUUAGGAAUUGAAAAAAAGUACAUAAUCAGAAUGGAUUGUGGGGAUCGAUGUGUGCCACCGUUGUGAGGAUCGACAAAGUCCUCUUCGAUGCCUGAGUUGUUCCUCCGUGAAGUCUCCCCAAUAUUGUUAGGAUCAGAAGCCGACCUCUGGGCAGCAAUAAGCUCCUCUAUUACCGGUCCGCACUUUUCAGCUAGACGAUAAGGAGCUCUAGCAAUGUUGCAUAGAGAAGCUUGGAUGGCACAAGUGUUCUCAGAUAAGGUUUGAUCAAACUGGUCGAACAAUUCAUUAAAUGCUUGCAAGGGGUGACCAGUGAGACAACCCAAUGGACGGGACAAGAGAUCAUGCAAACGUGGAAUACGAAUCUUAGGGACAUUAGUCAUGUCAUCCAAACCAACAUUGAAGUUCCUAGGUCUUGGUGGAGCCUGGCAUGUAUAAUGAUGUGUAAAAUUGAGUAUAUACAAGGAAAAAGAAAAUGACACUAAAAGUCAACCAUGUAAAAUAUAAGGAAACUACAUGGAACAUAUGUCAGGUUUUAGAAGUGAGUAAUGUACACGAAGCAACUAGAAGAAUAAUACAACACCGGGAAUUACUGCAUAUAUAUGUGCAUAGAUAUUGUGUGUGUAUUUGUAACAUGACAAUUCAAUUUAAUAUUUGGCACAUACCUCUGUGCCAUCCUGGGCAAGGAAAUAAUCGGUUAAUCGCCUAGAAUUAUCAGCUGCACUAUUCUUUUCCUUUGAAGAGCGGUGAGAGAACCGAAACUUCUUCCUACGGCGAUCUACAACCCCGGUGCGAUCAUCAGAAGCAUUCCUCAUACGGUGAACAGAUUUAUUGCACCCCGGAUCAUGGUCAUCCGCAAUAAAAUCAGCGCCAGGAUCAUCAGGAACAUAACUUUGUUGAGGAACAUUUCGGUUGGGUAGCUGUUGAAAAGACGAUCCAGGGCCACCACCCACUGGAUAAGAUGAUCGCAACUCGGGUCGAAGAAGAACCUCGAACCUGAAGUGAGAAAAAUGAAAGUAUAAAGUAUAGACCAUGAAUCAAUGAAAAUACAGUGGACUACAGGAGAGGCGGUGAAAUUAUAAACACGCGCAUACCUCUCCUGUGUGCUCUCGAAUACAGCUAGCUUCGGGUUGAUAGGCAUCCUAUUCACCAACCGCUGACAAGUAUCUGUCCUGGGAGACAAAUCAAAUUGAACAUACUCUGUGUCAGUAAUAAUGAAUACAAUGAGUGGUUAGGAUCCAAAUAUGUUGUAGUUGUUUACAUGGAAUAUUUACAAACUGAAAAGAAUAAAAUGAUGUAAACGUUAUGACAGGCUUGGGAAAGCGGUAGAGAUGAGAACACAGACAAAAAUGAGUCACAUAAGACCUUCUAGUUGAGUAGAUCCGUGGAGAACCUUGUUGAACACCUUCUGACUGUAAGGGAACCGUAUCUACACAUGGAAGAAAAUAAUUAGAGAGAACUACAAAAACUACUCUUUCUUUACUCGUUUUCUAAAGAUUUAGCAGAUACCUGAAGACUCCAUGGGUAGGUAUGAAAAUGAAGGAAACCACAGCUCGGAGGGAUGAUGGCUGAGCUGCCUGGCAUGGGGGAGGAAAAGAGAUGUUAAUAAAGUAUAAAAAGAGUUGUUUUCGAGUGCAUCAUUAAUAUCAUAUGAAUCCUGUUACCGUGGUGGUUCUAAAAUACCUUUCUGUUUUAUUCUUCAAAAAGGAUUGACUCCAAAAUAAGAACAAUUGAGCUUGAUGGUAGGCGCAUAAAGUUGCAGAUCUGGGAUACUGCUGGGCAAGAACAUUUUCGAACUAUUACAACUGGUAUGCAAUAUGCUUCGUUUGCUGUGAGGAGCAGUUUCUUUAACUAUUUAUGUUAAACUGCUCUGAAUCUACAAACUUUUGACUAUGCAGCCUACUACAGGGGUGGAAUGGGCAAUUUGCUUGUGUAUGAUGUUACUGACGAGUCAUCAUUCAAUAGUGUGUAUUCUUCAACUUCAAUCAACAGACUUUGGCUUCCUAAACUGACCUUGCUGUGGUCAUUGGCAGAUAUAAGAAACUGGAUUAGGAACAUUGAGCAAGAUGCUUCUGACAAUGUGAACAAAAUUUUGAUAGGCAACAUAGCAGACAUGGAUGAAAGCAAACGGGUAUGUUCUGUUCUUCUUUAUUGUCUCUUGUCCAUGAUAUGCUGACAUCCUAUUUGCGAUUGUGCAUUUUAAUGUUCAGUUUAAAAUGAAAACGUAAAAUCUUACUGGUGCUUGGAAGUAUUGAUGAACUGGCUUCUUCAACUGACCUUGCUGUGGUCAUUGGCAGAUAUAAGAAACUGGAUUAGGAACAUUGAGCAACAUGCUUCUGACAAUGUGCUUGCAUUAGUUCUGGCAUAGAACUUCAUGAUGUGUUACCUACGGAACAAAGUUACCUACGGAAGAUGCGUGAAAUCAAAAGCUUAAAUCAGAUUGUUGAAUCUAAUGUCCGGCUCGGCCAUGGCUCGGCCAGCAGGAACUCGACAGCACUGCAUGAUGAAAGGAACGCACAAGAGCAACUAAUUAAAGAGAAGAACAAGGACGCGACGGAGUACUAACCGACGAGGACCAGCGGAAUCAGCUGCGAAAUGCCAAAUUGAAGAUGACGGCCUGCGAGCGAGGUGCUAACAACUGAAUGCGGUGGAGGCCCUACCCGCCAGCAGCUGGGGAGCGGCGGAUGCGGGGGAUGCCGAGCGGCGGCGGCGGCGAGGGAUGGAGACAGGCGGUGACGCGAAGAUCAGAGGGCGCGACGACGGCGGAGCGCGGCGAGCUUAGGGUCUGGGAGCGGCGGCGGAUGGGGAUGGCAAACGGCGGCGGGGUGGGAUGGCGAGCGGCGGAAUGAGAUAAGUUCAAGUAGGAACGACCAACAGAAUGCAUACACUACCUGGUCAAUGUCCAUAUCGGCUGGAAACUCAAAGUUGCUCUCUGUACGUAUCCUCAUAUGCAAACCAGAUGGUGUCGUCUGAUGGGAAUCAAUUGUAAAAAUCCUUAAAAUUCCCAGCUGCGGUUGAUACUGUCAGAGGAUCACCUGGGAGGGUUGAUGCUGCUUCACCGUGAGAUGUGCAUCGACGGCGAGUUACCCGUGCACCCUCAGCAUAGUCAGAAGGGAAAGUACUCUUGGUCAGAUCCUGACGAAUAUCAAAAUAAUCAUAGAGACUAAACAUAAAAAUGAUUAUGGACCAAUUACAUAUAUAUACUCACAACACUAUCCGUCGUUGCGUGAAUGAUGCACAAAUUACUAGUAUAGAAUUGGCAUUCGAUGCGCCCCCUUUUGUCUCGGUUUAAAGUUGGCCCGGGACAAAAGGGGUGCGCCACGGUAGGCAAAAAUGGAGGGGAGAGUUAGUCCCGGUUGGUAAUUGCAACCGGGACUAAAGGCCCUCCUUUAGUCCCGGUUGCAACGGCUAGUUCCGGCGCGUCGGUGGCGGCACCCUUUUGUCCCGGUUGGAGGUUCCAACCGAGACAAAAUGUUUAGUCCCAGUUGGAACUUUCAACCGGGACUAAACUUUCAACCGGGACAAAAGGUGUUUCAUUUUGUCUCGGUUGGAGUUUUUAACCGGGAUAAAAACUCAUUCCCAUUAUAUACCAAGAUAGAUGUCACACCCUGAAAUUUCCGAGUUUCAGGAUGUGAAUAAAAAGAAUAAAUAAACAAUAAUUUUCUCAUAAUUUUAAAAUUUUCCCAACGUUUAUUUUUCUUUACAGGAAAUUUAGUAUAGGAAAAAAAAGUUGCUUGCUUUUAUAAAUUAAAUAAUGUUGUUCUAUGUUUGUGCAUUCAUGUCGCUGCAUCUUGGUGUUUCUUGAGUGCAAAAGUUUGAAAAAUGCGUUUAGACGUUGCCCAGACCCUUGUGAGAAUUUUCCAUCUUUUUCCGGAAAUUAUUCUCCUUUUCCUAGAGCUAAAUCUAAUUUUUAGAAGGCUCUAGAAUCCUUUUCAUGAGCUCCAAGUACUUUAUUUGGAUUCCUUGCAUCCCUGAGAUUUAUCUCAGAUUUUUCGGAAUUUUCUAGGUAUUUUUCUCGCUUUAGAAAACGAGUCCGGCUAUUUCUGGAAUUGUUUUCGCGCAGAUAAAUAAAUUCAGAAAUUCUGAAAACAAAAAGUCAACUCGAAAAUAUCUUUUUCCGAGUGUGGCGUAUAUAUAUAUCACCGCGUUCGUCUCGACGCGAGGAUUUCAGAUCUGAAAACCUUUUUACGAAUUGCAUCUCCUAACUCCGUAGAUCUGAAGUCAAAGUUCGGUCUUCGUCAAACUCCGGUGAGCUUUUCCGGCGAAACCGUGGACUUCCGGCGAAAACCGACACCACCAUGGAGUUCCUCUCUUCGAGCUCUAUGCCGUGGUGUGGUGGGUUGCAUGAAUCCGAUGUCGGCUCCGUCGUCUUCCCCAACUCCGGCGAGCUUUUCCGCCGCCAUUGUUCGUCUCUGGCCGAAGGUGAGCACACCAUCUUGUUCGUCUCGUCGAUAUCGUUCCAUUUUGCCGUUCAUGCGCGAGAUCGGACUUCGUUUCCAGCUUUCCCAUCUUUCUCUCUCUUGUUUCUGUUUCUGUAAGCAACCGAGCCGUCCGUAACCAUGGCUGCCGCCUGGUUCGCCCCUGCUCGCCCGCCGUGCGCCGCCUGCAGCUGCCCGCCGCCGCCGCCGCGUCUUGCGCGCCUAGCGCCGCCGCGCCCCUGGCCUGGCCCGGCCCCGGCCGCCGUCGCCGGCCAGCGCCGCCGGAAGGCCCGGGAGGGCCGGUCGGGCAGUUCAAUCGGGAGGAAGAAGAUAAAGGUCACUUUUACGUUUUAACCCUCGAAGAAAAGAGUAAUCCAGCUGGAAUAGUUUGAGUCUUGCAUGUUUUGUAGAAAGGACCUUGAGAGUUUUAGAUUCCUUGAAUCCAGUUCGUCCCCUGCGGUUUUGCAAAUCUAACCCUGUCCUUUAACCUUUUCGCGAGCACUAUUCCUUGUGUCUUGCCAAUCUUCUCAGCUAACCCUCCAAGUCUACGGUUAAUUACGUUUAGACCCCUGCAACGUCGUUUAACCCAUAGAUUCUAUGUUUUAGCUCCGUUUUAAUCCGUUCAAGUUGCGUUAGAUGCAUAACAAUGUAAAUUACACGUUAGUGGUAAUGUUUUCCUUCACACAUGUUUUUGAAAAUAUAAUUUAUAUUAAAAUUGACUAAUGCUUGACAAACGAGUACUUCUCUAAAUAAAAUCUAUUUAGUGUUAAACAUCGUCUUUCAUAAUGAUUGUUAAUUUGAUUAAUGCCUACUUCAUACCCCUUCUAAAUAAAAGCUAAUUAAGUUAUAUAUUGGUUUUUCGUAAACUAAAGUGAAUUUGGUUAAUACCUAUCUAAAUAAUUCCUCCAAUUAAAAGCCACUCAGAGUUGUACCUCGACGUUUCAUAAAUUAAAUUCAAUUUGAUUAAUAUUUAUUCAAUUUGUUUUCUAAAUAAAAUCUGUAUAGGUUAUAUCUCGAGUUUUCAUAAUUAAACAUUAAUUUGGUUAAUAUAAAUAUAAAUGUGUUUUUAAUUUAAUCUACUUAGUUGAACUCGAGAUGUAAAGCUAUACGCUUAGAUGUCUACAUGUAUCUUAUUUUUUUUAAAAUUAAAUGUUUAAUUUGCAUAAAUUGUACUCAAAUAUUUAUAAAUAAAAUUGGACUUAGCUUUACACCGUCUUUUCUUAUGAAAAUAUAAAUUUGACUUGAUUAAUUCUAACUAAGGAUAUUCCUCUGAAAUAUCUUAACAUUGCUUUUCUCAACUAAAAUAAAUGAAGCUUGUAGCUCUUAUCUUUCUUUUAUAACUCAAAACUCUCGAUAGCUUUAUCUCUUCAACCAUAGUUCCGUUUUAAGCGUUCCUUACGUUCGCAUGACCUUAUAUCGAGCCUUGUCGUUUAGUACGCUCUUUUAAAGCUUUCCUUUUGUUUUGGUGUAUUGUUCUUAGUUGUACUUGUUUGUUGCUUGCAUGUUUGUGCUGAUGUUUACUCUGAGUAGAAGGAUCCCUGUUCGGAAGUUUUGAAGAGUAAGAGCUUCAGGAGAGCAAGAGCUGAAAAGCAGUAAGAGUAACUUUCCGUUGGAGAAAGGCAAGUGUCCCUAACCAUCCCUCUACCUAUGCUUUGUUAAUAGUAUUAUGAUAAUGUUUAAUCGGAACAUGGAGCGACCAUCCAGGAAAACAGUGCUACCACAAGACUAAAUGGCUCUGGUCUUGGUUGAAUAAUUAGAAACCUUAGUCUGGGGUGACCUUACUCGUGAUGAGGCAAGAGGGGGGACUGAGUCGUUGCAUUUUUGCCUGGGAUGGGUGGUGCACGCUAGACACCGAAACCUUAGCGGGUUACCACUGACUAAUGAAUCUUUGUAAAGGUCUCGUAGCGUCCCUAUGCAAUCACACCUCGGAAGUGUGGUAUGAUGCCUAGCUAGCAUCGCAUGGUUGGGUCCAAAGUUCUUUGAACUUUUACGCGACUUGUGGGUAAAGAUGUGCCACCUCUGCAGAGUGUAAAACUGAUCGAUCAGCCGUGCUCACGGUCAAGAGCGGCCUGGACCCUCACAUGAUUAAUUAAACUUGAAGAUGGACUCAAAUCGUUAUUCUGGUUAUUUCUUGUGGCCUUGCUGAGUACCAACCAUAAGUGUACUCACCCUUGCUUACUGCUGCUCAGAAGAAGGUGUGUGAAGUAUUCCGAAGAUGAUGCUGAGUUCUAGGCGUACGCAACCCCCAGUCAAUUGCCUGUGAAGUUUGGAGCCUCCGUCUCCAGUAUUUAAGCUGUGUAUCUCUGAUGGUUUCGUAAGUCUUUAUUUAUAUCUUUUUACGUGAUACUGUUGCUGUUAUUCACUUAUGAUGUCACUAUAUGUAUGAAACUUGAUCCUGGCAUACAUAUAGGUAGCACUUGGUUUUGUCCUUAAAACCGGGUGUGACAAUAGAGGCCUUUCUUCCUCCUCUAGCCCGAGCCAGUCCAACACAUAGACAGAGAGCUGAGCUUCACCUACUCUCCGGUGGUGCCGAAGCAAGGGAGGUGCUGCCCGAAGUUUUUUUCCUCAUUUUCGUGGGAAUUUCACUCAGCCAACACAAGUGUUGUGAAGGUUUGCUACUUCAUCCUCGUGUUAUGCUUUGAUUUAUGCUUUGGAGAUGGAAAGAUUAAUUGCUAGAAUGUGAUGAAGUAGAAAAUGGAGAGGUAUUUUGAGCUAUAAUGUGAGGGAGAUUGAUGUGUCAUAUAUAGUAUGUAUUCUUGCAGUGGUUUAAGAAUGAUGCUACCUUGUCUAGAUGGUUUAUCUUAUCAAAUUCAAUAAGGUUUUUCAAAUCCAUACUUGUUGAACUUGCAUACCGUGUUCAUCUCUGCGAGGAUGUUCUCCACCGAGCAGCAACGUAUGUCAAGAAGGAGGUUCGAUUCUACGAGAAAGAGUGGAUACGGACAUCGUGACUGUGUCCCCUUUUCCAUAGCAUCGAACCUCUUUCAUGACGAAGUGCGGUGCCGCACAGUUGAGAACAUGCUCGCGAGAUGAUCACGGUUUUCAAGUUCAACAACUUCUGCAGUGCUAAGGAAAGAAUUUUUGUACAUAGAUGGCUUCUGCUACUUGUUGAACUUAUCAAAUUCAAUAUGGUUUUUCAAAUCCAUACUUGUUGAACUUGCAUACCGUGGUCAUCUCUGAGAGGAUGUUCUCCACUGAGCAGCAACGUAUGUCAAGAAGGAGGUUCGAUUCUACAAGAAAGAGUGGAUAUGGACAUCGUGACCGUGUCCCCUUUUCCGUAGAAUCAAACCUCUUUCAUGAAGAAGUGCGGUGCCGCCCAGUUGAGCACAUGCUCACAAGAUGAUCACGGUCUUCAAGUUCAACAAAUGAGACACUAAGCAUGGUCAUUUUCAUCAAAUGAGUUGCUUUUGGAGCUGGGGAGAACGUAUUUUUAAUAUCAUGUAACUUGCUGAACUCGACCGGGCAUGUACCUCUGAAAACACCAUCUUGGAAGUAUGCUAAAACUGCAUGGAAAGAUGAGUGUUCGGUCUGCUUGCCAGGCAGGCUCAUACCUCAGAAAAUUCUGGUCGAAUAAAAUAUACAUUGAGGUUUAGAAACCUGAGGUUUCCUUGAAACCAUGUUGCUAGUAAACUACCAAAAGUAGGCCAAGCAAGAGAACAAAGAUGUCAAUUUCUCAGCGUUGGAGGGGAGUCCUUAUUUAAUAUAUUAAGGAAUAUCUGCCUUGUUUAUUCACUACUGUACAACAUUAUAAGCAAGUGGUUGCAGCUUGGAACAUAUAUAGGUGGGGCCAUGUCGUAUGUCCUUCAUUCAAUCAGGGCCGCCACAUCAACGUCUUUACCUUGGGCACAAGUGGCAAAUGGAACAACAACUUGCACGCAUAUGAUGAAGAGUCCUACCCGCGUACUGCUUUAAUUUUUUAUUUUUGUUGAUGACAGGCUGGCUGAUGUUAUGGGUGCGUCUCAGUUCUGUAAAUAAAGGAGGAAACGUGGUUGCCUAUUUUGGCUCACCACGGAUGCAUAUUUAUAUAGGACCAACCGCUCAAGAUAUAUACAAGAUCUCGUCAUCGUACGUGACUCGGAUACCGUUUACAAAAGACUUAUCUCUAAUCUACCUCUAAGUAUCCGAAUCAACUAAGGAUGACAAAGUAGUUGGAACUGUUUACACAAGAUAUUCUAUUCUAACAUCCUCCCUCAAUCUAAACUUCUCUUCUUGAGAUUUAGAUGGUGCUUGAAGUCUUCUAACUUGCCGGCUAUCAAAGCUUUAGUAAAACCAUCCGCAACUUGAUCAUGAGUGGAUACUAAUCUGACUUGUAAUUGCUUCUUGGCAACCCUCUCUUGUACAAAGUGAAAAUCAAUCUCUAUAUAUUUUGCACGAGCAUGAAAAACUGGAUUUGCUGAAAGAUAUGUGGCCCCCAAAUUAUCACACCAUAAGAUAGGUGGUUAUGUCAACUUUACUCCAAGUUCAAGCAACAAAGAUUCUAACCAAAUCAAUUCUACAGUAACAUUUGCCAUAGAAUUAUAUUCUGCUUCAGUACUAGAUCUUGAAACUGUACCUUGCUUUCUAGCACUCCAAGAUACAAGAUUAGGAUCAAAGAAUAUUGCAAACCCCCCUGUAGAUUUUUCAUCAUCAACACUACUAGCCCAAUCAGUAUGAGAAAAUGCACUCAAUGUCAUUGAACUAGACCUUCUCAUAUGCAAUCCAACAUUCAAGGUACUAGAGAAUCAACCCAUCAUCAUCUUCAUGUCUUGUCUAACAUGUACUGACGUGACAGGAAUUUGCCAUGCGACGACCGCCAAUAUUCUAGUCUCCGCACAAGCUAGCAACGUCCAAGGAGACUGCCCACAGUCUCCCUUCAGUGAAUUGUAUAUGUGUGUAAAUAUAAAAGGCAGCAACAUUCAUGAAAUGUCGACCACUAACUAGCGAGAUCGUGGAUUCACAUUUAGCGAAAUGUCUCUAAAUGGUUCUUACAUUAUAAUAAUAUAAAAGAUCUCUAUUGACUUCACGAGUCAAGAUAACAGUGACACUGUUCUUUUUGCCACCACAGAAAUAUACUCACAUAGCGUGUGACAAAUAAAUAAAGGAAACACAUAUUUAUUUAAAUUCUUAGUUUGUAUUUGGUUUGCGAACGAGAUGGUUCUCUUCGUCCUAGUGUUCUGUUGACUUCACGAGUCAAGAUAACAGUAACACUGUUUUUUUCGACACCAUAAAAAAUACUUGUCAGAUACCGUGUGACAAACAGAUAGAGAAAAUACAUAUUUAAUUAAACUCUUAGUUUUUUUUUUUUGCGAACAAGAUGGUUGUGUCUGUUCUAGUUUUUUUAGGAUGGGAUGAUUCCUUCUUUUGCUUGGUUAAGGGAAUAGUGUCACCUCUAUUUUAUAUAUUUCAUAGGAGGGAUAAGGAGAAAGAGGAUGGAUAGCUGUUUUCAAUACGUGAACCACCAUUAGCAUGGGCCUUAGUUGUUAGCUCCAACAGCGGAGGUUAGCGAUGAGGAGGGAGACCGGGCAUGCGGAAUCAGUAGUGGAGCUGCUGUGUGGCCUUGGCCAUGGCAAGAGAAGAUGGGAGGCAGUGCCACCAUGGCUGCCCGUCUGUGCUUCAUUCACCCGCCAUUUACCAUCAACCCGAGCUGCUCGCCGUCGGUCAGAGCUACUGCAAUGUCAAUUCAAUCCACCAUUCUCUUCCAUGCUACACUCGCCACCUCACCGUUGAUCUGACUGGUACCUCAGCCAUGGACAGCCACCAUUGACGCCAGGACAUGAAGAUGGGACACAUUUAACGAUGCCAAAGUAGGAUGAGUUGGUCAAAAAAUUUUAAGAACCGGAUUCAUUCCUUGGGUGUGGGGUGACGUGCAAUCCUAGCAAUCCCUGAUCCAAACAAUAUCAGAAACUUUGAUAUCCCGUUUUGUCUUGGUUCCCACAAACUAAAUCUGACUCCCUUCGAUUCAAAUUGUAAGUUGUUUUAGCUUUGUAUAUAGGUUUUAUGAUGCACCUAAAUAUACGUUAUGUCAAUAGUAAACCUAUAUAUUUUAAAAAGUCAAAACAACUUACAAUUUGUAAGGGGGUAUAUUAGUAGGCAAAGAAGCCUAACUCUCUUAAUUUCUCUAAGCUUUUGAAGUAGAGCAGAACUUCAAGUUGGUUGUAGGACAUUUGGGUGUAUAUAUGUAAAUUUCCUUGCUUUGACAUUUCUUCAUCUAAGAAAAUACAAAAGAGUAGCAAUCCUCAAAAUCUCGACCGCUGCCCAGUUCAUUCAUGUAUUCACACUUGUUUGAUACUGAAAAGUUUUGUGUUACUUACAUGACACCGAGUCCUAUCUUUUAUUCCUUAUUUGACAUUUUCAACUCUUGUGUCACUUCAGUCGAACGAAACAACCAUCAAAUCAUCUCCAAAAUUCAUGAAACUUUUUUUGGUAAUAGAACAAAUGAAGAUGAAUCCAUUUUGCUUAAAUUCGCUAUGUAAGUUUUGCUAGGAAAUAGUUAAUAAGUUCUAGCAUAUGAUGUGAGAAAUAUUAUUUAUUUUCUCAUAAUUUUUAAAAGUGUGUUGAUGCCAUAAAAAUUAUGAUAAUUUUAGAAGCAGCUUAAUUUGGUGAAUUUUCGUUUUAAAACCGUAAAGGUUUAUGUGUCCUUUAUAUCAAAAUGGGUUAAUAUUCGUUUGUUGUAUCCCUACAAAAAGUUUCAUGAUUUUUGGAGGUGAUUUGGAGAUUGUUUCACCUAACUAACUAACUAACAUAAGUGAUGGAAAUAUCAAAUAAGGAAUGAAAGUUCGAAGUUGGUGACAUAUUUGGAAGCAAAAACUUUCCAGGGUCAAAAAAGGAAUUAACUUAUCUUCGAGUGUCAAAUAAGAAACUUCCUCUAAGAAGAAUCGAAGAAUAUUCUUCAAAUACCAAGAUGGUAAUGACCAUGUUUGUAAUUGGCCCAGUACACACCUGUUAAAGUUUAGCCGCGUUCGUUGUUGGUGUGUCGUGGCAGCCCCGUGAUUUUGAGAUGGAAGGACAAAGAACAACACAACUUUAUUCCGCAUGCAUUGGGUGACGUAAGCAUGCAAUCCCUGGAUGACUUCACCAUGUCAGCAUAUAUCAAGUACAGUUGUGUUUUCUUCCCCAGGCUACCACAAAAAACUGUAGUCCAAAAACUACGUCUCAGUCAUCCUCAUCCUAUGCCAAAUUUUUGUCUAUUUUUCCCUUGCUAAAUUGAAUAAAUGUGUUCUUUUUUUCCAUGAGUGAACUUGCCCAUCUGGCCACCUUUCUAGAAUGUUCAAGUCUAAAAUGAGUUAUAUUUGGACAGGGGUAGUACGUAUUCAAAAUCGUGUUCCUCAAUGAACUUUGAUCAAGUGCUUCUGAUUACAAACCAAGAUUAAAGGCUCCAAGGGCUUAAGUCCUUUUUCACCCACCCGUGGGGACCCUUUAGUCCCGGUUGGUGUGAUUUUUUCACCCGGGACAAAAGGAUCUCCCACGGGUGGCUGAUUUUUGACCCGGGACUAAAGGGGGCUUUAAUCGUGAUUGGUAUUUGACCCGGGACUAAAACCCCUCUAGUCACGGUCCAACUUUAAACCGGGAUAAAAGGAGGUGCAUGGAAGAUGAGUUCUCUACCAGUGAUACCAAUGCUAGACUUGUUUUAACAUUUAUUUCAUUUCAACAAAAAAAUCCAAAGCCAAAGACUAAUUAUUUACAUAACCAGGAUGUAUAUAGAACUUUUUGAUAGCUAUUUGUCAAAAAAAACACCAUUCCUUGUUAGCCAAAUAGCAUUGCAAAAUCUACCUCACAAUAUCAGUAUGCACAACCAGGAAGUAAAAAAAAAUAGCAUGAAAUCAAACAAAAAAAAGAACGAAUCAAGUUUUACAUUCAAGCUGGUAUGCAGUAAUGCACAUAAUUAGCUAGUCUUUUGGUUUGAUAUUUCUGUGCAAAUGGAAUAAAUCUUAAAACAAGUCAAACUGGGAAAUUUGCGGGAGCCAACUUGCUAGUUUGCUAGAAAUAAAAGUAGCAAUCAAUUUGAGUCUACCGUGAUUUUACCAGAAGGAUUUCAUUAUAUGCUACAGCUUCCACCCGGAUGAACAACCACCAAGCGAUGCUUUUCGUUAAGCUAUAUAUAUACAGCCUCAGGGCUCUCCAGGACUCCAAACUGUGUACUCUCUUCAUUGUGGUGAGGUUGAGAACUAGGGCUCACACUCUGAUUAGAUUCUGGGGGAGAAAACCACAUGGCUACCGCCGAAAUGGCUUUGGCACCAGGUCUCCCACCAAGUCCCACUCCCAAACUUCAUGAGGCGCUACCUUUGUUCUACGUGAUAGCUUUGGUCUUCCUGGCCGUGUUGGCCAUAUUCCUCUUGCAUAUACUGGGUCCGUUACGCCGGUGGUCGAGCCAUGGGCUCCUCCACUAUAUCGUGAUGGUAAUCUACACGCUCUCCUACCCGCUGGUUGGCUACACCAUUGGGUGGAUGCAGUCUACCAAUUAUUUGUACUUCAACGACUUCACUGUGUGGGCUGUGUUCCUGCUUCUGCUCCUCAGCAGCACGGACAGCCUCACGGCUUGCAGCAUCAAUGACAUCGAGAGCUGGAAGAGCAUCUACGUCAAACAUCUCUUUAAGGGAUUCUUGCUGGUGUUUAUCCUUCUAAAGUUUGGAUAUUACAUCGAGAAGGAUGUGGAUGCGGACUACCUGUGGUACCCGCUCUCACUCAUCCUGGUCGUUAUCGUCCUCAAGUCAUAUGUGAUGAUAGCUUCCAUGAGGAUGGUGAGCAAGUCCUACCUUGGCAAGAACGUGAAGAUGAUCGCCGAAUACAUGCACCAUAUAGACAACAAGCUGGUAGCCUUCGAUCCUGUGACCAUGGAAGGCUACCGGUACAUGGUCGCUGGUGAGAAACACUGCAUCAACCGGCGUGGACGCGCACCAUGGUACAAGAGGCCAGACGACUUGAAGGUUACCACCGUGGAGCAGAUCUGGCAGUGCGAGGGGAAUCUGCUCAUUGGUGAUCAGGGCAAGGUGCUCAAGGACUUGUGCCUCUCUAUGGCUCUCUCCAAGAUGCUCAACCGAAGGUUUGCUGGCUUCAAGCUCUCAGAGGCAGAGCUUGAGAAAACCCAUGACUUCGUAUUCAAAGGCCUGCUCGCCGGGGACGAGCAGCAGGCCUUCAGGGUCAUUGAGGAAGAACUUGUUUUUGUCCAUGACAUGUAUUACACAAGGUACUCUUACCUCUACCAAAAGGGUCGAUACCUGGCUCUUUGUCUGCCUGUCAUCAUGUCUGCCCUAUGCUCGUGGCUCGCAGUGGCCAGCCUGCACAUCAAGCGUACGGACGACCCCUAUCUCAGUAGUCGUCUCAACCGCACUCUGCUGUCUGGCACCAUAGUCAUACCGGUUGUCGUGGCAUUCCUGGAGGCAUACCAGACGUACCUGUACAUGGCCUCAGGUUGGUUCAAGGUGGCUUUGAUACGGAGCUACGUCACCGCACCAUUUUUGCAAACAAGCUGUUGUUCUGAGAUGAUCAUACGUCUUCUCUUGAUGUUGAAGGCGUUUCGCCCAUGGAAGGGCAGACUCGGGCAGUACUGUUUCCUCGAGAGUCUUUGCCGCAAAAGUAAGAUUAUGAAUUGUCUCCAUUAUGCUACACUACGCCUGGUGGACAAGGCCGUGAAGGGGCGCAUGGAAUCAGUAAAGCUGUCCGGAAAUGUGAAGAAAGCCAUCAUUGAUUCCCUACUAGGAAGCAACGGAAACCUGACGAACGGGGUAACAUCGCUACAAAGAAAUGGCGUCCAUGGUGACCUUUCAUGGGCAUGUGAUGCUACUGCUACCGAUGGAGCGGUGAGUCGCACCAUUCUGGUCUGGCACAUUGCUACAACACUGUGUGAGCACCAGCUGGAUAAACAAGGAAAACAAGCAGAGGCGGUUAGAACAGCCUCCACUUUAUCCAAGUACUGCAUGCAACUGCUCGCUUUCGCACCUAACCUCUUACCUGACCACAGCUCUAUAUCGGAAGCCAUACUUGAUGAGUCAAUUGAUAAUGGAGGCGACCCUCGGUGGCAGGGAUUACGAAAGCUACUCGAAGGGUCCAAUGAUCUGGAGAGCAGGUGUAAGGAAUUAUUGAUGUUUAACAUUGAUAAUGGUGAUGGUGGUGAAGCACCGCUUGUUGCACAGGGCGCUCGGCUUGCAAGGCAGAUUGAAGGCAUACAUGACUCGAAAUUGCGGUGGAAGGUCCUCUCUGAUUUCUGGGCGGAGAUGAUGCUGUAUGUCUCGCCGUCUGACGAUGCCCGGGCACACCUGGAAGUUCUUCCAAGAGGAGGGGAGUUCAUCACGCACCUUUGGGCGCUGCUCACGCAUGCCGGUGUGCUGAAGCGAGGCCCUACAGAGCCAAAGGAUGUUGUGUGAUCUGUUCAACCAGUGCACAAGUAACACUCCAUAUAUCAACCUAGUGCUUGUAAGUUGUAACAUCCUAUGUAUAUUGCCUACAGUCAUGUAUACCAUGUGUGAGUUAGUCUGUCGAGUCUGUAUCUCUUUUCAUGUUGUGUCUAUUGUCAGAUUUUGCGGGAGCCAACUUGCUAGUUUGCUAGAAAUAAAAGUAGCAAUCAAUUUGAGUCUACCGUGAUUUUACCAGAAGGAUUUCAUUAUAUGCUACAGCUUCCACCCGGAUGAACAACCACCAAGCGAUGCUUUUCGUUAAGCUAUAUAUAUACAGCCUCAGGGCUCUCCAGGACUCCAAACUGUGUACUCUCUUUAUUAUCAGGCUCCCACUCUGAUUAGAUUCUGGGAGAGAAAAACCUGGCUACUGCCGACAUGGCUUUGGCACCAAGUCCCCCACCAAGUCUCACUCCCCAAGAUCAUGAUAUGCUAGCUUUGUUCUACGUGCAAGCUUUGGUCUUCCUGGCCGUGGUGGCCAUAUUCCUCUUGCAUUUACUGGGUCCGCUACGCCGGUGGUUGAGCAAGGGUCUCCUCCAUCACAUCGUGAUGGGAGUCUACGCGCUCUCCUACCCGCUGGUAGGCUACACCAUUGGGCUGAUGCAGUCUGCCAAUUGGUACUUCAACGACUUCACCGUGUGGGCUGUGUUCCUGCUUCUGCUCCUCAGCAGCACGGAUAGCCUCACAGCUUGCCGCCUCGACGACAUCGACAACUGGAAGAACAUCUACGUGAAACAACUCUUUAAGGGGUUCUUGUUGGUGUUUAUCAUUCUAAAGUUUGGCCGUCAGAUGAUGAUGAGGAAUUUGGAUGCCGACUACCUGUGGUACCCGCUCUCAGCCAUCCUGGUCGUUAUCGUCCUCAAGUCAUAUCUGAUGAUAGCUUCCAUGAGGAUGGUGUAACACACUAAAAAAAAAAUCAAAGGCCCAGCCAGCCCAACCCUUUUCCCUGGCCCGUUGCCCCCUCUCCCAUCUUAUCCAGACCAGUCCUCUCUUCCUUCUCACGUUUCUUCCUCCUUCCCUGCUCUCCCAUGGCUUCCCCUCCCUAAAUCCCCUCUCUACAGCAGCAAACCCUUGGGGGGAACUAGCAAAACGGAUCGAGGACAACAAGAGGAGCAAGAAAGGUGCAUCUUCCAUGUAGAUCGGUCCUUUCCCCAUAUCUUCCCGCUGCCCUAGGGUUUGGGGAACGACUAAGGUGAGGUGAAUCCACUUUAGAUCUGCUAAUUGAUGUUUUUAGGAGGUUCUUGGUCCUGAGGAUUAGUGGAUUUGUUGGGGAAAACACGGUUUGAAGGUCGAUUUAAGGUGUGCUGUCCUGUAGCUCGGGCAGUGCUGCUGUCCUUGUAGAUUUGGUGACCUAAACGAUUUCUCCUCCAAAAGUGGAUCAUACAAAAGUUGUAGAGAAUUAUGAGAUGUAACUGCUGUCCAAGUUUCAUAUUUUUGGUGGAGUAUACCUUCAGUUAUUGAAUAUUGUUUGGACGCUGUUUCUGAAUGUCCAGAUUUUUGACAGCAGAUGUUCAGAGAUGUAUUAGAUGAUCUUAAGGAUGGAAUUCGUGGAAACCCAUAAUAACAAAGUUUUAGGUUUCUCAGAGAUAUAUGUCCUGACAAAAUUUUAGAAUUUUUGGACAAGGGGUUUGGGAGAUAUGAAUUUUUGUAUGCUGCUGCCCGAAAUUUCAGACAGAUUCUGUACUUCACAUUCAACUGCAGUUUUACCCCUCUUUGGAUUAUGCUAAAAAUAAAGGAUCUGAACAAAGUUAUAAGAUUUCUCCCUUAAUUUUCUAAGAUAUAUUUGCUUGCUGUCAUAUCUUUUGUAAUUUUAAAGAUACAAAAAAGUGAAGCAGCACUGCUGCGGUUAACCUAGGUGAUGUUUACCAUCGUCGCUUGUUUGACCGGUUGGGCUAUAUGGGUGCUUUACUUGCUGUGUGCACAUGGUUGUUUGAGGAUAUGUUCUGAUCUUAUUGUGUCAAAACAGGUGGUAACGCUCCGGAUCACGCUUAGAGCGGCUAUCUCCUUCAUUGGGAGGCAAGUAACGUAGCGGUGGUUGCUACAAGCUUUAAUUUGCUAUUUUUCCUACCUCCACCUUAAAUUUCAGAAUGAUAACUUAUCCAAUAUCAUCCAUUCAAUUACAAGUUUAUGCACAUCUUACUGUUGUUAUUACAUAUGCCUUAUUCUUUACUUUAUAACUUGGUAAUGGCUCUUGUUAGCAUAAUUAUGAUGAGGUUUAUGUUGUCAAAUGAGGAGAGACUUAUCUGGUAUAUGCGGUGUAUACUCUCUUUGUGCGAUCUGUCUUGGCAUUGCAUUUCAUUGCAUCACAAUGCAUGGCAUAUGGAGUUAAUUCGCCGCUUGAUAGCCGCGACCGUACCGGUACAGCAUCGUUUAUUGGGCAUAACGGUGCAGCUUCAUACUUUGUUGAGUAUGAAGGCAGGAGACAUGGCAUUUGCAUUGCAUUUGCAUUUAGGGUGCUAUCGGUUUUCUAUGGUAUUUAUUUGGCAGUGGUGGUGAGAAGUGAAUUUUCUCCAAGGUUUGGUGACGAAUUGGUUUUAUUUAUGUAUGAGGGUGUUGGAGUUAUUAUUAUUAUUAUUAUUCAUUGAGGAGAUACACUUACUGAUAAUAGUUAAACCAUGGUCUAAUGAACUUGUAGUUUAAAUAGCUUGUUAAAGCUAGUUACUUGCUGAGAUUUUAUAUCUCACCCCUAUUUUUUUGUUAUCCUCUCAGGUACUUGAUGGAUGGAUGCUUUGCUUGGGGGGUUGGGAAGUAGCAGCACGUCAUACACUUCUCUUUAAUCAAAAUCCUCUAGUGUGAUACUGUAAUAUUUAAGUCCUUCUCUAUGAGAGUCUAUUUGUUGCUUAAUGAUGGUUAAGCUUUGUUAAACCUUGCCUUAAUCGUUUGAAUUUCAUGUUAGGAUCUUUUAUUUAUGCUAGUGUGCUUUAUCUAUUUUCAUAUCUUAUUGUUUCUUGCUUCCGCGGUGUUCCUGAUUUAGGGAAGAUGCUGUCAAAAUCUGUCCCUUUUGUCCGAUGUGGCUUAGUAGCAUCCUAAGGUGGCGUUUGUUUUUCUUGGGGUGUUACAGUUGGUAAUCAGAGCUUAGGUUAAUUUAAUCCUAGGAAAAAAUAAAGUCUAAUUUGACACACUUGCACUUGUAGGUUGGGUACGGGUACAUUGGUGUGUAUGGAUUAUUUUGUCUUUAUGCAUACUUUAAAUUGUUGGAGCUUGAUAUUUGUGUUGUCUGUGUCUUGUGGUGGCUGCAGUUAUGCCGCCUAAGAAGCAAGGUCGGGCACGACCAGCGAGCGGUGCCCAAGCUGAUGGCACUAGUCAAGCAGAAUUACUUGCCGCAAUGCGUGAGAUGCAAAAUGAGAUGAGGACUUUGAGGCAGGCUGCUCGUGCGGGUGCAGCACAACCUAAUCCUACUACCUCUACUCAGGAAGUUGCUGCCCCAGUUGGCCCUGAGAGUGGUGUCUCGCUGAGAGAGUGGGUUGGCAUGAAGCUCGAUAGUUUUGAUGGCAAUGGUACUCCUAUUCAGGCUGCUGAUUGGUUGUCAUAUGUGGAGGAUAAGAUGGAAGCUUUUGAGGUGUCAGCUCAUGAUCGUGUUCGUUAUGGGGCACAAUUACUAAAGGGUGAGGCACAGAUUUGGUGGAAGGGUGUGCAGUCAGCUCGCACGGCUACGCAUGGUUCUUUAACUUGGCCUGAGUUUGUUAGGCAGUUUGAGAGGAGGUUUUACCCAGUGACCUUCCUGGACAAGAUGAAAAUUGAGCUAAAUAACUAUGUGCAGGAAAGGAAGACAGUGGCUGAGUAUGAGGUGGGGUUCAACCAGAUUGUUCGCUUUGUUCCACAUGUGGCCCAUGAUGAUGCAGAGAAAGCAAGGCAAUUUCGUCAAGGCCUUAAGCCUUCAAUUCGCCAUGUGUUGGGUGCCUUUGAAGUCACAGACUUUCGCUCCAUGGUAGAGAAAGCCUUGGGAGUUGAGAUGCAGCUUCAGGUCACAGCUGAUCUAAAUAAGUCUUUGAGUGGUGACCAGUCUCAUGGUCAGGGUGACAAGAAGGUCCAUUCUGGUGGUCAUGUUCAUAGGAAGGGCAAGUUUCAGCGUCACCAGCCGUACCGUGGUGGUUCAGCUCAGUCUCGUACUCCAGGAGGGAGUACUCCUCAGUAUCGUGCCAUUCCCAAACCUGGCACGGGGAUGGUGUGCUUCAAAUGUGGAGAUGCGCAUCAUCUUCGAGAGUGCCGAUGGUCCGGCAAGUGCUCUAUUUGUGGUCAAGAUCACAAGGACGUGGUUUGUAGGAAGAAUCCUGAUGCCAAGCUUCGUUGGGAGCUAGUGUCUUCUUCAGCUCCCAAUGGUGCAUUCCAUAUGAUGGCGGCUGCAUCUUCUACUCCUCACCUACCUGCACCGCCACCGCAGCAGCACCUACUUGCACCGCCACCGCAGCAGUACCUACCUGCCCCUACACCUCAGUACUUGCUAGCGCCACCGGUGACUCCAUCGGCUGCCCCUACACUUCAGACUGGGGCUUACUGGAUGCCCCAUGCUACUCCUUCAGCACCCAUGGUUCCAUGGGCUCCCACUCCGACGGGUCCUACUUCGGGUGCCUCUUCUUCGCCUGGCGUUCCAGGGGCAUAUGUUAUGCCUGCCACUAACGCUAGAGAUCGUGGUGACGUGGUAACAGGUAUCAUCUCAGUUGAUUCUUAUGAUGCUCAUGCUCUUUUUGAUUCUGGAGCUAGUUUCUCUUUCAUCUCAGAGGCUUUUGUUGGUCGUUUGGGUCUUUUUGUUGAAAGGAUUGGGGAGGCUAUCGUUGUUAGUUCUGCUAGAGGGCUUGUUUCGAGUUCUAUAGUUUGUCCAGGCUGUGUUGUCACUCUUGCGAAUGAGGAUUUUAUUGCUAACUUAGUGGUGAUUCCGUUGGAGCCUUUUGAUGUGAUUCUUGGCAUGGACUGGCUCUCCCAGUAUAAGGCCGUUAUCUCUUGUUUCUGGAAAACAAUCACUUUGCAAGCACCAUCAGGACGAGAGAUGAUCUUUCAAGGGAGUGGUUUGAAGUACUCUAUCUCCUUGUUGUGUCAGUUAUUUCCUAAUCGAUGGACACAAAAAACUGGUAUUCUUUUUGUGAUGAUUGGUGAUCAGGAGGUUCCCUUGCGAGUGGAUGAUAUUCUAGUGGUUUGUCGCUAUCCAGAUGUUUUCCCAGAUGAGCUCCCAGGUUUGCCUCCUGAAAGAGAGGCUAUUUUCCACAUAAAGUUGGUUCCUGGAACGCAACCUAUAUAUAAGACACCAUACAAGAUGGCUCCUGUGGAGCAGGUGGAGUUAAAGAAGCAAUUGGAUGAACUUCUUGCUAAAGGGUUUAUCCGACCAAGCACGUCACCUUGGGCUGCCCCAGUCUUGUUCGUAGAAAAGAAGGAUGGCACUAAAAGACUUUGUGUUGAUUAUCGAGCACUUAAUCAAGUAACAAUCAAGAACAAGUACCCUUUGCCUCGUAUUGAUGCUCUCUUUGAUCAAUUGAGAGGUGCCAAGGUAUUCUCUAAGAUUGACUUGCAAUCUGGUUACCAUCAACUACGUAUCAAGGAAGAGGAUAUUGAGAAGACGGCUUUUAAUACCAGGUAUGGGCAUUAUGAGUAUGUGGUUAUGUCUUUUGGACUAACAAAUGCCCCUGCUGUUUUUAUGGAGGCCAUGAACAGGAUGUUGCAUGAGUACUUGGAUGUUUUUGUUGUGGUAUUCAUCGAUGAUAUCUUAGUUUACUCCAAGUCAGAGGAGGAGCAUAAGGUUCAUCUCAGUCUUGUCUUGGAUGCACUCCGGAAGAACAAGUUCUAUGCAAAGUUGAAGAAAUGUGCAUUUUGGCUUUCUGAAGUGAGCUUCCUUGGUCAUGUCAUUAAUCAACAUGGCAUUAAGGUGGAUACUAAAAACGUUGCCUCAGUGGUGGAAUGGCAAAGACCGACCAAUGUAACAGAAGUUCGGAGCUUUCUUGGGCUUGCAGGUUAUUAUCGGUGUUUCGUGCAGGGUUUCUCAAUUGUUGCUAAGCCAAUGACUAAUCUCACUAAGAAGGGUGUUCCAUUCAUAUGGACUAAAGAGUGUGAGGCCAGUUUCCAAACUCUAAAGAAUAAGUUAGUGAAUGCUCCUAUAUUGACAUUACCUGAGAGCGGCAAACGCUUCACUUUGUAUACAGAUGCUUCUCGAAUCGGGCUUGGUUGUGUGCUUAUGCAAGAAGGUAAAGUGAUUGCUUAUGCAUCAAGGCAAUUGAAGAAGCAUGAGCAAAAUUACCCCACACAUGAUUUAGAGUUGGCUGCAGUUAUUUUUGCUCUAAAGAUUUGGAGGCAUUAUCUUUAUGGAGAGUCAUGUGAUAUAUUUACAGAUCACCAAAGUCUCAAAUAUAUUUUCACACAAAAAGAACUCAACUUGAGGCAAUGGAGAUGGUUAGAAUUGAUUAAGGACUAUGAUCUCACUAUCCAGUACCAUCCAGGAAAGGCAAAUAUGGUGGCAGAUGCUCUUAGUAGGACAGGUGUUCCUAAGACAGUGAUGUCCUUGAUUGUUGAUAUGGAUCGCAUGGGGGUUUCGUUUUGUUAUGCGGGCGUUGCACAUCAAGAGACUCAAAUGCUUAUUCAGUCUCCCAUAGUUGAUCAGGUGCGUGAGGCUCAACAACAUGAUCGUUUGCUUCAAGAGGUUCGAAAGAGAAUUUUAGGGGGUAGACCACGGGAGUUCACCAUAGAUGAACAUGGUGCUAUUCGCUUUAGAGGGCGUCUUUGUGUGCCACAAAAUUCUGAUGUGAAGAUGGAUAUACUUAGGGAGGCACAUCGAACACCUUACACAAUUCACCCUGGUGAGACCAAGAUGUAUCGGGAUUUAAAGAAAAAUUUUUGGUGGAAAAGGAUGAAAGUUGAUGUUGCCAAAUAUGUAGCAUCUUGUGGAAUUUGUCAGCAAGUUAAGGCAGAACAUAAAAAGCCUGCGGGUUUAUUACGGCCUUUGGAGAUCCCUGAGUGGAAAUGGGAACAUAUCACCAUGGACUUUGUGGUCGGGUUACCUCGCUCACCUCGAGGGAGAGAUGCCAUAUGGGUUAUUGUGGAUAGACCCACUAAGUCUGCACAUUUCAUUCCGAUGAAGUCAACUAGUUCAGCACCAGAUUUGGUUCCCUUAUACAUGAGAGAAGUGCUAAGGCUUCAUGGUGUGCCAAAGUCCAUUGUUUCUGAUCGAGAUCCCAAGUUUGUGUCUAACUUUUGGCGAAGCUUGCAUAGUGCAUUGGGCACAAAUUUGACUCUUAGCACUGCUUUCCACCCUCAGACUGAUGGUCAGUCGGAGAGGACUAUUCAGACCUUAGAGGACAUGCUUCGUGCUUGUGUUCUUUCAUGGAAAGGUAGUUGGGAGGAUCAUCUAUCUUUGGCAGAGUUCGCUUAUAAUAACAGCUAUCAAGCUAGUAUCAAGAUGGCUCCAUUUGAGGCUUUGUAUGGUAGGAAGUGUAUUUCUCCCAUAUGCUGGGAAACUUUGGGUGAGAGAUCUUUGAUUGGUCCAGAUUGGGUCCGAGAGACAUCUGAAAAGGUGCGGGAGAUACGACAGAAUCUGUUGGCUGCUCAGAGCCGGCAGAAGAGUUAUACUGAUGUGAGGAGGCGAGAUCUAGAGUUUGCAGUGGGUGACCAUGUUCUUCUUAGGGUAUCGCCAACCAAAGGUGUUGUGAGGUUUGGCACCACAGGAAAGCUUAGCCCAAGGUACAUUGGUCCGUUUGUGAUCACAACCCGUGUUGGCAGUUUGGCAUAUCGCUUGCAGCUUCCAGAAUCAUUGAAGCAAGUGCACAAUGUUUUCCAUGUAUCUAUGUUAAGAAAAUAUUUGAGGGAUCCUGAGCACAAGAUUGAUUUGGAGCCACUUAUUGUGGAGCCAAAUCUAAUUGUGGAAUGUCACCCAGAACGUAUCUUAGACUCAUCUGACCGAGUCAUGAGAAAGAGGACCAUCAAAUAUGUUAAGGUUCUAUGGAGUAAUCAGUCUGAGCGUGAAGCGACUUGGGAGCUCGAGGACCAAAUGCGCAAGAAGUACCCACAACUCUUUGAGAGAGGUAAGUUUUAAUUUAUCAAGUUGGUAUACCUUUGAGUAGUUAAAUUCGGGGACGAAUUCAUUAAAGGAGGGGAGAAUGUAACACACUAAAAAAAAAAUCAAAGGCCCAGCCAGCCCAACCCUUUUCCCUGGCCCGUUGCCCCCUCUCCCAUCUUAUCCAGACCAGUCCUCUCUUCCUUCUCACGUUUCUUCCUCCUUCCCUGCUCUCCCAUGGCUUCCCCUCCCUAAAUCCCCUCUCUACAGCAGCAAACCCUUGGGGGGAACUAGCAAAACGGAUCGAGGACAACAAGAGGAGCAAGAAAGGUGCAUCUUCCAUGUAGAUCGGUCCUUUCCCCAUAUCUUCCCGCUGCCCUAGGGUUUGGGGAACGACUAAGGUUAGGUGAAUCCACUUUAGAUCUGCUAAUUGAUGUUUUUAGGAGGUUCUUGGUCCUGAGGAUUAGUGGAUUUGUUGGGGAAAACACGGUUUGAAGGUCGAUUUAAGGUGUGCUGUCCUGUAGCUCGGGCAGUGCUGCUGUCCUUGUAGAUUUGGUGACCUAAACGAUUUCUCCUCCAAAAGUGGAUCAUACAAAAGUUGUAGAGAAUUAUGAGAUGUAACUGCUGUCCAAGUUUCAUAUUUUUGGUGGAGUAUACCUUCAGUUAUUGAAUAUUGUUUGGACGCUGUUUCUGAAUGUCCAGAUUUUUGACAGCAGAUGUUCAGAGAUGUAUUAGAUGAUCUUAAGGAUGGAAUUCGUGGAAACCCAUAAUAACAAAGUUUUAGGUUUCUCAGAGAUAUAUGUCCUGACAAAAUUUUAGAAUUUUUGGACAAGGGGUUUGGGAGAUAUGAAUUUUUGUAUGCUGCUGCCCGAAAUUUCAGACAGAUUCUGUACUUCACAUUCAACUGCAGUUUUACCCCUCUUUGGAUUAUGCUAAAAAUAAAGGAUCUGAACAAAGUUGUAAGAUUUCUCCCUUAAUUUUCUAAGAUGUAUUUGCUUGCUGUCAUAUCUUUUGUAAUUUUAAAGAUACAAAAAAGUGAAGCAGCACUGCUGCGGUUAACCUAGGUGAUGUUUACCAUCGUCGCUUGUUUGACCGGUUGGGCUAUAUGGGUGCUUUACUUGCUGUGUGCACAUGGUUGUUUGAGGAUAUGUUCUGAUCUUAUUGUGUAAAAACAGGUGGUAACGCUCCGGAUCACGCUUAGAGCGGCUAUCUCCUUCAUUGGGAGGCAAGUAACGUAGCGGUGGUUUCUACAAGCUUUAAUUUGCUAUUUUUCCUACCUCCACCUUAAAUUUCAGAAUGAUAACUUAUCCAAUAUCAUCCAUUCAAUUACAAGUUUAUGCACAUCUUACUGUUGUUAUUACAUAUGCCUUAUUCUUUACUUUAUAACUUGGUAAUGGCUCUUGUUAGCAUAAUUAUGAUGAGGUUUAUGUUGUCAAAUGAGGAGAGACUUAUCUGGUAUAUGCGGUGUAUACUCUCUUUGUGCGAUCUGUCUUGGCAUUGCAUUUCAUUGCAUCACAAUGCAUGGCAUAUGGAGUUAAUUCGCCGCUUGAUAGCCGCGACCGUACCGGUACAGCAUCGUUUAUUGGGCAUAACGGUGCAGCUUCAUACUUUGUUGAGUAUGAAGGCAGGAGACAUGGCAUUUGCAUUGCAUUUGCAUUUAGGGUGCUAUCGGUUUUCUAUGGUAUUUAUUUGGCAGUGGUGGUGAGAAGUGAAUUUUCUCCAAGGUUUGGUGACGAAUUGGUUUUAUUUAUGUAUGAGGGUGUUGGAGUUAUUAUUAUUAUUAUUAUUCAUUGAGGAGAUACACUUACUGAUAAUAGUUAAACCAUGGUCUAAUGAACUUGUAGUUUAAAUAGCUUGUUAAAGCUAGUUACUUGCUGAGAUUUUAUAUCUCACCCCUAUUUUUUUGUUAUCCUCUCAGGUACUUGAUGGAUGGAUGCUUUGCUUGGGGGGUUGGGAAGUAGCAGCACGUCACACACUUCUCUUUAAUCAAAAUCCUCUAGUGUGAUACUGUAAUAUUUAAGUCCUUCUCUAUGAGAGUCUAUUUGUUGCUUAAUGAUGGUUAAGCUUUGUUAAACCUUGCCUUAAUCGUUUGAAUUUCAUGUUAGGAUCUUUUAUUUAUGCUAGUGUGCUUUAUCUAUUUUCAUAUCUUAUUGUUUCUUGCUUCCGCGGUGUUCCUGAUUUAGGGAAGAUGCUGUCAAAAUCUGUCCCUUUUGUCCGAUGUGGCUUAGUAGCAUCCUAAGGUGGCGUUUGUUUUUCUUGGGGUGUUACAGAUGGUGAGCAAGUCUUACCUCGGUAAGAACGUGAAGGUGAUCGCCGAAUACAUGCAGCAUAUAGACAACAAGCUGGUGGUCUUCAAUCCUGUGACCAUGGAAGGCUACCAGUACAUGGUCGCUGGUGAGAAACACUGCGUUAACAGGCCUGGACACACACCAUGGUACAAGAAGCCGGACGACUUGAAGGUUACCACCGUGGAGCAGAUCUGGCAGUGCGAGGGGAAUCUGCUCAUUGGUGAUCAGGGCAAGGUGCUCAAGGACUUGUGCCUCUCUAUGGCUCUCUCCAAGAUGCUCAACCGAAGGUUUGCUGGCUUCAAGCUCUCAGAGGCAGAGCUUGAGAAAACCCACGACUUCGUAUUCAAAGGCCUGCUCGCCGGGGACGAGCAGUGGGCCUUCAGGGUCAUUGAGGAAGAACUUGUUUUUGUCCAUGACAUGUAUUACACAAGGUACUCUUACCUCUACCAAAAGGGUCGAUACCUGGCUCUCUGUCUGCCUGUCAUCAUGUUUGCCCUAUGCUCGUGGCUCACAGUGGCCAGCCUGCACGUCAAGCAUCACGACGACCCCUAUCUCAGUAAUCAUAGCAAUCGCAGUCUGAUGUCUGGCACCAUAGUCAUAACGGUUGUCUUGGCAUUCCUGGAGGCAUACCAGCUGUACCUGUACAUGGCCUCAGGUUGGUUCAAGGUGGCACUGAUACGGAGCUAUGUCGCCGCACCUUUUUUGCAAACAAGCUGUUUCUAUGAGAUGAUCAUACAUCUUCUCUUGAUGUUGAAGGUGUUUCGCCCAUGGAAGGGCAGACUUGGGCAGUACUGUUUCCUCGAGAAUCUUGGCCGCAAAAGUAAGGUUGUGAAUUGUCUCCAUUAUGGUACACUGUGCUUGGUGGACAAGGCCAUGAAGGGAAGCAAGAAAUCAGUGAAGGUCUCCGAAGAUGUGAAGAAAGCCAUCAUUGAUUCCCUACUAGCAAGCAACGGACACCUGACGAACGGGGUAACAUCGCUGCAAAAAAAUGGCGUCCAUGAUGACCUCAAAUGGGCAUGUGAUGCUACUGCUACUGACGGAGCGGUGGCUCGCACCAUUGUGGUCUGGCACAUUGCUACAACCCUGUGCGAGCAGAAGCUGGAUAAACAAGUCAAAGAAGAAGACGCUGUCAAAACAGCCUCCACUUUAUCCAAGUACUGCAUGCACCUCCUUGCUUUCGCACCUAACCUCUUGCCCGACCACAGCUCCAUAUCGGAAUCCAUACUUGAUCAGUCAAUCCACGAAGCAAGCAAGUUACUCAAAGAGGCCAAGGACAAGAAGAUCAAGGGCAAGAACAAGAAGAUCGAGGGCAGGUGUGAGAUAUUAAUGCAAAUUAGCACUGAUGAUGAUUGUGUUGAUGAUGAAACAAUUCUUGUUGCGCGGGGCGUUCACCUUGCAAGGCAACUGAUUGAUAACAUACAAGACUUCACAACACGGUGGAAGGUGCUAUCUGAUUUCUGGGCGGAGAUGAUGCUGUAUGUCUCGCCAUCCGACGAUGCUCGGGAGCACCUGGAAGUUCUUGCAAUAGGAGGGGAGUUCAUCACGCACCUUUGGGCGCUGCUCAUGCAUGCCGGUGUGCUGAAGCGAGGACCUACAGUGCCAAAGGAUGUUGUGUGACCUCUUUAACAAGUACACACGUAGCAGUCAUUAUAUCUAUCUAGU
rnacentral:lncRNA from 1 species